rnacentral:lncRNA from 1 species
AAUCAUAACUCUCUCUCCCUCUCUCUCUUCUCUCCUCUUCUCCGGGUUCUCCCUCCUUUGGACACUCGCCUCUUUUCUCGAACCUCCCAUCCUCCCUCUCUCUCUCUCUCUCUCUCUCUCUCUCUCUCUCUUGCCAACCUUCUUUCUCUCUCUAGAGGCUCGAUCUUCUCGGACCUCGUCGCUUUCUUCGGCGCGGAAUCUGCCGGCGGAAGGAGGCGGCGGAGGAGGAGGAGGAGGAGGAGGAGCCGCUCCGCGUCGUCCGUUCUCGAUCUCGGGCCAUUGCCAGCCGGAGCAGCGGGAGAUCAUUGCCGCUGCUGCAGCUGCUGCGGCGCUUGCUCGCGCGCGCGGUCCGGGGAGGCUCCCGACGAAUGGGAGCACGGGCGUAGCGGCGGGAAUUGUGCGGAGAUUGAUUGCUGCCGCGGCGGUGCGAUUGGAAGAUGCUCUACUUGAAGCAGCCGAGCGCGGUGCUUUGCAUGGGGAGCGGCGAUAGGUGUUGUUUCGAUUGUUGCGCUUCGUGGUGCGGAUUGGUCAUCGGGUGAAGGAAGGAAGGAAGGCAGGCAGGCAGGAGGAGGAGGAGGAGGAGGAGGUCCCGGCGAUUCCCCCCGCGCGCUGCCUGGUGCAUGCUCGUCUGGUGAUUUCCCCGGAGCCUGUGGCUCGGGGAAGGACCUGAACGGAGGCCGGCGAGGCGUGCGCGCGCGCGUGUGUGCGUGCGUGUUUGCGAAGAAUGGCGCUGCGUGCCGGGAUGGAGAGCUCGUUCCGCUCUUGCGACGCCUGGAUGCAGAAAUUCAGGCUCUACGAGACUCGAUCGGUAAUUUAUCUUCGGCUAAUUUGCUCGUGACUGAGAUCUUCUCGAUUUGACAUUAUGUUCUUAGCUCUCGUGAUGUUUCCUCGGUAGUUGAGGUAGUUGAUGUCGUGGGGACUUGGUUCUAGAUCAUAUCAGCUUAGUUUACUUUGAGUUGCUGACGGUUAUAUUGAUUUGGUCAGCCUUUAGUUGAGCGAUGUGGGUGUCAGUUUCGUUAGAUUAGACAAUAACUUUUGAGGAAAUCGGAUGAACUUCAUUUGAAAGUUGUUUAGUUGUUAUAUCAUUGGCUUGAUCGGAUAAUACCGGCUUCAGUUAUUUAACAGCACACUAACGAGGAAGAUACAAGAUGAUCAGGAAGGACCUGAAUUAAAUCAGUGAUCCCCCCUUUUUCUUGUGUCAUCUUGAGCAUUGCUAUUUGAAUGGCAUUUUGCAUUGACAAUGGCAAUUCAGUCUCCAUUAUUAUAAGCAGCUACUUGAAGUAUUGCGAUGCUGAUGCAAAUGCUUGCAUAUGAAUGCAUCCAAUUCAGAUGUAUUACCUGAUUGUAUGGGGAGUGGAUUGUCUGUUGCUUUAGCCUUGAGUAGGAAUAAUUGUCUGCAAAACUUGGAAGAGCUGCUUGGUAUAUCUAUGGUUCAAAUGUCGAACUGUAAAAGCUUUUUCGCCGUCAGAAUCAUCGUCAUGUUCAAAGUCUUGUUUCCAGCAUUUACUUAGCUUCUGUGAACUGGUAUGCUCAUUUGCUCCCUUAAUUCUGAUCCGGAAGUUUGGCAGCUAACUCUGCAAUUUUCAAUGCUACAGAUGUUCUACAUGAUAGGGAGGGAUAGGAGUAGGACAUAUUGGAGAGUCCUUAAGAUUGAUCGACUUGAUCCAUCCGAGCUAAACAUUCUAGAAGAUUCUACCACUUAUAGUGAGCGUGAAUGUUCUGACCUAUUAAGGAGGAUACACGAGGGUAACAUAUCUACUGGAGGAUUGAAGUUUGUGACUACUUGCUACGGGAUAGUUGGUAUGUGAAAUUUUUCUUGUUAUAGCUGCGUUCCUCUUAACUGUCUGUUAUUAUCACAAGACAACUCAUUGUUAUCUCAUUACAGGGUUCAUUAAAUUCUUAGGACCUUACUACAUGCUGCUAAUAACAAAGCGAAGGGAGAUAGGUGCCAUCUGUGGUCAUACUGUUUAUGCCAUCUCUGAGAGCGAGAUGAUUCCGCUUCCAAAUUCCACAGUUCGUUCCAAUCUACCUAAUUCGAGGGAUGAAGACAGGUCAAUUUCUACCCUGUGUUCAUGUGUAGAUCUCAUGGUUUUUUUUUCUUAAGGAAAUCGAAAAGAGACAUUCCUCUAUGUUAGGUCUAGCAUAUGCAAUGUUUAUGCUAUGUUCACCAUGUGUGUGUGUGCGUAUAAAUGUCUGUAUGAAGAAGAUGUACUUGCAUAAUUAUUUCUUCAGUAGUAACUGGACCUUGGUUGCCUGAGACCCCGCAGGUGCAAGUGCGACGUGCUGAUUUGGGACAAUUAUGGUUCACAGUCUAUUUUUGGUAUUAAGAGAUUACUGUUCCAUUCUAGUGAACAGAUUGCCAAUGAAGUUGCUAGCAUCAUCUCACACAAACUUUAGCUGAGAAAAUUGGUUUGAGAAAUGGUUGUCAAAAUUGAUCUGAACACUUCUGUUCUUUUGGGGUGGGGUGGUGUGGGUGACAUUUACUGUUUUAUUGUGCUUCAGCUACUGUUGCUAGUGUUCAAACUACCAUCUCCUCUGCUGCCAGUGUCUUUUGCAGAAACUUUGACCACUUAAUUUUUUGAUUUUGUGUUUCUUCCUCUCAUGUAUUAGAUACAAGAGGCUCCUAUGCACAAUGGACCUCACCAAGGACUUCUUUUUUAGCUACUCAUACCAUGUUAUGCGUAGUCUACAAAAGAACUUUUGUGAUAAUGAAGCGGGGCACGUUCUCUAUGAGACCAUGUUCGUCUGGAACGAAUUCUUAACUCGGGAAAUUCGGAAUCACCUCAAAAACACGCUGUGGACGGUUGCUCUAGUGUAUGGUUUCUUUAAACAGGUGAGGAGUAAAUAUUGUUAAGAUGAUAUAAUAUUCUAAGAAUUGAUGAGCUUUCCAAUGUUGUCACUCAAAAUUUUUAUCCUGUUAAAAGCCGCCAUUAUUAACUUGGAUUUGUCCCAACACAGUUUUUAAAAGGGAAAAUAUGCUGUUUUACGAUUUCCUUGUAGACUUUGGUUGUGAUGAAUGUCACCCUCUACCUUUUCCAUGCUUUUGAAAGAUUGUUAUUUGAUUUUCUUAUUCAACUCAUACUGAUGACUCGUGGUAUUUUGAUUCUAGGCUACACUUUCUAUUGCAGGAAGAGACUUCACAUUGACUCUUAUUGCAAGACGUUCACGACAUUAUGCUGGCAUGAGGUUGGAACUUUAUACUAAUGCUAUUUCGAUUUUUGUUCCAAAUUCUUUGAGAUACCUUCAGCCAUCUGUAACGUAUUUUAUGAUGAGUUUGGCACUAUUUCCUCCUCAUAUGCAGAUAACCUUUCGCUGUUAUACAUGUGUCUGGCAUCCAUUAUAUCUCAUUCCAUGCUCGUUCUAUUUAACUCUUUAGGUACCUAAAACGAGGGGUGAAUGAAAAGGGCAAAGUAGCUAAUGAUGUGGAGACAGAACAGAUCGUGUAUGAAGGUGUCCCUGAAGGUUUUCCCAUGCAAGUAACUUCUGUUGUCCAGAAUCGUGGGUCAAUCCCUCUUUUCUGGUCACAAGAAACUUCCCGUUUGAAUCUUAAACCGGAUAUAAUAGGUAGGCUCUUUUACUUAAUUUGAUUUAGACACGGUGCUUAUAUAAUGUAGAUUUACGACAACUUUUCCUGCAUUCAGUGUCGAAAAAGGACCAGACUUACGAAGCCACCCGACUUCAUUUUGAAAAUCUUCUCAGCAGAUAUGGGAAUCCUAUAAUUAUUUUGAAUCUGAUUAAGGUAAGUCUGCACUUUUCUGUGUAUGAAGGGUCUAAUUUUGUUGAUGAUAUUUCUUAAUGUUGUUGUUGUUUCAUUCUUUUUCUUGACAUGCCGCCACAUGUGUGCGCUCUCUUCCUUUUAUUCUUUCUAAACAUGCCAUCAACAUUGCAAAGUGGGGGGCUUAGAUACGGUCAAGUACCUAGCCUUUUACUUUUGCUAGAUCUAACAAAUGAGUGGUUUUACCCUAUCAUCAUCCCUUCAUCACCAUCCUAUGAAUUCUUAUUGCUGACAGACGGAAGAGAAGAAGCCCCGAGAAUCCAAACUCCGUGCAGAGUUUGCCACUGCAAUUGAUUUUAUCAAUAAAGACUUGCCUGAGGAAAAUCGUCUGAAAUUUCUUCACUGGGAUCUACACAAGCAUUCUCAGAGGUGAACAUUUUAUGAGCUUGAGUCAUGGCCAUUUUCCUAUAUUAAUGUUCUUUCUUGUGAAAUCUGAUCUAUUCUAAAAGUGUUUUUCUCAUUCUCUUUCCUCACAGCAAAGCUACAAACGCACUGUUUACUUUGGGCAGAGUGGCCACUUAUGCGUUAACGUUAACAGGUUUCUUCUAUUGUCAAGUAUCACCAACCUGGAGACCUGAUGAUUGUCUGAAACGGUCUUCUUCAGAGUAAGUUACUAAUAUGUGAAUGAUCAGUGCUGAAACCAUCAUCAUUAGGAAGACAGUCAAUACUCUAAAGCUUUAGUGUUGAUUCUUUUCAUGCCAAAGCUUUUAGUUUGUAGUAAUUUCUCGAAUGAGUGUGUAUCAUCUAAAACAAGGAGUCCUCUCUUUCACGUCAUUUUUAUUGUAUCACUUAAUGAGUAACUCUUGCUUGUUACCAUUGUUGGAUGCAAACAUGAAUUUUCUGUUUGAGUGUUUGUAAAGUUGUUCUUCACUUUAUGUGCUGAAUUUGAUAAUUCCUCAUUUCUGGUUUCAAGUACAUCUUAUAAAUCCAUGGAUGGGUAGUAUGCAUCGUCAGUGUCAUUCUGUUGUAUUUUGCGCAUGGUUCUGAUUUCCUCUUGGCAUGUAAUUGGUGCGAAUAUGAUGCAGGAAAGUUAAUAAUAGUGGCUUGAGUUCAAUGGAUCUUGGUGAAAACGAAAAUGAUGUGGGAUAUCUUCUAGAGAGAAAACCUAGUGAAGGUGACGACUUAAUAAAUGGAAAUCAUUCUGGAAAGCCUCCGAUGUUCCAAAGAGGAGUACUAAGAACCAAUUGCAUUGAUUGUCUGGAUCGAACAAAUGUUGCACAAUACGCAUACGGGUUGACUGCUCUAGGUUGCCAACUUCAUGCUCUUGGAGGUAUAGACUGCCCCAAAAUAGACCUUGAUGCUCCUUUAGCCGAUGAAUUGAUGGGUUUCUAUGAGAGUAUGGGGGACACACUUGCUCAUCAAUAUGGUGGCUCAGCGGCUCAUAACAAGGUAUUAUAAUGUAAAAGUUGCUUUCCUAGCAUAUGGAUCAAACCUUCAAAAGGUGGUUCAUCCUAGGAUAUGUAUGCAUAGUGUCUGUUUGACUAUAUUCAGGCAUUGCUCAGAUUUUUGGAGGAAUUCCCCUCUCAAAUAUUCUCUUCAUGAUUCUUUUCAUUAUCCAGUGAUGAAAUUAAUGAAACUGAUUAACAUGCAUUAUGCCAUUACUUGCUUGUGUGUCCAAUCUUGAGUGGCGUGUAAGAAAUAACCCAUAGACAUCUUAAAUUAACAAUGAAUCUCAGGCAAGCAAUGAUGAAUUUCUCUUUGCCUUUUUUGCAUCAGAAUCUCUCUUUUUGUUUAGAAUUGCUAACACUGCAGUUCAAACAUUUUGGCUUGCUUAAAACUUUUGAGAUAGCCUUAUCAUGAAAUUCUCAAUUUCAAGGGUAACUGAGACAACUGCAAUAUCUGUAUUGUAGUUUCUCAUGGUUGCUCAGGGUUUUUAUUUAAGUCGUGUUUGUGGUUAAAAGCUCUCUACUCGUUCUUCUUCAACAUUCAUCCUAGUAUUUUUUUUCUUACGAAAUAUUUCAGAAAUUCCUACUAUGCAGAAUGUUUCGGUUAAAAUUUGUGAAGGAUUUGGCUUUUAGCAGUGAGUAAUUGCUGCUUCUUUCAUCUGCAAGAUGUUGUGAAGUUUACUUGUCGAACUUUUGACGUCUGCAGAUAUUCUCUCAGAGACGGGGUCAGUGGAAAGCAGCCACUCAAUCUCAAGAGUUCUUCAGAACUUUGCAACGAUAUUACAACAAUGCUUACAUGGAUGCUAUGAAACAGGAUGCAAUUGAUGUGUAAGCUUCUUCUAAUAUGAGUGCUUGGCUUUCUUUGUGCUCUUUGACAGGCUGGAUGAGUUUUAUUAGACUUUUAGUCCCUAAUGCUGCUGCAUUGCAUGGAUUGUUUCGAGUACGGUAGGCCAACUGAAUUAUGCUUUCUUUGCUAAAACAUGGAGUCCUGUAGCCUUAAGCAGGGAUGGAGUUAGAACAUUUUGGCUGUGGGUGCAUUAACAUAAUGGUGAAAUUAAUUUCAGAUAAAUUAAGCUUAAUUUACUAUAUGCAUUUCAGUGCAUCAUACUUCAGAAAUCCUACUAAACUCUGGGCAAAAUUCUAAAUAAUAGACAGAAACGUGAACCAUGAUAUGAGUUUUUGUGGAUUGAUGUUAAUGGGCUGAGAUUUUGGAGGGAUUAACACAAAAAAUUUACAAAGAGCUGCCCCUACUAUUGAUGCCUAGGCACCAUUCCUGGGCUCAAUGAUAAUUUACUUCAAGAAUGUUCUCAGUAAUAAUCAUAUGUUGUGGGUGUGCUCAAUGUAGCUUUCCUUUUCACCAUUAUUUAUGUACAAACUGAUUUUUGCUCUUCCAGAAGAAAUUCAAUCGACGGGUUGUUUUGUCUUAUGAAGUCUAUGUCUGAACAAUUUUGCCAGAUUUUUGGGGAAUUUUCAGCCAGAUAUUGAUAAGCCUGCAGUGUGGGAGCUGGAUUCUGACCAGCCCUCUGAUUCUGGGAGGAAUGGACAGACGGAUGUCGAUGAAGAUGGAAGGUACUUGUAUUUUGCUGGCUUAGCACACCUGAGUUCAUAGAUGUCAGUUAGGAUUUUGAAUAACAUAUCAUUUAAUCAUGUAUCUUUUCUUUGUAGAUUGGAUAACCACAUAUCUUAAAACAAACGUAUUUUAUGCUAAACGUAGUGAUUUGGCAAUGACCUGCUAUUUCUCAUCAAGAGGAGAAAGAUCAAAAGUAUACUAAAACGUAAUUAUUCAGGAAAGUGGAUUCUUACUCGAAUCUGAUUCAUUGUGUGAAUGGGUAAAAAAGGGGGAUUGAGGAAGCUUGUGAUGUAUUUUCAGUUAAAUUUGGGGGGUAACUGUUCUCACAGUUCUGACUUUUGCUAUCUGGUAAAUUAGUUUGAUAUGAUUGUUAAGACUUAAGGGCUAUAACAUUUGUAGGUCAAUUUUCAAAAGAUGCAUGUCAGAUGGAAAUAUUCUUCGAAAAACAAACCCAUCCAUGUCGACCACAAAGAUCGAUCCAGAGAAGUAUUGUGCUUCAGUUUUACCUGACCGAUCAGAGGGAGCAAGGAGAGUACUCAGCGAGUCGUCACCUGACAUUUCAACCUCAGAGAGCGAAAUAACAUUUUCAAGGUUUGGUUAUUUCAUCUUUUCCUCACAUAUCAACAUUUCCAUCUAAAUUGUUCAGUUGCCUAGGAUACUACUCAUGCACAACAGCCUAGGAGAAGUUGAUUAAAAUUUCAUUCUGCUGGCUGGGGAUGCUAGAAUGAGUUUGUUUUGAUUGACCGAGCUGUUUUGUGAAGUAUGGGGUGUUCUCUGUUGGAUUAAACAAAAUCUAUGGUACUUCAUACUGCAUAGCCAUAUGCCAUCUGUUUGACUUCAUCUAUUGUGUCAAGUUAAGGCAUUUGAAGAUCGUUUCCAUCUUUUUGUCUGUGCCUUAUGGUGGUUAAUUCUUUGAGGAUUUUUCUUCUGGACUUUUUCAAAAACACUAAAUUUGUGACAUUAUAUUGUGGGAUUGAUGCUGGUACAUUAUAAAUGUUGAGGUGGCGAACUGCUCAAGUGAAUCUCUUUUCUUGAGGUUUUCAUUUGGUUUCAAAAACAAAAUUAGAAAUUAACCAAAAAGGCCUUUAAGCCAUAAAUUCAGGUCUUAUCAAUUCUUGCUUUUUAACUUAUUUUUUAUUGAUAGAUAAAAUUUCCUGGGAUUCAAACCUGUUGGGUGAGAGCCGAGUAUUUUAACCAUCCUGACUACUAUGGAAGAUUCUUGCUGUACUUAAUAUCAGAUAUGGAGAAUAUGGGGCUAAGGAAGUAAAGUUUAUGCAUGAAAUAGUCACUUGUAUUGCUAUGUAGAUGUGUGUCUACUGGUCUAGAUGGGAUUUAAAGCUCUAUCCGUCGUGAAGAUUCUCCCUACUGAUGUAUUCACACGUCUAUUGUUCCGCUUCCGCAUGACUAAUUUUUGGGUCACUGUAUCAAGACUUGUCUCAUGUGGCAUCCGUGGCAAUGCUUUGAGGGGUCUGGCUUGCACUUCAUGUGUGAUUCUGUGCUAUUUGCUAAAUGACAAGUGGCAAAACCUUAAUUCCAUUGGCAUACACCACAUGCUUAUAAUGCAUCUUUGUUUAGGUACACCCCUUCAAUGCCUCGGAGACAGCUAUUUGGAGAUGCACAGCGAGAAAACAAUCAUAUUCACUACACUGAGUAUGGAGAUUCAUCAAGUUGCUCCAACUUUGUUGAUCUAGAUUGGCUCUCAUCAUCAGGAAACUCAUGUGAGGAGGAGCCUUACGAAAGGUAAAUUCAUGUUCUUGGAGCUUCAAAGUUGAAAUGGUAGAACAUGACUUAGCUGCAUGAAAAAGACUAAUUGAUCAGUGGGUUCAUGAUAAGUUCCUCACCUAAGAAAGGGUUAUUUUGGAUGAUAUAGAGGCCAUAUCGGCCAUCACAAAUUGCUGUAUGUUAAAAUAUCACAGCAAGGACUUCCUACCUAUGUCCCUCUUUGGCUAACUUCUGGUGUCUUUGAAGAGUUCCACUUUCGCUCUGUGUAUCGUUCUUGGCAUCAGACUGUAUAGCUACGUAAAUACUUUAACACACCGAAUAUAAGGAUGUAUAUGCUCUCUUACAGAUGACCAUCUAUGACUGUUGGCCCGUUUACAUUUCGAGUUGGAUGUGAUCUUAGUAUAUAGAUUCACUAUGGAAGAACUAUUUGUUAACAAAGUCAUCUAUAGGUCAUCAAUACUCAUAAGCUCUCCAGUUGCCGGAUUGUCAUCAGAGAAUGUCAUGUAUGGAAUUGGGGCAACCCCAUCUACAAGUGAUUCCAGCAUGAAGGUCAGUGCCCUUCCUCAAGGUUCUAGCAACCGCUUUUCAGAAAUCAACUCUUGUUGACUCUUAAUGGUGAGACACCAUUUAAAUGUGACUUUCAAUUCUGAAGCAUUCCAGUAGUAAGGGGACAAAUGACUUCUGCUUGCAGGACUCUAACCUGCUUUAUGUACCUUAGCUUAGAAUAAUGCACAGGUGUUUAACUAAUCUGUUGUUCAGAUAUGGUCUUUACUUCAAACAAUGUAGAUUGAUAAAUGUGCUCAGGGAUAUGAUUUUCGUCUGAAAGGGAUAAUUUCCACAGCCUCCAUUGAGUGGCUCUUGUUAAACUGUACCUGUCGAAUGGUUGAAAGUCCACCGAGAUUAUGAUCCUUAUAGUUUUUAUGUAUUAGCCUCUUUUGCCUUAUUUAUUAUGCCGUGAAGACUGAGUAGAAUGGUUAGCUAGUACAGGAAUUAAGGGGUCAAAUUCUGAGUGUUAGAACUAAGGCUUGCAACUUCAUUGUAAAAUAGUUGGGACAAAUGGUCCAUGGACUCUAGCUCGAUGUGUGAUAUGGUCCCUAAACUUUCAAUUUGUUCAAUUUACUCCCUAAACUUUAUCCCAAUAUGCAAUGUCGUCUCUGAACUUUUAAUUUAUUCAAUGUGGUCCAUGAACUAUUGGUACAUGUUUAAUUUAGUCUUUGCACUUUAUGAAAAUAUUCAAUAUUGUUCCUAAACUUGAAUUCAUAUAAAGACCACAUCAAACAUAUUCAUAUAGUUUAGGGACUAAAUUCAACUUGUACCGAAAGCUCAGGGACCACAUUAAAUAAAUUAAAAGUUUAGGGACCACAUUGCGCAUUGGGCCAAAGUUCAAGGACCAUUUGUGCAAUAACCCAAAAUAGUUAUUUGUGUCAAGUUUUUAUGAACCUUCUGGAACAACAAAUCGAUAUUGUGUUGGACAAUUCCAUGGUGUUCGGCUAAUACUUUUUAUUUUAUAACCCUAAUCAGAUUGUAGUGAACUUUUCAUAUAAUAAAUUGGUUUGUUCUUGUCUUGUGCCAUGGCUCAAUUAAUGCCUUGCUGCAAGCUCCAGUUGACCUAAUUAUUUCAAUUCCCUUGAGAGUUGAAACUUACUAAGCAUGGUAGCACUGAGAGCCAUCUAGAGUUAAUCGUGAGAUUUUUCCUUGGAACAACCCUAAACACGUGCGAUGGAGCGUGACAGUAAAUCUAAUAAAUGAAAUGUCAUGGAAUGGUCUAAUCCACGGAUAGUGUGUACGAGCGUGAAUGCACUUGAGGUAUACCCUGCACCUGUUAAAAAUAUGAUCAUUUUGUAAACGGAAGUUCUAUUACUGUUUGCUUGGACUCCUUCACCUUAAAAUCGUCUCAGUGCUGAUACUAUCGAACUGAGCCAACUAGUAGGUGAUUUAGUGUUUAGUCAUGUACUCUAUGAAUUCUCGCGAUGGUACCGUGAUGGUCCUUAGAACCUCUCUAGCAUGCAACAGGGGUGACGAGAGUUGUUAGUAUUGUUUAGUUCAAAAGGGCGACGGGGAUUUGCUUUUCUCUAAGUUUUUUAUGACCGUGAUGGUCCUUAGAACCUCUCUAUCAUGCAACAGGGGUGACGAGAGUUGUUAGUAUUGUUUAGUUCAAAAGGGCGACGGGGAUUUGCUUUUCUCUAAGUUAUUUAUGCUUGUCCUUUCAGACAAGGGAUGUUCUUUUUUCAUCAUAUUGUGUGUGAAGAGAACCCUUUUCAUGCCAGUGACCAUUGCUAUUUUUAGAAUUUAUCACGCCAUUCCGUAACGAUAAACUAUUUGACUUUGUUCUGAAUGGCAUAGCUAUUACUUCUCUCUCCAGGGAAGGGAGCAUGCUGCAACUGAGCUAUCGUAUCAUUACUCCCAUAAUUCUGAUGUGUUGGAGGAAUUUUCAGAUGGCUUUGUACAAUGGGUAACCUAUGGAGAGGCGCUUUGUACAAUGGGUAACCUAUGGAGAGGCGCUCUGCCACUGAAGCCCAGCUGAUUCCCUGAAGGUUCUUCUCGCGUUCCCUUUUUAGAACUUGUUCCGAUCUAUACAGAGUUGAUGCAUCGAAUGGGGGUAAUAGGAGAUGGUAUCACGAACAAAGAGGACUCGGGGAAGAAAAAAGGGGGAUCGCCUUCGGUACUUCCGUCAUUCCUCCUGGUCGAGACCUGAUUGAUUAGUACAAAAGAGUAAAUAGCAACGGUUAGAAUUCUUUCUGGAGCUCUGCAUUUCCGUCUACUCAACAAUUUCAUCCAGGGACUCAGUAGGUUCGAACUUGUAAAUAUCUGUCUGCUUUCACUUUGCGAGCUCCACUUCUUUAAGCUGCAGAUAAUUGAUUCUUUAUUCCUUGAUGAUCCUACUUGCAUCUACGUGCCAAUAUUAGCUGUCGAGGUACCAGAGCCUCUCCAGUUGUCAAAAUGCUGUCAUUUUUAGCCAUAUAUGCAUGCGAAUAGUACUCCCUCUUCAUUAUCGUAGCCAAAGCUCUCAGGUUGUGUUUUACCAUAUGAGUUGACAAGUCGAUUGCUGAAAGAACUUGUGGAUUUUUGCUAGCCGACACAAAGUUCUUUGGUAUAAGAAAAUGUGGCAAGCGAAUCUUCCAUUUUGGUCGAAGUUGGCCAAAACGAGCAUGAGCCUUAAUGUCUAUAUUUGGUAGGCUGAUGGUCAUCUGCAUAGUGAAUCAUCGCUCUUACCCAGGAAGCAAUCUGUUGAAGCCACACAUACAUCUACCUGUUACGGAAAUUCUAACGAGUUUUUCCUGAAAUGUGUAGUCUGACAAACGGCACACAAGAGUUACGGACAUCAAAGGCCGAGGCUUGAGUUCAUAUUGUGGGAACAAUAAGGCGUUACCUUUGUUGUGCAGCUCAUUCCCAUCCCGGAUCGCUGCUGAGCCUGUUGAAUUCAGACUGAAAGCUUGUUCUUCGAACGCCAUUAGCAAAGUGGGACGUGGCUGUUGAUACCUCGCUUUCCCUCAUAGGCAACAGUUUAGACUCUCAUUCAAAUGACGCAACGCCACCCAAGGGGGACAAUUUUGGACCUCGCAGAGAUCGUCUCGUUAGUCUCACGUGUUUCCUGUAAUCUUGACUAGUCCAUUCAACCACUCUCCCCGUGAAAGCAGGGCCGCCUUUUGGUUAUUUGGUCCGAAAGCAGGGCUGCCUUAAUGUUCCCUUUUCCAAGUUGUGAACCCGUGACACUCCCGCUUGGAGGGUCCAGAACAGAGGUGGCAAUCUGACAGUUCCAGCAUUUAAGGCAGACCACUGGGCGAGCGUGGCUUUGGUGGGACCACGCGGCUUGCUCAUCCAUCGACACAGGAAACGCUACUUUUUUCCAGUUGACCCGGACCGGAGAAGCUAAAUUCUUAAUCUGUGCCGGGUUUUAGAUGAGCAAGUCUUGCAUGUACACAGAUCAUAUGGGCCCAUCCCAUCUCAACUAUUAAACUGUUUGUUUCCACAUCGGGCUACUAUAUUUGAUGAAUGAAAUUAAGUGAAUUAACGUACGCCGGGUGCAUGUGCUUAGUUUUUCGUUUUAUAACACACUUUUUCAAGUCUGCCGAUGUUGGUUUCAAGCCCCAUUUGGUCGGGACAGGCCUGCAGGGCGCUACGGGUGCCAAGCCACCAUUAAGUCCGAUCUAGUAUAUGCUAAGGCCUAUGGCAAAUUUGACCAAAAAGAAAAAAAAGGACUAUGGCCAUACUAAUUCGGAUUGGGCCAGAUCCUAACAAGGGCCAUUUUCCCCAAACCAGCCAACUAAAUCCUUUCCAGUUGAAGCAGAGCCAAGCCCGCGGCCCCAAUGGGUUAUUCAUUUUCUUCUUUCUCCUCUUCUAAUCGGUCGGUGGAGACUCGCCGCUUGUCGUUGGUCGCUGUUGUCACCGCUACUGAUCGCCAGUCAUCGCUGCCAGCCAUUGUUAGUUGUCAUGGCCAUUGAUCGUCAGAUAGAGGAGGAGAAAGAAAAGAGGAAAAUAAAUAUUAAAAAGGUAUAAAAUAUAUAAAAAAAAAUUCUCAUACAAAAAAGAUUUGUGAGUCAUACUAAAUGCAUUUCCAUUCUUUUUAUAUUCUGGAAAUAAAAAAAUUAUAUAGUUACCAACUAAGAAGCACCAAUACUCUCUAGAAGCCUUUGUAUCGUGUUCAACAUGUGUUUGACACGUUCCGAUACGUGGUCAACAAGCGUCGGGAAAUUCGACACGAGAUCAACUCUUCCCGACACACUCCAACACACGAGUCCGAAAUUCCGACAUGCGAUUCCGACACAUACAAGAUCAAUUUUAAAAAUUUUCAAUACUUGAGAAGUCAAAAUAUAAAUAUCUAAAAAAAAUAAUGAAAAUAACAAAAAUAAAAGUUCACUCUCAAGUUUCUCACUUAUAAGUUUUGACAUUCCCAUGAGUAACAUAAAACACCUCUCUUCUUGCCGGCGUCGCUAUGCCGCUCUCGCAGACUUAAAGUUGUGAUUUUUUAUUUUUAUUUUUUGCUUCUUUUUGCCUCUCGUAGGCAUUGCUUAUGAGUUAUCUCUUUUGGUCUAUGUCAUUAGCUUGUGAGUAGUCUCCUACAUUUUCCAUGCCGAAUUUAAUUAUUUCCUUUUCUUUUGGUCGUACUUCGAGAGUUCUUAUCCUAGAUUUUCAUUUUUCUCGAACCUUGUUUUGUAGAGGAGCUCCAAGCCAAUUUAUAUCAUGAACUCCAAACUCUACUUGAUUUUGAGAGGAAACAUGAUAUGUUUCUUCAAAUUUACUCGUGUUUGCAAUUUUUGAAUUUCUUAUUCAAUAUCUAUUAAACUAUAUUAACAAAUGUUGCAUUAAUAAUUUUAGUAUAAAUUAAUUCUAUGCUCUUUUUAUUAUUUAUUUUUACAUUUAUAUAUAAAAAUAUAUUAAUAUAUAAUGUGUCGGAAUGUGUCGAAAUUCUUUAUUUUUUUAGAAAUAACAUGUCGCAUGUCCGUGUCAGUGCUAAAUAGAUUACCAAACAUAUUAUUUUACUUAAAAAUUAUUUCAGAGAAUAGAAAUAGACAAAAACUAUUUCUAAAAAGAAAUUGUACUCCAAAAUAAAAAUGUUACCAAGCGCACUAUUGAAAGUACUCAUCAAAUUGCUCCUGUUACUUCUCUGAGAAGUUUACAAACAGAAUAAAUAGAAAUCCUAAGCAUAGCCAGGAAACCUAGCAAAGUCUGAACAUCUCCAAAAAUUUUAAUAUUUCCGAGCAGUAUAGUGUGCAUGAAGUUUGUGUGCGCUGAUUCACGUCAAGCAUUCUGCAAGCACCCAAAAAUUUCGAGAAUUCCCGCUUUUGGUCGGAUGAAUCAACCGAGGAUGGGGAAGAUGCGGGUGAUGUGCUCUAAUGGAAUGCUCUCUGCAGCGUUUUUCUUCAGUUCGGGAUGAUUGAACUCGUUUUGGGGAAUGAGGAUCAGUUGACCUUUCCCCUGUCCCUUCUCCAAGGCCCAGCCAGAGUUGGCGACUUGGUGUUCGAGGAACUUGUCCAGUGAUAGACCUUCUAUAUUGAUAGCCUGUAAUGUAAACACGCCAAAUCAUGAGCUUUAUCAAAUGUAUGCUAUUAAGGGACCAGACCGACUUUCCCACAACAUAAUAAUUUAGAGGGGUAGUGAGGCAAGAGAAAAUACUUGCAAACUACAUAUUUUCUCUAUCAAGCAUGAUACAGUAACAUAAUACUUUUAAUUUCCUUAGCACUAUAGGUCCAAAUUCUGCCUUAAAUAAAAAGAAAAGUGGAUUAUGGAUAAACAAACAAGGUACACAGUGGACAGGCCAACAUCACAAGUACCUCUGCAAGCACGGUCCUGGGAACCCUUUGGUAAGUCAAUGACAAUACGUGAACAGCAUAUGCUUGGAUUGCUUGCUCAAAACCUGCAUGAAAGAUCAGUAAGCUAUUUCUGCACUGUGAAAUUUAUAGGAAAUAAAAAAAGUAAUUGAUGAAACCAGCAAAGAAAAUACAAGUUCUCAUGGCAUAGUAGAUCAGAAAGUCCAUUGGCAACAGCCCACAGAAGCAAAAAUUAAGGGGCUUCUAAUAGCCGAGAAUCAAUAAGAAAGCUAAAAGAAAAGAAAAGAAGACAAAAAAGAAAGAGAGAGACCUCUUCUAACCAAGAAGAGAUCCAAAUCUAGUAUUGCCCAAGUUUCUGACAAUUGAAUGUGGUCUGAAUUUCUAUGCAAAAAUAUUGGGAAAGCUAUAAGUUCAUCAUUAAAUUCCAGACAAGAGGUAGAUUUCAGAUCACCCAAAGUAUUGGCCAUAUGAAAUAAUUCAGAGCAUAAACCAACAUAUAUAUAAAGCCAGUACUGAAGUUAUGGACAGUCAGACCAGAGAUAGAUGGCUAAGCCAACUGUAAAGGAAAAUGAUAAUAUGUGGGCAACAACCUGUCUAAAUUAUGCAUUAGAUGUACUUGUUCUGUUAAUAUCGAAGUCAUCUCUUUGCAAAUUCUAUUCCUGCUUUCUGUUUGAGGACCAAAUAUUUAAGCCAAGACAGUGAUAGCAUCCUCGGACAAAUUGCAGCAAGGGCAUACCAUCAAAGGUACAAUUCAUCUUCCGUUCCAUGACUUUAUCAUGCACAGUGGAAUCAUCAAACAUGUACUAUGUAUAACUCAUGCUCAUUUAGGUUCUUUAAUUCUAUCAACCAUCAAUAACACUACCUCAACCAGAAAUAAAGACAAUGAUUAUACAGUAGUAGUAAUGGUCAGGAUAUUUUCAUAACUAGAAAUCCAGUGUAAACAAAGGAAUUUGACCACUACAUUCAGAAGACAACACUUAAAUGCAGUAGAUCAAAUCAAUUACCUGACACAACUUCAAGCAGAUGACGACUCUUAGCCGCCUCCUCCCAGAACUGGCGAAAUCUUCCUGUCUGCAAAUAAGGAGAUAAGCAUUGAGUAAAAGUCAACCUUUCACGGAACUUAUGAGAAACCAAACUUAUAUAAUAGACAUACCUCCAAAUAAUGUGAGAGGACAAUCAAAGUCUUGAAUGGCUCUUCCAUUUGCUGACACAUCAACAAGAUAUCAGAAAAGGAAUAAUUCACUACACCACCCUAGCUUACAAUAAGGUAACCCAGACUGGGAACAGAAGACAAACAAGCUUCUAAAUAGAUAAAUUUAUGACUGCAAACCAACUGUCCCUACACAUACAAUCUUUGAUUAUAGAAAUGUCAAAUCAAACAACAGUCCCAGCGGCCAAUUACACCAUGAGGAAAAGGAAUAGAAAAAAAAAUACCACUCGCUCUGGAAUCAAGAAGAGACAAAGGCUGAAAUCCGGAGCCGGCAUUGCCAUGAGAGCCUGAUCCAAGUAUGAAAAGAAAGGGAGAGAGCAUUAGACAUGAAUAGCAUUGCAAAGCAUCAUACAAGAAUAUAUCAACGUCUUAGCAAAGUCAGACCUUUAUUAAGAUGCGAGCAACAAUUUGGGAGCUCAUCUUCUCCGGUUCAAACUGCAAAGAUACAGCAAAAUAAGCAGCCCGACAACACCACACAAUCACAUGAAGUGAAUUACAAGAUAACUAAUCAAAUCAUCGACCUAAAAGUCCAAACCUAAAAUCACAACACCACGAACACGAAUUCGCCCCCGGCAAAAAAGAAUCCGUAAUUCACGGUAGCGACCUCGGCAUUACCUGAUAAAGGCGGAGGAGGCAGAGAUUCGCAUCCAAGCUGUAGGUUUGCGAAGACACCUGCCGAACGCAACAUCAAUCAUUAGCAUUCACUAGCGUUUCUCCGCAACUCGAACAACGCCUCCCCGCGGCGGCGCAAUUUCCGGGCACAAACUACAAUCCGGCGGACUUUUCCUAACCCACCCACUUUCCAAUUCCAUCUAACCUCCAUAAAGCUCAAACCUUUACGAACUCUCCCGCUCUCUCUCACAAGAAAUUCAACCCACCCGGCCACCGCCGCCGCCGCGAAACCCACCGGCGGAAACCGCAAGGAGGCGGCGGCGGCGGCGGCCCGCCGUCGUCGACCGACGUACCUGCUCGUUGACGUGAUUCUCGAGAUCCGGAAGCAUGUCCGGGUUGUAGGGGUUGAGAGCGACGAGCUGCUCCACCGUGUACGAGACCUGUUCCCUCCCCAUCUCUUCUUGCCGGCCACGAACCACCGUUCGAUCGGGUGAGCUCUUCAAUCCGACCGGACGGGUUGCUGGGACGGAAGCCCCUUUCGAAUCUGGUUCAGUCGCUCGUCGUCGCUCGCUAGAGAGAUUGAAACGCAGGGAGAGGAAAGAGGAGGAGCGGAAGAGGGUUUAGGGUCGGCUUCGGUUUGCGUGGUGUGAAUUGACGAUUUUGUCCCUGACUUCUCGCCUUUUAGUAUUUUCUUUUUUUUUUACGAAAAUGUUAGAAAUCCUUGAGCAUGAUGAUGAACGAAAUAAAUUUAAUUAUCUCAGUCUAGUAAAAUUAAGAAUUAGAUACGUUUGGUAAUUAUUUUGUUUUCGAAAAUGAUUUUUAUUCAGAAAUAAUUUUUUUCUGGUUUUACUUUCUAAAUAACUUUUUGAGCAUUUGAAGGUGUUUGAUAAUUGUUCAAAAUUUUUAUUCUUGGGAUAAAACAAUAUUUAGUACGAUUUUCAAAUUUUUAUGUGAUAUAAAAUUUCCGUUAAUUUUUAAAAUAAUUUUAUUACAUGUUUAGCUUCUUAUUUUCUUUCCUUUUUUCCCCCAUUUUCUUCCUCUUCUUCUUUUAGCCAGUUGCUAGCCUUGGCUAUAGCCAACAACUAACGACGAUUGGCCAAAUGAGAGCCUGCAACCUCAUCGAGAUCAAGCUCACCCCAACCAUCGAUGGUGUUCAAUCUCACUAAGCCAUUGUGAAGUUGGCAUCGAUGGCCAUGGUGAGGUCAAUCUUGUGAUGGCUCGAGGCUCGACCUCAUCGGUGGCUAGGUGAGCUCCACCUCACCAGAUUUAGGUGAGGUUGACCUUGCCCAACGAGGCUCGAGCUAGUGAGGCUCGGCCUCAUUGAGGGUUGGCGACCAUUUGGUGAGGUUGCUAGGGUAGCCCUCACUUGGUCGAUCAUCAAUUAUGGCCGAGGCUGGUAACCGGCAAAUGAAGGAAGAAAAAGAAGAAAAGAAAAGAAAAGAAUAGAAAAUGAGGUUCAUUUUGAAGUUGUUCCUAAGAACAAAGAAGCAACUUUUAUUAUUUCUUGAUUCUAUCCUAAAUUUGUUUCUUCUAGAAACGAAAACUUUAUCAAAUGAAUUUUUGCUUUAUUUAUUUAUUUGAGAGAACAAAAUAACAAAAAUAGUUACCCUCCUCAAUUACCAAAUAUGGUCUAAAUAACUAUCCUGAUUAUUUGUUGUUCCAAUUUAUUCUCAAGAGAAGGUAAAUUUUUCUCUAAACCAUCAUUUGAAUAUAAUUCAUAUAUCUAUUACACAGUCAAGUUGCUACAAUUACAAGUGAAAAAAAAGUUGCUUGUAAAAUAAAAUAGAUAAAUAAGCUCCGGAAAUACGAGCAUUUUAGCCAGUAAUACUAAAUCAUUUCGCUAUCAUGUAAUUGAAAUUAUUUCACUAUCUUGAAUUUACCCUUUUAAUUUAUUUCUUAACAAAAGAAAUUGAUCAAAUAGAAAGAAUAGCUUCCUACAUUUAUGACAUCAUCAUUAACAGGAGGCAAAUGCCUCGUUUCCACGUCACUAAUCAAAACAUCAGUUUGACAAAUAUCAGGUACAUCUCGUUAUGCCUACCAUCAGUGACUAAGAAAGAUCAUUUAACCAACUAGGAGCAGCAUCACAAAUUACAAAUUCUUGCCGCCAAUCCUUUUUAGUUCCAGCUUGCGCAUCGGCACGCUCUUGGGCUUCUCUAAACACGCGCUCGAUCUUCGCCUCGUGGAACGAACCUCGACAAUCUCCUGCAAUCACCAUCCCUGCAUGAAAGUUUGGCUCAUAGAUGCAACAGGUUUGAUAUCAAGUUCCAGCCCAACCACGACUUCUUGUCAUUCGGGGAGACGAAGUUGAGCUGGAACAUCUCCUUGCUGACGUGCUCGCCGGACUCGCAGAACCCAACAAGCUUCGCGACAAUCUCCGCACUCUCCUGCACGUGCUGCAUGUUGUAAGGGUCCGUCCACAGCCGGUUCACCAGCUGCAGCCUCCUCUGCUUCCCCACCGGCGGGAUUUCCCAUUUCACGUACAGCAAUUCUCUCUCCUCCGCACUCAGCUUCGAGCUGACCCUCUUGGCCAAGUACUCCCUCUCCUGCUUAAGAGCCCUUAUGCUGCGUAACAAAAAUAAAACCGGCGAAACAUGUUCAAUGACUCGAUGUAUCAUGCCAUAAACUGUCAGUAUCUUCAUAUUUCUUUAGAAGUUGAUGUCUUAUUAUAGGCAUUUAGAAGAACUGAUUCAGAUACUUUUCACAUACCUUGAUGAAACAGAUCCAGCUGGUUCAUCACCCAACAAUGCCGGGCUCGCAUUGCCAAGCUCUGCUAAAUGUUGCUCCAGCCAUGUCAACCUUCUGAGCUCAACCUCCAAGUAUAUCUGAUCUGACGGGUCCCCUCUAAAGAGCAAAUAGAAUUGUGUGCGGUGCACAAUUGAAACAUGGCACAAAUGCCAUAACAUGAUGAUCUGCUUUCUUUGAUCCUCGAAUAUCAAGGGCCAUGGCUGGGGAGACUGCUCUACUGUAUCCGAUCCAUCUGUAGUUGUCCCAUUUGUUUCCAUUUCCAACACCUAUCAUAUAAACAGAAAAUGUUUAUAUGCCGUAAAGAUAAACUCCAUGAAUAAUCAGCCUGCUAAAAAUCUGUAUUAAUAAAGAAAGAAAGAGGAAAAAAAAAAGAAAUCACAGUAGAAAAGCUAAACUUGCCGAUGCACCUCCUUAUGCCUUUUUGCCUCAUGGUCAUUCAUUUGCCUACCUCAAUUAGCAUUAACACGAUCACAAUGCAGUUCACACAGAUGCCGGUGCAAACAGAACAUAUACACCAAGAUAAAAGGACAAAAAUGCAAUUCGCCCCACAAAUGUUUAUUGAAAAACAAUCAAACAGAUAGUCAGAUACCAUAACUCUGAGAAACUGUUUGCUUUCUCUGACAUACUUCUCAAAGUUCCUUAAGCUUAAUGUGAACUACAGUACGUAUCUCAUAAUCAGCUUUGAACUAAAAAAGCUCUGCAUCGAAAUGUUUGAACUAACCAAGCUCUGCAUCUAAAUGUAGCUCACCUGACAAACUAGAAGCUGCUUCUGGUACUGUAGCUUGGCCACCCGCUCUUUUAAUUCAGUGACAUAAGCUUUAAUGCUCCGGAUGUUCUCCUCAGCAGCAUUUUUGAACAUUUUCUGCAUUUUCUUCACAUUAACUGAUCCUGAUUUUCCUGGGGUUGGAGUUCCCUCCCUUGACGAGAUAUAUUUCUUACUUCCAUCACUUCUUUCGGUACUGGGAACAUAAACAUUUCCAUCAGGAGCCUUGUUCUCGAUCUCGUAAUCCAUCACCUUCCGAGAGGAGGACAUUGGUGAACAUGGUGACCUGAUAAUGUGUUGGAUGUUUGGACUGUUGCUCAAGGAGAAAGGAUGAGACCUCUUCUUCUUUGUUUGGGUCUUGUCCUCUGGAGACUCAGCGCUAGCCUGAAAAGAUGAAACAAGCUUGUCUAUUGAUUCCUGAACGCAUUCCAGCUUCCUCUCCAGCACUGCGAUGCUGUUCUCUUGAGAGUUUAGUCGAAUGAUUUCUUCCUGCAGAUUGGCCGUCUCUCCAAUGUUGAUACCUUCAGGAAUAGAGUUGACUACUUUCAUGUCUUUGAUUUCAGAAAGUAGCUUUGCAAUGUUUUCUGCAGCCUCUUGACUUCCUACUCUGUGGGAAGCGAUCUCUUUGUGGAGUAUCUCAAUAGCUCGGUUAGCCUCCUCCCCAAGCUGCCUUUGGCGUUCUUCUAUUUUCCGAAUUUCAUGCACGAGCAUGGAAGGGUCAGUUGAUGUAACUGACUGCCUCAGUGUUGAAUGCCCCCCACAUGCAUUUCUUGGUCGAGUUACAGGAGUAGAUCUGCCAGGCCUUGUCUCCAUCUCCACCGGAAAAGCAAGACACCUUACUACCUGACUUGAAGGUCCAUCUUGAUUGAGCCCCUAGAGUUCAGCAAAAGAUGGGACGAAGAUUUUUGCUUAAAUAUGGACUUUAAUCACAGCCGUGUGGUGGUAUAAAAAUGUAAUUUCUCCUCGUAGACAGAGAAGAAUUUAUAUUGAGACUAGAGUUUUGCCAAGAGUUGGCAUUUCCUCAUUUCCCUCUGUCUACUAUGAUGUUCCCCCCACUAAUUCUUACUCUCUGAUUUUGGUUCGUUUUUUAUGAUUCCUGAUUACAGAACAAGAUUCUCCAUGCUUACAGUCAGCGAAGUACCUUGCGUUCCUUAUGCUGUGUUCUUUCUACUUCAAGCUGGGACUGUGCUUGAUCUCUCUGGCGCUUGAGCUCUCUCAUUUCCCUCUCCAUCUGCACAUUGAAAGUUUCUUCUAGUAAACUCAAUUCAUGUUCCAACUUUGGUGAUAUGAGCAUAAAACCAGCUACUAGGAAGAAACUCAUGCAAAUUGUUCAAAAGUGAAGUCCACUCUGUGCUCACCACACAGCUGCAUUUUUAACAUGAGAAGUUUUGCAUCACACUUGUUGAAAGCACCUACCUCCUGAAUCUUCUCGUCCUUCUCCCUUAGUAGGGCCGUUAAACGUGAAGAGGAUGAAACAUCUGGACUCCGCAGCUCUGCUUCAAGUCUGGCCACUUCCUUCUGAAGACGCUUCACCAACUUUUUCUCAGAUAUAAACUGAAUAAAAAAAUUGCCUAUUAGCAGCAGAGAAAGGACCUAACUCAACUCAAUUAUGAGCAGAAACAGAUUAGACAAUCACGCAAGCAAUCUGAUUAUACAUGUCACACAAAAUGUUUUAACCCCCCCAAGCAUGCUUCAUUGAGCUCCUAGAGAAUGAGCAAGCGUCGUAUGAUGAGAGGUCACCAUUGAGCUUUGUUUGUAAAAUUUUCAGAAAGGAAAAUAUCCGAACAGGUUGAUGGACACAUCUCAAAGUGUAGAACUGUUAUCUCUUGGUUUGUCGAGAAAUCCUGAAGUUGCUGGUUAUUUAUAGUCCCAUCAAGUUGUAAAGUACUAAAAACUUGUAUAACUUUUCCUACAUGCAAAAUGGCUACCUUUUGUACUAUUUCUGCCAAAAGAAUGACAUACUUUCAGAGGAGCACUGAUAAUGAAUAUUGCAUUCUUAACUCUACACUGGAAAUGAAAGUCCAGCAAAGGAAAAAAACUAAGAAGAAACCAACAUUGAAUGAUCUUCCGUGUUACUUGUCUUACCAUGUUUACUUGCGCUGUGUUGGUGACUUCUUUAGCACUUGUUGCAAAAGAAAGCGUGUUUUUCGACUGCUCUACAUGACUCAGAGCUGGACUCAUGGUACAAAUUAUUGCUGUUCGAGCAUUUCCUCCGAGGGAGGGCUGCAGUAUUCUUGUAAGUUUAGAAUCUCUGUAUGGUAUAUGCCCACUCCUUUUUCCAACACUGCAUGGAUACAUUAGUGUGAGAUGAAGUCCAUUCAGAGUUACAUUUGCACAGUGGUGGAGUGCAAAAAUGAUUUGAAUAUGAGAACAUCACAUCACCACUUCUAUCUAGAUUAUGAUUUAAUAUAAUUUUAUUCCAGGUUUGAUGUUCUUCCCAAGAAAAUAGACAGCUAAUAUGAUUUCCCACACUCAUCUUCAUGCGCAGAGUGAAACCAACGUUUGCACCUCUUAAGAUGAUAGGAUACUUAGUUGAAACCAAAUGGAUUGUAGCUUUCACUGUCAAUACUGUGCAUCUUUUAUGGGGAGGUAGCAAGUUAAUAAUCAUCCCCAAAUUACAAAUUCAACAGGAUGCUUUCAAUAGCUGGAUUCUGGAACAGCCAUUUAAGUGGCAUUCUAACCAUUAGUUUGCUCAUGUAACAUGGGCCUAGUGCUCACAAGGGCAUAAGUUGGCUUUUCCUCAUUUCUGAGCUUCUAAUUAUUAAUUCAUUUGAGGUAUUGUCAAGUGAACUAGGGUUAUCUCAUUGGUGAAAAAAGGGUGGAUGAACUAGAGUUACUAUCACAGUUAGUGGUACUUCACAGUAACAAGUUCCCUAAGACAGCCAUUGCUUUUAGUUUCCUAAUGGUAAAUCUUAGAAAAAUACCAAACAGUAAUUUUGGAGUGCUUUGAUGAAUGAAGAUGUAAGAUAUCAAGGUUUUCUCAUCUACCUUAACUUUCUAAUGACAUUACUUAACUUUCUAAUGACAUUAGUCAAUGUAAGCAAACUGCGGUUGAUAUGACUGCCUUCCUUCAGUCUUGCGCCACCUUCCAGCAAGGUCCACAAGAUUCUGAAAGUAAAUAAGCUCGUCUGUUUAACUACUUUUCUUUCGUAUCAGAAAAAACUAUAACUGAAGAUGGAUAAGCCGUACCAAACUGGCAAUGAAUGACUUCACACACUCCGAGUUUUCUCUGAGAGCGCUCUCAAUCGUCUGAAUCCAAAUAAAAAUCCACAACAAGAAGACAGUUAAUACUAACUGGAAAUUUCAGUCCAGCCUAAAGUUUCUGCAGCAGCUAAAAAGCAGAAUGAAUUUGCCAGUGUCUGUAACAGUCGAACCAGUGAUAUUUAUUCUAGUGAGAGAAAGAAUAAUAUUCAAGAAGUUGAAAUUGACAGCAAAUAAAAUUAUGAUGGAAUAUAUGAUCUUGAACAAGCAGAUAAAUUAAGAUGAAAUCACAAGUAUAUGAAGUCAUACCAGCCUAAUUAUCUGAUGAGAUCUUGAGCUUUUAUCAUUUAGAGCAGUUUCUCCAAUUUGCCUUUGGGCUGAGGAUAUUAAUACAUUAAUACAUUGUGCCAAUUUAAAAAGAGAAUCAUCAACUUAAUACAAUGCAGAGUAUCAUGCAAUGCAUUACGUAGGCUCAAAAUAAUAGAUAUAUAAAGAUAGAAAAGUAUGAAUAAAUGAAUAAUUUGUUCGAUAAAUAUUUAUCAAAAUAAUGGGGGUAUAAAUGUCAGACGGUUCUCUCUCCUCCAUGAACUUAAAGUGGCCUUGACUUUAAAAAAGCUGCCUGAUGAAGAGAUGAUUUGACACAGACCUAAACCCCAGUAAUCAAGAAGCUUCGAUUACCUUCACAAAGACCAAUUAAGUGCUGCAAGUGUUGACUGUCCUUUACAACUACUUCAACUAAUUUUUCCACAAUGGUCCCUUUCUGUAAUGCAAAACAAAGAGAAGGAAAAAGAAGUAAUUUCUGAGUUAAACAUAGGUACUAAUGCAUCAUAUUGUUUUAGAAAGGUUCCUUGCAGAAAAAAAUAGAAACAUUUGAGUACCUCAGGAUCAUCAAGGAGUCGAAGAGGACCAGAAUCAUGAUUCAGAAGGUCAUUAACACUUUCAUUGUAUAUCUCCAAUGCUGAAACCUUCAGAACAAAGUCUCUCUCUGGGUUCUGAAAGUUUGAUUGUAGAGUAAGUUGGCUUCCUGCUAUGGCAGGACUAUAUUUCUUCUCAAGGAAAAACACUCAAUAAAUUUCUGUUGUUUUAAUGAGAAGUACCUCCUUAAUGUGUUCAUAGAUGUCCUUGAUAGCAUUCUCAGUGAUUCCUCUCAUGGUGUAUGUUUUCCCACUACUAGUUUGCCCAUAAGCAAAAAUAGUUGCUGCAAUAAUUGGGAAAUGUUUAAUUCUAGAAACAAAACAAUCUGCAUGAGAUUUUCAUGUCAAGGUAUUAACUACAAACUAGUUCCAUACAAUUAAUUCCUUUGAGGGCUGAGAGGGCAACAUCUUUGGCUCCUUCUUCAUACACCAUGUAAGUCGAACUUGCAGGACCAAAUACCCUAUCUACAUAGUAAACCAGCAUCAGAAUCAGAAUCAAGGAAUUCCCAGGUUGUCUCACAUCACAUUAGUAUAUUUAGUCACAUUACAACCUGGAAAUAUAACUCUCUUUUGCAAUUAUGGAAAUUCCUUAAUGAGAAAGGUCUUAGUAACUGAAUUUUGGCAAGGAUAUAAUCCACAAAUAUAGAUACACUUCACAGUACCAAAUACGUAGGAUGCUGCACCACGUUCUUGAUUGGGAUUCUUGUAAAUGAUAGUGUUGUCAUCAGUGCAUUCCCAUGCAAUCAGGUCGUACAAUGCUUGUUCUCUCCGACUUAAAGGCCUUAGACGAACGGUGACAAAUAUCUUCUCCUCUCGAUGUGAGGCCCCUGGUGUAGAUGAAGGGGUUCUUCGCACCUUAGAGGAUGGUGUAGCUGGUGCCCUAUCAAUCAUGUUCGCUCACUGCACCACACGCUGAAAAAAUGAAAAUCGUUUAGGCCAAUGGACAACAUAAGUAUCACAAAAGUCUAUAAUGUCAAAGGCACUUGCGUCAUAGGGAACAGGAAUCACUAGUAGUUACGAUAAGUCUCACUUUUGCAGCAAAUUCCACAUUCUGAAGGGCAGUCAUGGAGUGUAAAUGAAGUUAGACUCUGAAAAGGCUGUAUUAUUCAAGGUUCUCUCGCAAUUUGUUUCUUUUACCAGAUAACGAAUGACAGUGAUUUUACAGCAACUGCCAUUCCCAUACUAGGCUCUUCAUCACACAACCAAUGCUGAAUUUGGCGGAAUGCUCCGAUCACCACACGGUCUAAAUCAAUCACCAGAACCGUCUAUUCCUCCCCAUUUCACAUUCGAACACCAAGCAGAAGAACUAGCUAGCCGCACAUGGAGUACCGAAAACCAGAGACCUAGUCACAAGUCUCAGUAGCGAUUUUCACUGGUGAUUCCACGUAAAGACAAAAUCUUUCUUGCAUUCCUCAGAUUUUCAGCAGAUUCACCCGAAAGCGAAUGAUCCGAACGCACAGGAAUCGAAGACGAACAACGACAAAGCAGCUGCGUACUCGGUCCAUAUCAACCAAUCGAAAAGAUGAGAAACGAUCGUCACGUCUCCAUUCCAUAAUCAUCAUCUCAACACGCGACAACAAAAACCACCUGAAACGCAACGGAAAUUGAAAAACGCGACGGCGCGACCACCGACGGAUUCACCGACGCGAAAUGCGGAAGAGGACCGGACGAGGACUCACCGGCGAUUGCUCCGGCAGCCGAAUCGGGACUUCAAAUCGCGGAGAAACGAGAUCGGCGAUCGGCGAAGAGAGAGAGAGGUUCCGCAGGAGUCGAAGUUCAGCGGAUGAACUUGCGAGAGAGAGAUGAGUUACGGAAUAACGGCUAUUUUUGUUUCCUUUUUUAUAUAUUUAUUUCGGUUCUGUUUUUUGAGUUCGAGGCGCGGCGUUCGCGGCUCACGCGCACCUGAAGGAAAUACCCCCUUUUUCAAAAAACCCAUAGAAAUAAAUAAAGAGAGAGAGAAUUUGUUGCGCUUAAUUUGAAUUGGAGCCGUCUGAUUUCGGGUCACGGGUCGGACCCCCACAGUUUGAUUUCGGGGCCCCCAAAUUCGCUUGUGCCCUCACUUAUGAAUUAAGUACUAAGGGUAUGCAAAAGAACCAUAAACCACCUAGAUUGCCUAGAACCGAACCGAAUCAGAUUGGAACCGACAAUUUCCAAGGGAAAUGGUCUUGUUCUUGUUAGUGGGUAUCGGUUUGGUUCCUAAUUCUAGAUGUGGAACCGUCCACCCACUUAUCUACAAAUGUAUUUUAAUUUUUAAGAAAAAUUUUCGACCCAAAAAAAUUUAAGAAAAAUGAAAACUAUAAACUCCCUAAUUUUAAGCUCAAUACCUAUUAAGUGAGUACUCAUCUUGUUUCACUCACACCUCAUAUGAGUCAUCUCUCUAUCUCUUACUCACAGCUUUGACUCUCAAGCUCAAUGCCCAUUAACUCACGGCAUCAACUCUUAACUUUUAAUAUGAGUUCAAUCUUUUUACUAAGCUUACAAUAAGGAACAGGGAAUUUUAUUUUAUUUUUGCUUUACUUUUUACUUAUUGGAAAAUAUUGCUCUAAAUGCAUGAAUCUUGAGUGGACCGGUUUUAUGGACCCACCUAGAAAUUGAACCGGGCCGACGAUUUGGUUCUCGGAUGGAUCCAUGGAAUCAAUGAUGGAACCAAUGGGCAGUUCCUAAGAACGUGCAAAAGAACUGGGACUCGCUCGAACCACUUGGAAUCGGAUCGGAACUGUCCGGAACCGGUGGUUCUUAAGGGAAUCGGUCUAGUUCCCGAUUCUAAUUUAUGGGAACUGAGGGAUACCGGUCCAGUUCUCGAUUACAGGGGCAGCUCCGUCUACCCGUCCACCCAGACAGGAACGAUUAUAUUAUAAUAAUAUAUUAAUUAUUAGUAUUAAAAAAUGAAAUUACUAAUUAACAAACCCAAAUAAUAAUAAUUAACCUAGAUCAAAUAAUUAAGAAAAUUAAUUAAAGUGGGUAAUCUAAUAUCAUGCUAGUCAAACCAGAUGAAGAGGUCUUGAUCUUGAAGUUGAAAAAUAGAAGGAGGAGAAGAAGAGUAGGUCAAGCGAAGAACUAGUAAUUUUGAUCGAAAACCAAAGUUGUUUCGCAUUAAGAUCGGAGCUUUCAAGAAACCCAAGAACCCCUCGGGCUAGGGUUCGUAGGGAAACCCUCGACAACAACACGUCCAUUCGUCUAUCCCUUUCUCUAUUCGGCCCUCCGAAAAAUCACCGUCACCCUCGACAGUAGCAACUUGUGGCUUUUGACUUAUAAUUAGUUUUACCUUCUUUCACUUUCAACGUUAUGUUUUGAUUUCUAGUUGUCGUAGCUUUUGGUUUCUAGUAUAUUACUCGAUAUGAAUAGUACUCACAAUAGGAUUUAGAAAAUUAUAUUAUUAUUGGUGAGUCGAUUCUAUGGAUUCACCUAGGAACUGGACCAGUCCGGUUCCCAAGUGGAUUCAUGCAACUAACGGGUGGAUUCUGGUUCCAAUUUUUUGAAACUGGUCCUUAGCGGGCGUGUUCUCGAUUUUAGGUCGGGAACCGCCCACCAGAACCAUGCACACCUCUAGCGGUUCCCCAUUUCUUUUUGGAAUCAAUCCUUAGUGAGUGGUUCCUAGUUUUAGUUUGCCAAAAAUCAUGAUCCUAAAUCCUAACAUGAACUUCAUAGAUUAACCUUGUACAGGUCGAUCUUUAAAUAUAAUAAGCUCCACACGAGAUUUUAUGAUUUAAGAACCAAUGUUCCUAGUACGUAAGAUGAACGGACCUUUAAGAUUUAUUAUCAUGCCAAGAAGCAUGCCUUACACGGUUCUUCAAUUUGUCUCGGUCAAAAUUUCGAAUUGACCAGAGAGGACAACUCGAUUUAGAUCAAGCAUGAGAUCAUGCCUUACGCUCGAGACACCGUGCUAAGAAAAGUCCUCAAACAAUCUUUUCUAUAAGUACGUGGAAAGCACCUCUAGAUGAAAUUAACUAUUUAUUACUCGGUUAUAUUCCAUGUUUACGCACUAAUUGACGAAAUUUGGUGUGUGGUAAUCUCUCUUUAUCUAUUGAAGAUGGGCCUGCUUUGUCGAGUCACUGUGCAUUAAGCCCGAUAAGGAAGGUGGCCCAACUCCAUCUUGGGCCACUUUUCUUUUGUUCAAGUUAAUUCUUAUGUUGAAUUGAUUAAUGGAAUGCUAACGUGGCGUUGGCAUCACGUAUGCGUAUGAUUAGAUUAAUCAACGUGAUGUGGAAUAUAUUUUCACUCAGUGCCGGUUAUUAAAAAGAGGGGGGAAAAAUCAGAAAACCCUAACCAAGAUGAGUGGCAUAGGAUAAGGGAGGGCUACUCGGCUGGGGCGGGCGGCAAUGGUGCAUCGAUGAGGCGUGGCAAGGGUAGUCGAGUGCCCGAUGACGUAAGGCAACUGCUAUGUGGCCUUCGUCACCUCCAAUCCAAGUACAUGUGCACACAUAGAGCGAGAGGAAGGCACAUAGAGAGAAAAAAAUGGUGGUAUUGUGGUCACUACCUGAUCCGAUGUGGCUAGGGUUGCGCAACCCCGGCCCCCCUCCCCCAAAGUUAACUGAGACAAUUGAGAUAUGGCCAAGGUUGGUUGAUCCCUGAUGCCACCUUGCCGAGGUUGCAUGACCCCAUUGGUUCAUUGCCUUGCUUUCGUGAUUCUCUCUCUUUCUCUCUCCCCAAUUUCCUUAUGUUCUAUUUGUUUAUAUUAGUUUUAGCUUUAUAAUAUUUUCUUAUUGUUGAUUUCUUUUUCAUUUCUGAAAGAUCAUGUUAGCAUUUGAUGGCAAAUUGCCACAUCAUAUUUCCGCCCAUAAUUUAAUAGAAGAAUCGACUUGAACAAAAAAGUGUAAAGUUUAAUGACUUGAUUAUACAUGAAAUGCAAGUGUACUUUCACAAGUAAGAUAUAAAGAAACUCAAUCGGCAAUCCUCGAGCUAGUUAUGAUUAUUCGCCAAAAAUAAGAAAAAGAAAAACCUGAUAGACCUUUUACAUGGCUUCUUAUAUUUGGAAAGGAUGGGUUACAUAUCCCAUUUAGAACUUUGUAGAUUAAAAUUUGGGUUGCGUUCAAGAUUGUCGAUUGUGGAGGUUUUGUGACAUGCAAUCAACUCUCUAUGACCUCUUGAGUUUCUUUUACCGCAAAAAUAAAAAGUUGGUAUCUAAAUAUUGAUUAUUAAAACUCAGCAUGAAGUAACAUACAAUUUAUCAAAAUACUAGCAGUAUAUAUAUGACAUAAGUCGGCAUAUGAUAUAAGUUUUCUAGGCUAAUCUUAGUAUGCCUAACAUUUUUCACCAGAAUAUGCACAUGAUUUGAGUUGGCAUGCAGCAUGCGACACUUUUGUCCAAACAACUUUAUGGAGCAAAAAAAAAAAAAGAGUGAAGAUUCACCGAAUAAGCAACUUAUCAUUUACUUGAGGGCAUUACUAUUUAUGAAGCCGCCACUUGUUUGGUUUGAGUGUCCAUGAAAAAGUUGUAUUACCUAUCUAGCUAGUCACAUCUCAAUAUUCUUACUAAGUAUUUUUAUAUAUAGCAUGGAGUUUAGCUUUAAAUUAAAAGUAAAUGCAUUUCUCCCACUCCCAACCUUUAAAAGAGUUGUCAAUGAGAAAAGGUAAGGAACCUAUUUUUAUUUCUUCAAAAUUCGAAUAGAGACCAAGAGAAAACCUUUCUUUUGAAACAUAAAUAUAGAUAAGCCUUGAGUGCAUGCAUAUUUUUCAAAUUUUCCCAUUUCUAUUAUCUGCAAAAUGGCCUAACCCUUCGAAUAAUUUCAGGCAUACAUAUAAAGAAAAAAUUAAGGAGGAGGGUUGGCUUCACUCUCUUUUUUUCCCAUUGAUUUGCAUACACCAAAUUAGACGGCGUUUUUUUUUCUUUUUGGUCGAAAAUUAGAUGGGUGUCGAGAGUUGACAAUGCUAAUGAAGAAAAGGAGACAUUAGAGAAACCAGUCGGGUCAAAUCCGUCAAAUCCGACCUCGGAUUCGCAUCCCAAACCAACCAAUGUGGACGGUGGAAUCGCUAGAAAACGAGCGGCUCAGUGAGUCGAACGGGAGAGGCGAGGAGAGGCAAAAGUAAAAAAGCGCAAGCAGCCAAAAUUUCCGACAGAAACGCCUGCAUGGACCAGUAAAAAGGGAUAAAAGUCAAGAGACUCGAGAGGGGAAUCUGGGAGGAUGUCUUCUGGUGCAGAAGAGGGAUGAAAUGGCAAGCACUCGAGCCUCGGGGCUGGCCCCCACUCGAACCACUCAGCUUGUUAAUCCUAUCUCAAAAUGCUUUGCCAAUUGAAGAAUCUCAAGCACUUGACGUAGUUGCUAUAUGAGCAAAGACUCAGCCCUGUUAAUGAUCUGAAAAGGGUAGGCAUAUUCCAGUCAUUUUGCCCAAAUUUGCAUAACCGGCUUAGUUUAGCUGACACAUUGUCCACAUCACAUCUAAAGUCCAACCAUAAUUACCUGUGAGAUAGUUUGGUAAGAAUGAACAGAGGGAGGGUUGAUCAGUUGGUUCAUCUUACCUAUCACCGUUCCCUCUAUAUUUCUCUUGAGUACAAAAUGGAAGUAGCGAAUUCUAAUUAGUGAUAAAAUUGGAAUGAUCAUAUCAUAUUAAAAAUGCUUGAUAUAUGUUGUAAGAUGAUCAUCAUAUUUUCAGAAUUACGGUUAUCAGCUCAACAGUAAUCGUAGAGUUACCUGUUUAGUUCUAACAAGAUGUUGUUGAUCAAAUGAGGCCGAGCUCAUCAAAAACAUUUUAUGUUUCAUCAAAGUUAUGGUAUGAAAUACCCAUAAAAGAUAACAACAAAUCGAUCUCAUUAAUGAGAAGCACCCAAGUUUCUACAUGUGCAUUAAAUCUCACAAGGACAGGUACACGUAGGGUUGCCCAUUGAUUUCACAGUCCUCUAAUUGUUAGGAGAAGGCCCGGCAAGAGAUCCUUUACCAAUAAGCUCAUGCACAAUAAACAAUUUCCAGUACAUUAUCAGAAAUUCAUAAUGUCAUGAUCCAAUCCACCAAUACAAAGCGAACCACCCAACCUCUAGAGUAAAAGAAAAGUUCAUAAAUAGCUAACUUUAUAGGUGACCCUUUGAGUAGAAGAAAAGUUAUGUAGUAACUAACCAAUCCGAAAAGCCACCAAUCUGGGAAAAAAUGUGCUUAGAUAGUUUCUAUUUUUAUCUUUUUCGUAAAAAAAUUUUAAAAAAUAAAGUGAGACCCACUAAAUUUUCCUUAUAGUUUAUUUCGAAAUGAGAAGUCAACAGCACUGUAUCAUCCACUCAACCAGAAUUUUAUUUGGAAAUGAUAAAGCUAAUGAUGACUGAAAGAAGUCUUGCGUCAACAGCACGCACAAAGCCGGUCAUGGCCAGCCGAAAUUCUUCUAGAAAAAUAAAAGAAAUUAAGAACAUCCUCAACCACAUUUCAAGCUCGAUAUAUUUAUGUAUACGAAUAAAAUUUUGAAAUUAGGAUUCUCUUGUGAGAUGGAUCGAAUUCAGCUCGUAUCAUUCCAAUUCCUUAAUAGUGAUGGGGAUAGGACACUAAUCUUCAUAGUUAUGUUAACUCACUUCAAUUAUAUGUAAAAUCGUGUCCGCUUCAAAUUAGACUAUGGACCGACAACAAUUGAAGAUCAUACGUGCCUUAUCUUACUACAUAUGUUGUCACGAAUAAUAUGGUACAUUGUCGAUAUCUAUGUAAUUUUGCAUUUGCUUAGAUGGAAAUCCAAUUUCUUUAUGCUUAAUUUUUUACAUCAAGUCAAUAUUAAGUAAUAAUUCAUGAUAAAUCUUACUUUUUUAAAAUUGGAUGAAGUAGCGUGUUAUAGUUUAAAGCAUAUGGUGCUUCUUGUAAGAACUUAAAUUGUGGAAGAACGACAUGACAAAUAGCUCAUAGCUAACAAGGUACGAAGACAAACUUUCCUGAAUCGGUGAAAAAAAUCAAGGUAAUACAUAACUUUUCUUAGACGAGCCAAAUAUUUUUGUUGACUUUAUUUGGGUAACAAAUCAUUUAGUUUCUCUACAAAGUUCAACUCCUCACCUUUCACUAGGGUUUUCCCCCCGGUUUUGCAAGCUAGAAGUUGACAAACCAUCAAUAUCAAUUGCUAAUAAAAUCGUCAGUAGAGGAUUUCUCAUGCCUUAUAAGUACAUUUGCCACAUGCAACGGUGGGCUAGUAGUACAUGCAAAAUUUAGAUGAAUGAAAUAACAAGUGCAAAUAUUGGGAGUUGCGCUAGUAGCCAUCCUUCUCCAAUAGGAAGGGAGAGAUAGAGAGUUUGAUUCUCCACAUUUUCAAGAGGGUUGGGAGUGAGGACGUUUAGUUUCAAGUGUAGAGUUUGACUUCUAUAUCCUAAAAAAAACAUAGCAAAAAUUUGAAAGUGAAUUGAGAAUUAGAGUAUGGCAAAUAAUAAUAAUACUAAAAAAAACAUAGCAAAAAUUUGAAAGUGAAUUGAGAAUUAGAGUAUGGCAAAUAAUAAUAAUAAUAAGGUGCCAUUAUGGUGUUCAUGAAGCAUUUGCAUUGGGGGGCGACCAGUGUCCCACCAAUCCUUGGAUGAAGAUCUUUUUGAAGAUGAACGAUGUUUGAGAGUGAUGAUCUCUAGUCAUAAUUUGCAAUAUCAAAGUAGGGAAUGAUAUCUUUGCUUUUAAGAAAGGAUUAUUCAAGUGACAUUAUGGAACAAAACGGCAGAUAAAAAAAUUAAAUUCAUAAUUAAAGUUUGAAGUAUUUGAAAAUUAUUUAUCAAUAUAAUAACCAUUCACUUAAUUUUUGUUAAUGCGUGUCUUAAGCCACUUGUUAAACAUUUAAAUAUAGAGAGUUUUUGGUUUCCAAAUGACUAUUUUUCUCUCAUCAUACAUAAUCGGUGCAUUAAAAAUGCAAAUCUUUAUUACGUAUGAUUAAUAUGUGCCUUAGGAGUGUACACGUACUCUUCGAGUCUCCGCUUCUUGUUUCCCCAAACAGUUUGGGGGGAAGCUUGUCUUCCUACUACAUACACUAUCAAUCGUAUUAGGUUGGCUAUCAUAAAUAACAUUUCUCCUUAUUAGUGCUUGUAUGGUAGUGGCCUCAAUUACAAUCUUUUUCGAGUCUUUGAUAGUGUUUGUUUUGUGCAUCUUCUUCCACAUGAACGCCAAAGUUAGAAUCUAGUGUUUGUUCAUGGUGCUUCCUUGGAUAUGGUGUUGUGCACAAAGGGUCUAGACGUUAGGAUCCAAUUUCUAGCCAUUUUAGUGUGUCUUAUCAUGUUACAUUUUGGGAACACAAAAUAUUUUCAUCUCUCAAUUCCUUCAUAUUAUCAACUCAGGUACCCUUCUUCACUAACACUUAAGUGGAUUUACUCUCAGAAGAUGCCACAACUUUGUCCACUUGUGAAUCUUCCUCUUUGGAAAUGCCGUCUUCUAAUCUAGCAUACCACCCCGGUAACUUCUAACGUGUGUGCUUUAUUUGUGGAUUCUCCACUAACCGACAAUCCAUCGUCCUUUGCUCGUCAUUUCACAAGAGUAAGUCAAGCUUCUAUUCGACUUUGCAAUUUCCAUUGUUACUCUACCAUUGCUUUUUUUUUUUUAAACCUUGCAUAUAUAGAAAAGCUAGUAUUGAUCCUCUCUAGUAGCAAACAAUGAUAGAUAAGUUGUAGACCUUAGACAAAGCUCGUACAUGAGAUUUUGUUGAUUUGUCUCCUCGUAAGUUCAUUGUAUGUUGUAAAUGGGUAUGUAAGAUUAAAAUAAAGGAAGAUGGUAUUAUGGACCAUGACAAAGCUCGGUUCGUGGCGAAGGUUUGCCUUAAGAAUAUGAAGUUAACUAUGAAGAGACUUUUGCUCCUGUUUUGUGCCUUACCAAAAGACUUUUGUUCAUAGUUUUUUUGUUGUUGUCACAAUUAAGCACCGGUUUAUGUUCUACGUGGAUGUUAAAAAUGCUUUUUGGAAUUGCAAUCUCAUUGAGGAAGUUUAUAUUGUUCCUUCGGUUGGAUGCACUCAUCAAUCUAACAAGGGUUAAUACCCUGAAAAACCUCAAACUGGUACAUCUGUGAUAAAUUUACCCCAAAUUAUUUUUUUGACAAUGAAAAAUCCUAAACUGAUACAUAUGUGGCAAAUUUAUCCCGACUAACCAUCAAAAACCUUAAACUAGUACAUUUAUGACAAAUAUACCCAAAAAUAAUUUAUUCGAUCGCAAAAAAUCCAAAAUUGGUAAAUUUGUAACAAAUAUACCCUCCGCUAAAUUGGAUUAAUACCGCAAAAAAAUCACAAAAAUUGUAAAUAGUGAUAAAUAGAGCGUAAAAUCCCAAAUUGGUAUACCAGUCAAUUGUCAUAUGUCAUUUAACUUAAUAAUUUGACGGUAAAAUUUAAUGAAAAUUAACAUAUGGUAAAUUUGUCACAAUAAAUUUACUAAAGGUAUAUCAAUUUGGGGUUUUUGGUGGUAAAAAAAAUAAUUUUUGGUAAAUUUGUCACAAGUAUACUGGUUUGGGGUUUUUUUAGGGUAUUAACCCAUCUAACAAAGCGUGUUGAUUACAACAUACAUUAUAUGGCAUGUUAUAGGCUCCUUGUGGAUGGAAUUCCUACUUUAGCUCAAUCAUGGUAUCCCAAAUUUAGCUCAACCACGAAAUCUCUUAUCGAUUUCGUGUGUAUAUUAUGAUGCUCUUAUAUGUGAGCAACAUAGUUAUUACUAGUGAUGAUCAUAAUGAAUUUCAAAACUCUAGGAAUAUUUUAGUUAAUAGUUUGAAAUGAAAGAUCUUGAGCGAGUUAGGUAUUUUUCAAACUUAAAGGGUAAUUGAGAUUCCUUUGGUUAUUAUUUUUCAUAAGCAAAAUAUAUCAUUGAUCAUAUUUGUAGAGUCAGGCUCACUAAUAACAAGGUUGCUCCAACUCCUAUUGAGAUCAAUGUCAAAUUUGAUGCCAAAGAUGGAACUCCUCUUUUGAAUCCUAUACUCUAUUGACAACUGGCUCGACUUGACAUCACCCAUGCUGUUCAAAUUAAUAGUCAAUACAUGAUUGCACCUAGUACAACUCAUUUUUCUUCACUAUGUUAAGGGUAUAUUAUUUCAUGGCUUUCACUUUUCUGCUCAUUCUACCUUGAAAUUACAACUUAUUGUGAUGAUGACUAGGUGGUGAUCCUCAAGGUCAUUGGUCCAUUACGGAUUACUAUUUCUUUUCGGGCAACUCACUUAUCUCAUGGCAUAGCAAAAAAUUGACCAUUGUCGCUCGCUCUAAUAAAGAAGCAAAAUAUUAAGCUCUUGUUGAUAUUCACUUAUCUCAUGGCGUAGCAAGACACAAAAUACUAUUGCUCACUCUAGUAGAUAUCAUAACUACUAUGGUUGUGAUAAAACAUGGAGUGCGUCGUUAUAGCUAAACAAUCAUCCAUUGCGAUAACCAAAGUGCUAUUCAAAUAACAUAAAAUGAUGUUUUCCAUGAAGGUGCCAAACACAUUGAAAUAGACUAUCAUUCACGCGAUAUCAUGUUUUUCGUGACACUUUUCGACUUGUCUCUACUUCAUCUACUAAACAAACUAUUGAUGUCUUCACUAAGACACAUCCGCCUGGGCAUUCUCUAUAUAUUUUCUCAAACUCAAAUUGAUAUCUUUCAAAUCAUCUUGAGUUUGAGGGGGAUAUUAGAGACAUAAUUAGGAGAUUUUGUAUUUUUCUCUUAAUUAAUAUGAUUGAUUGUAAUUGAAAAUUUGUUUUACUUUUGAUAUUCAUCCUCUAAUAUAAAGAAUAUUACGUGUACUCUUAAUUUGACAAUGUAAAGAAUAUUAAAUGCUUCUCUCUCUCUCUCUCUCUCUCUCUCUCUCGUCACAAUUCUCUAACUCCUAUAAGUACAUUUCCCACAUGUAAAGGACCCACUACUUAUAUAGGAACACAUGCAAACAUAAAAUGAAUGAAAUAAUAGGUGCCAUUAUGGGGUUCCCAGAGCACUUCAUUUUGGUGGCCACCAAAUGACCCUACAAUUCUUGUCCGGAGAUCUUUUUAAAAAAUUAACAAUAUUUGAGGGUGAUCUCUAGCCAUAGUUUAUAAUGUCAGGCAAGGAAUGAUAUCUUUGUUAUUAAGAAAAGGAUUAUUCAAGUGACAUUAUGAAACAGAAAGGUAGAUCUGAUUAACCUAACUUUGGAGCUAGUAUUAAACUUCACAUGAAAAACACACAUGCAUUGUAUCCUCUCACCACGAUGGAUUGCAUUUAAUGAAAAUAGAAUGGUCACCUUAACUAACUACCAUGACUAUUUAAUAGCUCGAGAAUGACUAGUUUUCCACCAGAAGGAGAGCUCUCACCAAUACCACCUACAUGUAACCUCAAGAGAAACAUACAUGUAAAGCUCUAAUCUUCGUCCCUUCCUCUAAAAAUCACAAACUUAGGUAACUAGGGACACUUCCAUGUCUUGAUGAUCAUCUUGCUUGUGGACAAGAUUUAUACCAUUGUCGAGUACAUAUGCGAUAUCAAAUAAUAAGACAGAAAUUAUCCAUUUUCAGAUGAAUGAGGUUCUACCCUAAACACAUUUCAAUGCACAUGGCAAUAUAAAAAAAGAAAAAGAAAAAGGAAAAGGAAAGCUCAAGACACACGAUCUGCAAUUCCAAUCUUGGGAAAAGAGAAGUCUCUUUCCCUCACCCAUUUUCACGUCUUGACUUUUGGUUAAAAGGAGUUAGGCGGACCAAACCCCUUCGGUUGCAUAAGCCAAUGAAAAUGAAGGGGCCUACCAAUUGCAUCAUUGUCCUAACCUCAGUGGCCCUCGUUUUCUUAUAUGCAUACGUGAAGGAGCUCCUUCCGCGAGUGAAAAACGUGAGCUCACUUGUCUUUCCCCUAGAUAGCUGGAAUUCUGGAUGGGGUUAUGACUUUAUGAGGAUUAACAGAGUCGGUGUAUUGGAUAAGGCCGAAAAAAGUCACCUGUCUAGAAUGCCCUAGAUAGUGACAUUGCGCGGACCUCAUCAUAAAGUCCGAACUAAAAACCGAACUAACCCUUUAGGAAGGACGUGGAAUUUGACUAACGGGGGCAGACAUACGUCUAAUGGGGGUAGACAUACGUGUAAAGGAGGCAUCAUAACUUAGCUCUAAUAUCAAAUUAGAAUGUCCAAUCUGAAAACUUAAACUGAUAAAUGGAUGGGAGCCGCAUAUAUAGAAAAAACAUAUUAAUCUCAUAAUCAAAAGAUGUAUGAUAUCUCAACAGACCUUAAUGUCUAGAUACAUAUAUAUAUAUCUUUACGGAAGGAAACACUAGCUAGCCUAAGUUCAUGGUCGGUUAGCGAAAGUUCAUGGUCGGUUAGCAAAAGGAUAAUGGUCGGUCCAUAUUGAAACCAAGCGUCUUGCCUUCACCUUGUUGUUUUCGUGUGGAACCCUCAAAUCGAACAUUCAAGGAGUUUGCUGCGUUAAAAUGAAUGCACCCACCAAAGUAGAUCUUUCUCGUGGAAAAAGCAAGUUAGGGCGUGCACAUCAGGAAUUGAUUAGUUGGCUCUCUGCCAUCACCAAGAACUUCAUAAAACUUUCCAUUUAUGUUGGAGCUUUGUCAAUUCGCAAUGGAUAUUUUACAAAUAAAAAAAUAUGCAAUCCAUAAAUUUUUAAUUUAUUCAAUGUGAUCACUAAACUUUAACCAAAUGCGUAAUGUUAUCUCUGGACUUUUAAUACAUGUUCAAUCUAUACUAUAUAUAAAUAUUAAAUGUUAUCCUUAAACUUAAAUUAAUGGAAGAUUAACGUCAAACAUUUUAAAAUAGUUCAGAGACUAACUUGAUAACGUAUGGUCUAGAAAUCAUAUUGAAUAAAUUGAAAAUUCGGGGAUAGAAUUAUAUAUUUUACUAAAAUUUAGGAACUAUAUUGAAUAAAUUAAAUAUAAAAUCAUAUUAUAUUAUAUAUUGAGUUAAAGUUUAAGAAUUAUUUGUACUAUUAUUCUUUUAUAGGUAAAAGACAAAAGCAACCGGGGUAACCUAUCCAUUUGUACAAAAUACCUCAUCCUUUUGCGCAUGGAGACUUUAUCCAGAAUAUAUCCUGACUACAGUAGUAAAGACUGUACGGACUUGCGGAAACAUCACGGCAACCUGAAAAUCCGACCAAAUAUCCCCGUGGCAAAACCUGAAUAUGCAGCAUGCGCUCGUAGCUUCUGCAUUCACACUCCUUUUUUAUUUGCAAUCUGCUCGAGGGAUGCUCUUAGAUAUUGUGUCGUCAGUUGCGACAAUGGCUUCGAUGUAAUCGCGCCCGAAACCCCGUCGCUUUCGAGCAUCUCCUGGUUAACUCUCUCUGGUCAUGGUUCCGAAUAGCUUUGUUCAUGCACACCUGGAAUAUGCACAAGGCAUUGCUUUAGAAUAUCCAUCGCUUUUGCUCCUUUUCUUUAUUAGAAUAUCCAUGGUUGAUUUUGCAUCGAACUUUGAUUUUGUACAUUUCAUUUUCAUUUUAUGGUUGUGCGAUUGAUGCAUAACCUAAAAUCUUUGGUUACUAAAAUAGAUCAUAUGCCUCGACCUGGCCAAAGAAAAAUUUAUACAUAUGGCGUGUUUAGGAGACUUUUGGGAGAAUGACUUUGCAUCUGAGCAAAGCUCUCUGACUCGAGGUGCUUUUGAAAAGAGUGAAUAAUAUCUGGAUGCUUGGCUUUUGGUAUAUUUUUGUAAAGCGGCUUUAUGAUGAAGUAAAAUUCGAAAAAAAAGGGAAAAGAAAAAGAGAGAGGGUAAGGGUUGUUAGAUUCGGCGAGUGACGCGGCAAAAGAGUUGGAGCCCAGCAAGUAUUGACAAGCGGCCGCCCACAAGAUUAGGUGAGAAAAGGUACGUCUAGAUGAAAGUUAAAGACCUGAUAUUUUGAGUAAAUAUCAUCUAAAUAAUAAGGACGUGAAUUAGAACCAUUCUAUUUUAGAAAUCAAUUAAUGUUCAAUAAAUAGAUUUUUCUAUUUUUAUUCUCCAAAUUAAUUAAUGAAUAAGAAUGCACAUUUGAUAAUAAUACAAAUUUUUUGUUUCCAAAAUAGAAAUUCAUUUGAAAAUGACCCAAAUUUUUUCUCUUUUGAGUGAAAACUGGCUAGGCAAACAGUGGUCAGUGAUUGGCAAUCGUGGCCAGCAUAUGAUGAUGGCCAGCAAUCGAUAGUGGCGAAUGGCAGGCGACGACAAGUGAGCGAGUGAGCAAUUGGUUAUUAGUAUGGAUGAGUAAUGGGAAUAGUUUUUAUUUCUUAUUUUUAUUUCAAAAAUAUAAAAGUAGAAAAAAAAUUACUUUUCCUUUAUUCUAAACCUAUUAAAAUUGUUCCAGAAAUAAAAAUGAGUAUCAUGCCCGUCCUAAAAAUCUCCGGCAAAUCCAAAGUCAAGACAUAACGGCGUGCCACAUGACGGAGGCAAACAUGUCUUCAACUUUGGUCCAAUUAAAAAAAAAAUUCCGCAUGCAGAUGCAGGUCGCGUCGCUACAUGCUUAACUUUAUGCAUAGGGUUGGUAAAAUAUCCUUCUGUCUCCAACUUGUUUUUCAAGAAAUCGAUCCCCAUUGGUGCUGAUUUAAUCCCGUAUAAAUUCCACAAUCGGGUCGUCGAGACCACGUGCAAUCCCAUCGGAGUUUCAAAAACCGGGUUCCGACCCGCAAAAACCACCGUCCAGCACGGCCAAUGGAUUUCGCAAUCAGCUGCUCUGCGCCGUCGGAUCUCGUGCAUCUCGUGCAACUCCGCACGAUGAUUUUAAUUUAAUUUAAUUCCCAUUUGAUUUAAUUUAAUCCAUAGUGGAUAAGCUUCUAAUCUGGACCCCAUAGUUAAAUUAGGACUUGACCAAGAUAUUAAAAAAAAAUCGUCGGUGGUGCCACGUCAGAGGCGGACGUCGCGGCCAAUCAGAUCCCCGGGAGCUUCCUUCGUUUACACUUUUGGGGCCCGUCACUGGGGCCCACGGCAGGCACGUAAGAGAGACAUCAUUCCCAUUGGUUAGAGCUCAACCCACAGUCAGCGUCUCGGUUUCGAGUUGCUCCAAUCGAAUGAUGCCACGUUAGGUGGCGGAGGAGCUUUGUUUCUUUCGCCCACAGGGCGUGGUGACCCCACGCGAAGGAAAAAACUAUUGAGAAAAUAACGCCGAAAUAAUUAAUUUUGGUUUAAUAUAUAAUGUAAUUUUAAAUAUUUAAUUCGUUCAAUGCGCAAUACCGUCCUAAGCUUUUAAAUUAUUAUUAUUUAUACAUGUUCAAUUUAGUUAUUAAGUUAUAUGAAAAUGCUAAAUAUUAUCAAUGAAAUGAUAUUAAUGGAAUGACGAUUUUGGAUAUCUUCAUAUAUUUGAACAUAUAACAAAAAUUUAUGAACCAUAUUAAACAAAUCAAAAAUUAAUAAACAACAUUAAACAAAUUAAGAGUUUAAGGACCACAUUGUAUAUUAUGUCAAAGUUCAAGAAACAUAUAUGUCAUUAUCCCAAAAAAUAUUCAAAUGAGACUUUUACAUCUCAGCCAUUUUUUUUUCCUUCGGAUGAUGUGGCACGCAUGGGUAUUGCUGUCAGAGUUGAGAUUAUGUGCAGCCAAACUCAAUUUUCCUUUUCAAUAUAGGCAAAGCAAUGUUACAUCAUGAUUUGGUCAUAGUAUUUAUAAGUAUGCCUAUUUCCUUGCGAGCAUGCCUUCCAAUAGAGAUUACUUAAAACUUUGAAUCGAACGUGACAAUUCAACUACGAAAGUAACGAAUCAUCAAUCGCAGUUACCAAAACUAUAUAUAAAUAUUAUUUUAGAUCUCUAUUUUGUCUCGAUUCAUUUCGUCACGACGGAACAACAUAAACCAAAUGUAAUAUUUUAGAAUAAUAAAAAGAAAAGUGAGAUCUCAAAAAGAGGAUUAUUUUUGUUUUUUUUUAAAGAACAUAAUGGACUAGACAAGUGAAGAAUAUUCGAGGAUGGCCAAGCGACGAUAAAGUGCUACUGGCCAUUAAAAUAAAGAGAAGCAAAAGAAGAAACGGUUCCUUCGAGUCAAAAAAAAGAGGAGAGCAUACCAUGGAAACAUCAAGUGAUCCUCAAGAACAAUCAUUAAUGGUAAAAAAAACAAACAAACAAACAACAAAAGAAACCGGACAUUUUUAAGGAUUUCAUUAGAAAGCAUCCUGUCAUAUAUAUUUAAAAGUUAUUCAAAAGAAGUUUCUUGGUUUCUAAUGCCUUUUUUUUUUUCGCGAUAUAAUUAUAAUCGGUAUUUUCAAAUCAAAACAUUCCCUCCUAAUAAGCAUGCCCAGUAAAAGCCCUCUUUAAUUGACCGGAUCAGAUCUUGACAAAGGAAGGGGUGAAAACAAUUAAUGAGAUCAUUUGAAUUAAGGAAAGUGGAAAGGCGGUUUUCUGAUUGGUACACUGAAACAACAGGAAGGUGGAGGCCGCAAUGAUGGAAUUUAUUUACUUUAAUCAUUUUAUGAAAUCGAUACACUAACCUUUGUUUCUCCUAAACCCAAAGGCAUUAAUCCCUGUCCUCCUCACUCGAUCUCGAAGGCCAGAAGGGGGAGACCGAGCCUCUUGCUUUUUUUCGUGUAUAAAAGGGCCUCCCCCAUUCCUCAUUUUUCACCAUCCUCCGUUCGUUCGUUCCCUUCCCUUUCCAUUGUUGCGUUUAAGCCCUCCAAUUUUCUUUUGGCGUCCCGUUUUUGGGGCUCCCUUGAAGAUCUCCUCUUCAUUUCGGGAUUUCCUGCCUUCGCCGCGCCAUUUGAAGGUAAAAUCUUUGCUCCCGAGCUCAUCGGCCAUUGAAUGUUUUCCAUGGGAAUGUCUAGAGUCUUUUUUUUUUUUUUGGUGACCGAAGAUCCGCCGGCUCACGCCGAUUUGGGCUCACGCCGAUUUGGGGUCUCACAGGUCUCCGCGGUGGAGGCCUAAUAGUUAACUAUACCUUGAUAAAAACUGCCCCCCGCUUUAAUUGCUAACGAUGCAGGAUUUCGAACCCUUAACCUCCUUCGCCGAAGGAGAGAUUUUAACUAAUUGCGCUGCUCACAGAUGGGUAUGCGAAUGUCUAGAGUUCAGUCGGAACUUUUUCCCGAUCACUUUUCUUUGGCCGAGCGAGCUUGAAAUACCGCCGCUCCGAGUACCCUUCUUUUUGCUAAGCAUAUAUUGUUCGUGACCCUCCAAGCGCGCAUUGCGGUUCGAUCUCUUCUUCUGCUCGAAUCUCGGGAAAAUGCAAUUCUUACUUCUCAUUAGCGACAGCGUUCCUACUCUUUAAGAUUAUAAUUAGCGUCUAUGUGAAUCUUCUUCACCUAGGACAUACUACCUUAAACGACAUGUCGCUCUCUGCCUUCCUUAAGCACAAUGCCAAACCUGCCGAAACUUCUUGAAAAUAUAAUUAAAUCUCCUCUUGCGGCCAAAAGGGGUGGUUGCAUUGAUGAGCAUAUUCUCGAAAGAUCCUUAUGGCUUUUUCCUUUAUUUUUAUUUGAUCGAAGGACGAUACUAGGAGAUCGGAAAAAUGGGUAGUGAAAAAAAAUUUCCUUCUAAUGAAGAUUAAUUUACUUUAACGCAAAUUACAAUGCAACUCUGAUGGACGACACCUAAGGGUCUUGCCUGGGGUGAUCACGACCGUUGAACCCCACCACCCAGCGAAGAGGGUGGGCCCGCCAUUACUGCGUGCCGCAGCGCACACCGUCCCUACAGGAAACGCCAAUCAAGGGCUUAGAUUAAGCAAGUCAUUUAUUUUAUUGUUAUUUUUAUUUUCCUGAUUGUUAGGUUGCUCGAUGGUCAAGAACGAGGAAAUUUCCCCUUUUAUGUGCGAAAGUACGGAAUGUAUAAAGCAUACAAAAUCUCAUUAAUCUUUAGGAUCAUUACCCGGAAAUUUACCAAGAUUGUUGCCGGCGAUUUUAUAAUAUCGCAAUGUGAAAACGACGUAAAGGGUAAAGAUGCUUCGAGCUUAGUUUCGACCCUCUAAACUUCCGGUCCACUUACAACAUGAAAAAUAAUUUGAUUAAUUGAGGAGGGCGGAUCCGAUCAUAAAGAUUUAAUCUUUUCCUAGAAUUCACCGGCGAGAUCAUAUAGUAUUGAAGCGGCCUUCUCUCUUGCAAUGUCAAAUCUCCCUCCUCUCUCCUAAGGCAAUCUCUCUCUUUCUCUCUCUAUCCAAAAUCUAUAUUAGGACAUGAACUGUUGUUUGAGGAUGUCAUUGGAAAUGGACUGUUUUCUUGGGCAGAGGAUCGGGGGUUAAGACAAAGGAGAAAGAUUUCCUGUUGCCUGUUUUAAUUUCCGUAUUUCCUACUUUUUUUUAUUCCUCCCUCCAAUUUCUUCGUUAGUUUCUAUUUUUAAUUUCUUUCUUUUUCGCGCUGUUUUUCUAUAAAUUCUGCUCGGCAUCGACUCGACCAAAGCAUCCCUUCGUAGCGUCCGUUCCGUUCGCUCCACUUUUCUGUUUCCUGGGUAUUUUCCGUUUCUUUCUUUCGUCGUUUCUUUCGUUUUCUUGCUCGGUUUUCUUUCCGUGUGAUGCAGUGUUUGUUUCGUGGUGGGUGAUCUCUUCUUCUUCUUCGUGUCCUUCUUCUCCUUCUCCUCCUUCUUGGUUAGCAAGUCCUUCAAGGGUCGUCGCGUUCUUGGGUGUUCAUGCUUCUCUGACUUGUCUGUUGAGUGUCUCUGUUUCGCGGAACACAAGCGAAAUUCGUCUUGAACUGCACUUCCCUUCGGCUUUUUUUCUCGAGUUCGAGGAUGGACAUGUCGCGCAUGAGAAUUGGGUUUUGUCUUGUGUCGGUAGGAGAAAAUUCUUGCUCAGUCAAAACGUGAAACUCUGUGCAACCUCUCAGACUUUCCAGGCAGUUGUCUGCUCUCUCUCUCUCUCUCUCUCUCUCUCUGCCUCCCCGAAGAACACUCUCUUCCGUAAAAGAGAUGAUCUUUGUGCACUUUUGAACAUAAAAAAUGGGGGGAAGACACUAGAUCUGCUGAUUUCAUGAAGUUGCAAAGCAGUGGGAAGCACUACAAGCUUCAGGCUUUGUGAUCGUCAAUGGAGAUCUCUAGAUCUUUCUGGCUUUUAAUCUUCUUUUCAAGCGUCCUAAACAAUUAAUAAUGAAAGAAACAUUUUUUUUGCCCCAGUAGUUUUCCAACCGAGAUCAUCACCUAUUCGUGCGUCAGCAGACCCAUUUGUUCAACAACAUUCGCAAUUUUAAUACCUUCGUACAUGCGUAGUUGGUAAGGUUUGAAAAAUCCGGCCGCUCUAGAAAAGAUCGAUUUUUCCAACGAUUUGACUUUUUUGUUGCUCUCUUUCGUGAGAUUAUUCAAAACCCCUCCUUUAUUAGUGGAAGUUGGGUUUUGCUUCUAAUGCACGGUGUGUUUCACUUUGGUGGUUGUUGCAGUUCUUUUUCUGAGAGAAGAAUUUAGACAUGGCUGAUCGCAUGUUGACUCGAAGCCACAGCCUUCGCGAGCGUUUGGACGAGACCCUCUCUGCUCACCGCAACGAUAUUGUGGCCUUCCUUUCAAGGUAAAAAGCAAGGACGGAAGGGGAUAUAUUCAAGAAAUCUUCAAAGAGAGCAUCUUGAUGAGUGGUUUUAACAUAAAGUUGGUGAAAGGGAGCUUAAAAAGUGUUUUGAUCCCUUUUGUUGUCAUGUUGAAGGGUUGAAGCCAAGGGCAAAGGCAUCUUGCAGCGCCACCAGAUUUUUGCUGAGUUUGAGGCCAUCUCUGAGGAGAGCAGAGCAAAGCUUCUUGAUGGGGCCUUUGGUGAAGUCCUCAAAUCCACUCAGGUAUUAUGAACUCCCUUCAUGUCAAUGUUUUUCGGUUCUUUACGCUCUUGAAAUCUACUCUUCUAUAGUGAUAAUGGGUUGAUUUUUGCUUUUCUUUGACCUUUUUUGAUUUAAAUUCUCAAGGAAUUUCUUUUGCUCUAAAUUUUGGGGUUUAGGAAGCGAUUGUGUCGCCUCCAUGGGUUGCUCUUGCUGUUCGUCCAAGGCCGGGCGUGUGGGAGCACAUCCGUGUGAACGUCCAUGCGCUUGUUCUUGAGCAAUUGGAGGUUGCUGAGUAUCUGCACUUCAAAGAAGAGCUUGCUGAUGGAAGGUCAGAAUCUUUAUUUUUCCUUGGUGAUCUCAGAUCUCUGGGUCAUGUUCUUUUUUGCUGUUCUUGUUUUUGGUCGUUUUGGGGGUGUUAAUGAGAGUUAUUCGUCGUGUGUUUCAGCUUGAAUGGUAACUUUGUGCUUGAGCUUGACUUUGAGCCAUUCACUGCCUCUUUUCCGCGCCCGACUCUUUCCAAGUCUAUUGGCAAUGGGGUCGAGUUUCUCAAUCGCCAUCUCUCCGCUAAGCUCUUCCAUGACAAGGAAAGCUUGCACCCUCUGCUUGAAUUCCUCCAAGUCCACUGCUACAAGGGGAAGGUACAUAAAACUAUCGAUGAUUCUCGUUCAUUUGACAUCUUAAAAAUGAGUUUUGAGUUACAAAGUGAGAUUUCUUUCGCCUUAUGUUACGAAAUGGUGAACACUGAGGACUAAAUGCCAAUUUAGAGCACUGAAUGUGUUGCACAUUGGUUAAACAUUUGCGAUCUGUUUUUGGCUUAUGAAAAUAUUGGGUGAUUCUGCAGAACAUGAUGGUGAAUGCCAGAAUCCAGAAUGUGUUCUCCCUCCAACAUGUCCUGAGGAAGGCGGAGGAGUAUCUGAUCACGCUCAAACCCGAGACCCCGUACUCCCAGUUCGAGCACAAGUUCCAGGAGAUCGGGCUCGAGCGGGGGUGGGGUGACACGGCUGAGCGCGUCCUCGAGAUGAUCCAGCUCCUGUUGGAUCUCCUUGAGGCUCCCGAUCCGUGCACUCUCGAGAAGUUCUUGGAUAGGGUUCCCAUGGUCUUCAACGUCGUGAUCAUGUCUCCCCAUGGAUACUUUGCUCAGGACGAUGUCCUUGGUUAUCCGGAUACCGGUGGCCAGGUACUUGUUUUAUUUUGAGUUAGCAUCUCUUGUUAGGAGGAUAUACGUUUUCCCAUUCAACUUGUUCAUUUGCAAUAAUUCUGUCUAUUUAUAGGUUGUUUACAUCCUGGAUCAAGUUCGUGCCCUAGAGGAAGAAAUGCUUCACCGCAUUAAGCAACAAGGACUGGAUAUUACUCCUCGGAUUCUCAUUGUAGGUUUCACAAGCUUUAUGUUGGGACUUUUUGUGGUGCUUAUACAAAUUAGAUGCUUACCGUGUCGUUUGGUUUCCUAGAUCACUCGGCUUCUUCCAGAUGCGGUUGGAACCACCUGUGGCCAGCGCCUUGAGAAAGUUUUUGGGACCGAGUACUCCCACAUUCUUCGCGUCCCCUUCAGAAAUGAGAAGGGAGUCGUCCGCAAGUGGAUUUCCCGGUUCGAGGUGUGGCCCUAUUUGGAAAGAUACACUGAGGUAUUGACCGGCUCAGUCAUAUACUUAAGUCAUUUUGCCUGUUUGAGUUUAUUUAGUUUCUGGUUGAGACUUAACGGUUUCUGUUUGAUAACUCUCAUCAGGAUGUCGCGAGCGAACUUGCUGGAGAGUUGCAGGGCAAGCCUGAUCUGAUCAUCGGAAACUACAGUGAUGGAAACAUUGUUGCUUCCUUGUUAGCACAUAAAUUAGGUGUUACACAGGUUUGUUCUUUUGUACAUGAUCUUGUUACUUGUAGUAACUGAUGCCAAAUUUCUUAAAGGCUUUAAUCUUUUGCUUCAUUCGACAGUGUACAAUAGCCCAUGCCCUCGAGAAGACGAAGUACCCAGAGUCAGACAUAUACUGGAAGAAAUUUGAGGAAAAGUACCACUUCUCUUGCCAGUUCACUGCUGAUCUCAUCGCCAUGAACCACACCGACUUCAUUAUCACCAGCACCUUCCAAGAAAUUGCUGGAAGGUGAUUCAACUCGAUUGUUCAUCUCUGAGUCGAUUGUCUUAAUACAUUCUAUCUUGUGAAAUUUCAAGAUUCCUAAUAUUUCCUUAUUUUUCAAUUCUUUCUUUCAGCAAGGAUACAGUGGGGCAGUAUGAGAGUCACAUGAACUUCACUCUUCCUGGACUCUACCGAGUUGUCCACGGGAUCGACGUCUUCGACCCGAAGUUCAACAUUGUUUCACCAGGUGCUGACAUGAGCAUCUACUUUGCUUACACCGAACAGGAGCGGCGGUUGAAAUCCUUCCACCCUGAGAUCGAGGAACUCCUCUUCAGCGAUGUUGAGAACAAGGAACACUUGUGAGUGUUUUGGCCCUUCCUUCGUGUCCAACUUAAAUCCUGUCCUGGCAUUUGUUGUGGCAUUCUUGGGAGUCGAAGUUUGUCUUUUGCUAAUUAACAUCACCUCUAACGUUGUUGAUCAGGUGUGUGUUGAAAGAUAAGAAGAAGCCUAUUAUUUUCACCAUGGCAAGGCUGGACCGUGUCAAGAACUUGACAGGGCUUGUUGAGUGGUAUGGCAAGAACUCCAAGUUGAGGGAACUCGCCAACUUGGUCGUGGUUGGAGGUGACAGGAGGAAGGAUUCGAAGGACUUGGAAGAGCAGUCUGAGAUGAAGAAAAUGUACGACCUCAUCGAAAAGUACAAGCUGAAUGGCCAGUUCAGGUGGAUUUCCUCCCAGAUGAACCGGGUGAGGAAUGGAGAGCUCUACCGCUACAUCUGUGACACGAAGGGAGUCUUCGUUCAACCGGCUAUCUAUGAAGCUUUCGGGUUGACCGUGGUUGAGGCCAUGACUUGUGGAUUGCCAACCUUUGCCACUUGCAAUGGUGGACCAGCUGAGAUCAUUGUGCAUGGCAAAUCGGGCUACCACAUUGAUCCUUACCAUGGUGACCAGGCAGCCGAGCUUCUUGUAGACUUCUUCAACAAGUGCAAGAUUGACCAGUCCCACUGGGACGAGAUCUCAAAGGGUGCCAUGCAGAGAAUUGAAGAGAAGUAAGCGUUUUCAGAUUAAAAUGAUGUUCACUUUUUUUGAAAUACAAUUUUUCUAAUGUAAUUUACUUUUUUUUUUUUCUUUUGAUAAGGUAUACAUGGAAAAUAUAUUCUGAGAGGCUGUUGAACCUGACUGCCGUGUAUGGCUUCUGGAAGCAUGUGACUAACCUUGAUCGGCGCGAGAGUCGCCGGUACCUUGAAAUGUUCUAUGCCCUCAAGUAUCGCCCACUGGUAAGUUCCUGCUUGAACCUUAUCCGAUCCCACAUUCUUCAUUCAAAUUGGUGCCUGGUUCCUUGGCAUACGUAGUAUGUUUCUCGCAAUCCACUCAUGCUUUGUUCUUGCUCUUCCUUGCAGGCACAGUCUGUUCCUCCGGCUGUCGAGUAAACAAAGAGACAGAUUGUUACCAGAAGACGGAAGCAUUGGACUUUUGAAGUUUUCAAGGAAUAAACAUUGGAAAUUGUUUGAAUUUGGGAUUGCCAAGAGCGAUCUUUUUUAUUUCCUUUUUUUGGUCCUUUUUCUCUUCUUUGUUUCCAUUCCGCGAAUGUUUGCAUUUUGGGGUUUGUACCCAUCAAUUCAGUAAAUGGUUCAUUUUCUUUUCAACUUGUCAAUCCCACUCCGUAUUUCGUACUUCAUUGUUGUUCACCUGUGGCGGUCUAUGUCUAGCUUGUCUGGUGAUCUGUCAAUUGAAGAUAAUCACAUAUACCUAACAAACCAACUUGAUAUGAACACUAGCGACAUGCAAGCUGAUACCGAUCAGUUUACUAACUUCAAACCAUCAAGCAACAAAAUAUGAGACAGCUUGAUUGUUUGAUAAAAAUGGCGCACGUUCUUGUCCUACCUCCAUGUGAUUUGAUCUCUAUUUCUUUACGAAAUGAGGUAGAAGACAGGCACAAAUAUCGGCAACUGAGCAAUCAAAAUGUGAGAUUAAGACAGCCUUGUGCUUUACCUGCUUUCUCAUGGCCCAGGACAGCAUAUGUUGAUGCUGAUACCUGCAUUAAAAGGCACAUCAGAACGAUCAUGGUUACUCUCCAAAGCUCCUCACCAUCUUUUUGCGAAACUCAGCAAUCUUCAUGUCCAAAAAAUGCUCAGAGACACAAUUCAAGCGAAUGGAUCAGGUCUUUAAGUCUUUUGACACACAACAGUCGCUAGUUCAAAACUCGCACAGUUGAGACAGAUCAGGUAUGCAGGUUUGGUUUAUGCAGUUUGAAUUCUGCCUGGAAACCAGCUGAGGAGUUUAAAAUCAAGAUCAUAGUUGGUACAGGCAUUUUUAACGUUUCAGACCAUUGACCUUACUCUGCCUGUCCUAGUCCAAACCUAAACACUUGAUGGACAGGGACAAGCAGGGUUUCUUUUUAACCCAUUGUUUCCCCUGAUUCCAAUAGCGUUCUCAUGUAUAGAUGUAGACAGAGAGGGGGCCAAAUUGGCACCUAUAGAAGUGGGAAUGAACGGUGGUUGGAGCUUUGGGCAGAGCUCAUGGGAAGUAGGAAGAAGAAAAUUGUUGGUUGUGGAAAGAAAGAUGUCACAGUAAUUCUGAUGUACUGUGUACCUUUCUCUGCUGCUGCUUCAUGUCCUCUAUUCCCCUUCUCAUCAUUCAUUUAAUUUGUGAGCCCACUUCAUGACAUUAUUUAAUUUUUCCAAGGUGUCUCCAGCCAUGUAAUCCUUCAUUUUUCCGACAUCUUCAGAAAAGUUGGACCUACCUUGUGCUGUUACAUAGCAGUGAGUUAUUAGAUUGAUUUGGACAUAUGAAAUUUCCAAAUCUUUCAUGUGUUUCAUAUGCCACAGCCAUGCAUAUGCAACUGCAAUAUCAGAUGAUUGCCCUAGAUGCCAUUCAGUCUGAUUAAAUAAAAAAAUAAAAUAAAAGCAGAGCUUUCUUGAUAGUUUUUGCGAUGUAGCUAAUGUGAAUUUAGAGGGUCGUUAACUCCAUUGACAUAGCAUAUUCUCUUGUCACGCCAUUGCUUUCUUAUGCCAAACACGGCAUAAGGGAAGCCGAAGAUAAUUGUCAAAACGUAGUCUCUGUAACAAGGUUGUUUCAUACAGCAUGGACAGAGAUGGUAUGGCUUAGACAAGGCGUUUGCCUAUUCUCCAAAUAUCUGACAAUACAAAUGGUUUUGAAGUGUUUACAAUAACUGUUCGGAAAAUAUUCCACCCUGGUUCAGAGUGCCGUAAGUUCAGAACAGAUAUUAAUAAAACUUGCAAAUGCAACAAUUCCUUAUAGAACUCCAACGAGGCGCAAUUGCAGCACAACAAUAGCGAUACCGGCCGGCUGAAAAAAGGUGACCUUUCAAAUUCCGCCAUAACUACAUGGCCCUUACGUAAGGAUCCAUGGACCACUCUUCAUAAAUGAAUUGUUCUGGGUGGCGGCCUAAAAUUAAAAAAGAAAAGAAAAGAAAAGAAAAAAAGACAGCUUGAUCUUGAGAGGAAACCAAUUUGCGGUUUAAAUCUGCUUAUGACAUUCAGUGCGGUAAACUGUCAUCUAUCAUUAAUGUCUCCGGUGGAUUAGACAGCGCCCAUCUUUUCUUUAUGAAAGACCGGAAAGUUCAGCCAUUGAUGUUAUUGGAUGAAGAAACGACGGGAUUUUGGAAUUUUGAGUGCAGAGUGGAGUCACUUCUUAUUCUGAAAUGACAUUUCAAAUGACCCAUGAGAUUACCGUCUCCUAGCCAAAGGAGUAGCGGCCACUGCCGGCUAGAACUGAAACAAACUUUAAAGACAAGGUUUGGGUAGUAAAAAGUGAAGUCUUAAGGUAAUGUUUAUCUCCAUCACCGUGAGGUUCCCAAAUUCUUUAUCUAUCUUUAUCUUUUUAACAGAGAGAAUACAGAAGUGACAUUAUGGGAUCUCCUACCCCAGAGCGAUUCUUCUGCUUAUUUCUUUCCUUUAAGUCUUUUAAGAACUUGCCUAGAUUUAAAGGGUCUUUCCUUGGUAAAAUUGAAAAGGCGAGGACUCUUUGUGAAAAUCGUUUGGAAGUCUCAAACUUUUUCAGGAGAUCAGCCCCAUUUUGGUUAUGGAGGAGGUUUGCCCACUUAAAAAAUUGUUUCCUUUUCCAACUGUUUCAAUCCUUUGGAAACUUUCGUUUUGAAAAUGUUUCACAACUGAUGAAACAUUGAAAAUCGCUAGAUUAUCAUAUUGGUUUCAUUUGUAUAUUGGUUUCAUUUGUCUCGCUAAAAAUAAAUGCCUCAAAAAAUAUUUAAAAAAAAAUUGACGGCUUAUGUCGCUUAUAAAAAUGAAUGAAUAAAAAGUAUUUUAAUUUUUUUUGAAAAUAUUUUGACAUAAAUUGUUGUCGAUAAUAAAAAUAUUUUCUAUUGACUAACUUUUUCAAGUAAUAUAAAUGAUCAUUUUUAGGAAAAUAUUUUUCAAAUCAUUUUUUUUUUUUUGCGAAAUAAAGGGAGCCAUGAUGUAGUUUUCAACUCUGUCAAUAUGAUUAAAAAAAAAAGUUUUGGCAUAUUUGUAUAUCUACUCACGGGAUACUCCGUGUGUAUAUAAUCCAUCUGUAUAAAAUAUCAUCAUUUGCAUUUAGAAAGCUAUAUUCUUUGGAAGAAAUUUGUAUAGUUUGAGAAGGAGUUUUGAUUGAUAAAAAAAAAGAAGCUACUUUAACUGAUAUAUCCUUAGCAAGGCCAUACAUAACAGUGAAAUCACACUUGAAAUUAUUUGCCCUAUAGAUAUGAAUAUUGUAAUUCAUAAUAAUAAUUGAAUUUUUUUCUGCAUUUUCAUGAAAAUCUUACUUAAUAUUCAAUAUCAACAAAAUGGAUUUGUGUGUUAUCUCAUUUUAUAUAUAAAAAGCAACUUGAUCAUAUUCAUAUCAAUUGACUUGGGGAGUAAAUGGGAUUUGAUACCCUAUUAGUCCUAACUGUAAACGAUGGAUACUAGCACUAUGUGUAAUGAUUCGUGUAGUGCUGUAGCUAAAGCGUUAAGUAUUCCGCUUGAAGAGUACGUUUCGGAAUACCAAUAGGCAUAAAAUGAAAGAAUAAAAAAUUAAGUAUUAUAUAUUGACGUGGAAGCGUAAAAAUGCAUUUAUUUUCUUAAUAAUAGUAGUUUAUCAUAUUUUAUCCAUAUAUUGGGAAAAAAAUUCUUACGAAUAGGUCCUUUGAUUGAUUAGAAUAUAUGUAUGCAUUCGUUCAUUGAAAAUGGGAUCAACCCCCGUUGCCAUAUUGGUACUUAUUGGAUAUAGAUAUGCAGAUAACUUUGACUGUUGGUUGGGCUGAUUCAAUGGCUUUAUGUGAAUUACCAAUUUUUUUUAUCCCUCUUAUCCCGUUCUUGAUCCAAGAGACAAGGUAAUUUUAUUACAUCCUUCAUAACUUGUUUAGGAAUAGCUAAUUCAUGGGACGACUAGAGUAUUACAAAAAGGUCUAUAAUGAAUCCGGGUAUUUGGAGUUACGAAGGUGUGGCCAAUGCACAUAUUAUGUCUUUUGGCUUGUGCUUCUUAGUAGCUAUCUAGCAUUGGGUGUAUUAGGAUUUAGAUAAACGAUUAGCAUUCAUAAUUUUUAAAAUUAUUGAUUUUUUCACAAAACGAAGGGAGAAGUCUACAAAAAUGGUAUGAUUGGUAGGCCAAUACCGAGGUUCAUCUACUCAAUCACAUAAGGCCGUCCCAUCAAUCUUGGAUAAGUAUAAUUUACGUGGGUGCCCUGACUUAUGGACAGUGUACAUGCAUUUGUAGCCACAAAUUAAUUUGAUGAAUAUUAAAAUAUAAAGUCGAUCUACUGAAUACUAAGCCGCGGCGCGACACUUGUCCAGUACCUAAUGAGUCGGCAGGGCCCAAAAACAAAGUUAAUGUAUGUCCCUUAAUCACAUGGGUUUGUUCCCUCGAAUCGGCGUAAUUUCGCUGACAGACAAAACAUCAAUUAAUCAAUUAAUUAAUUAAUAUCAUAUAUUAAAAUAAAUUUUGCUCUGACAUAUAUUGGGCACUAGCCAUAUGAUGUCUAGAUAAAACCUAUGACGUUUGUUUUCCUUUUGGGAACAGUAAACAUCGUACUCCUUUCUUGAUUUCUUUUCUUUAAAUGAAUUUGUUAAGUAGAUAGAGUCAAUGCUCUGCAUUAAAGAGGGGGAUGUAGGUAGCGCAACAUGGGAUGCUGUGGUCUCGCACAUGUGCAUCGCUUUUGUGUCUUUAUUUUAUUUUAUUUUAUUUUUUUGAGCAAAGCUUUUGUGUCUUUAUUGAGCCGCUGCUUAUUGUUAUCUUUUGAGAUUGGCUUGGUCCACAUGAUUCACGCUUAUUAAUUUGAGCGAUGUAUCGACUGUUUUGAGCCCACAAAAGCACGGUUGAACCUAUUAAUUUUGUUUGGACGGUUUUACAAGAAAUAAGUGUUUCAAAGCACCGUUUUUUACGCAAUGAAUAAUUGGAAUACACGCGUGCAUUAUGCACAUGCUGGCGAUAAUUACGCUUAUUUUUGUUAUGACUAUCGAACUCAUGGUUUCUUGAAAAUACUUAAAGAUCGAAAUACUCAAAUUUUACCGUGCAACAUGAACAAAAGAAAAAUUGAAGGGAUAAUGACAUAAAUGGUAUUUAAAUUUUGACCAAAUGUGCAAUGUUAUUCCUACAUUUGUAAUUUGUUUAAUGUUGUUUUUGGACUUUUGAUAUAUGUUGAAGGUUGUCCUUGAACUAUAUGAAAAUAUUUAAUGUUAACAUUCUAUUAAUUAAAAAUCAACGACAAUAUCGAAAAUUUACAUAAAGUUGGGGGAUUAAAUUGAAUAUGUACUAAAAGUUCAUGAUUCACACUAAAUAUAUUAAAAAAUUCAUAAAUUAUAUUACAAUUUGAGCUAAAAUUAAGGACCAAAUUGAAUAAAGUAAAAAUUCAAGCACCACAUUGCGUAUUGUGUUAAAGUCCAUAAAUCAUUUAUAUCAUUUUUUCCAAAAUUGAAUGAUAAGUCAGAUAAGUCCAAGGAUGCAUAUAUGUAUGGUCAAGUUCAAACAAUUUCAUGGAUUAUAUUCUCUUUUGUAUAUAAUUCUAAUGUAUGCAUCAUUCAUGUUCUGUGGCCCCACUGCCUCUCCCACUAAAUUGUAUCACCUCCAGCAAUCAUCGUCUUCAACAUCAUUAUCAGCUCCCUCCUAUAAAAGAGGAACCUUCUCUCCACUUUCUCAGCCCCCAAUCUCUCUCUCUCUCUCUCUCUCUCUCUCUCUAAAACAGCCAUGGGAAGAGGUGGCAACAAGCUUACCAAACUCAAGUCUGUCCUCAAGAAGCUCAACUCCUUUGGCCACCAUAACAAGCACCAGGCCAUCAACUCAACUCCCUCGUUCGCCUCGUCCACUUCAAACAAUUCCGACACCGACGACUCUUCCUCCUCCUCCUCCGCCGACCUCCGCCCCGUCUACGUCGGCCAGUCGCGGCGGCGGUACCUCGUGAACUCUGCUGUCGUCCGCCAUCCUCUGUUCCGUGAGCUCGCCGCACGUUCUGGUAACAGUGCGCCCUUGUCCGAGGACGGCGACUCCUCGUCCCUCAACAUCGCGUGCGAGGUGGUCUUGUUCGAGCACUUGCUGUGGAUGCUCGAGAACGCGGAGUCGAGGCCCGAGCCACUGGAUGAGUUGGUCGAGUUCUAUGCUUACUGAGGGAGAUGAAGAUGCAUGGUGAUGAAAAGGAUCAUAUUGUAAUUAUGUUCUCUUUUCUAAUGUUCAUUACGAUGAUAAACGCCUCCCAUUUAUGUGUUUUCCCCUUCUUUCUAUCUCUAUCUUUUGUUAAUAGAAAAUGUGCUUCAAUGCCGUCUUUUUAUUAUAAUUUAUAUAAAUACUAGUGUCGAGACAUACGCUAUGUAUAUACGUGAUUACGGAUGAGUUACAUAUGAAGAGAAGAUUCGAUUUUCAAAGAAAUCAAGUGAUUAUUUGAUGGAGUGAAUGUGUAAUGGACGAUUGUUAAAAGUACUCUAGUGUUUAAUUUAACACUCUUUUCGGCAUGUGAGAUUGUGUGAUCGUAGACCAAAACAAGGUCUCCAGAAAUUGACAUGAUACUUAAGUUUGAGCUUGACCGAAAUUCCACUAAUGCUAUUUCUUAUCUAGUCCACGACAUUAUAAGGAUAUUUCAUUAACCGAAGAUUUACGUACUUAAGGGGGGCUUCCUCCGUAAGAGAAAAACAUGCUAAGCAGAGGAAAGAGACAUACCUGUAAUUUUAUCCAUUAAGUUUUGUUUUUCAAUAGUUGAUUAACCCAUGAUCUUGAAAUUGAACUUAUGCCGUGAAACCGAUCUGCACUAUUUUUUCAUCGAUCAUCGAUCGGACUUACCUUUGACAAAUACAAAUUAGAUUUAGAUGUGUGUUGUGAAUUGAACAAAGAUCCAAUUAGUAAAGUUUACAAGAUCAAGCCGAUCGCAUUUCGAGAAUUUAUAAAAGUCUGUAUUGAAUUGAAGUCAAAACUUCCACAUGAUUUAUGACCCAUGAUUCCUUUUGUUGGUCGCGUUACUCAUAAAUCAUGUCCAUGCAACAUUUCAGCCCUGCAACUUAACCCUAACCCGGUGGGGAACACAAAGGGCUUGUUCGAACGUUGGCCGUCGACGGAGCCGACCCGACCGAGAACGAGAGGACAGCCACCUUUCGCGGCAAUUCUUCAUUUGAGGACCGCCGGCCGCUGAUCGUCCGCCACGUCAGCAUUGUCUUUUUCUGGGACCAGCAGCUGCUCCAAAAGAAAAAGCAGCCCACGUCAGCUCGGGGAGAGGGAGAGGGAGACCGAGACCGGCCAGCGUGGCAGCAGAUCACGAGAUCGGAUCCUUUCGGCCUAUGGUGGGCCACCCCUCUUUCGCCAGGCCCAUGUUAGUCUGCGGAAUUUAGUCAUUGUAUAAUCCGAUUUUUUGGACUUUCUUGCCAAUAAAUCAGACAUGCUCCCUCGUGGGAGAGCAGUGUCAUGUACCAUGUUCCCUCAGGUGAUGGUCACUUAACGUUCAUGAAUCCUAAAAUUCAUAAUUUGCAAAUCAAUCAAUCAUGUGAUGGUUGUUGAAUAAGGCUACAAAGAAUUUUCGGCUCGUUGCUAUGUGUAUUUUUGCAAAGUUGCGAUCGCUAGAAUCUCAAUGAUUUUAAGAAGUGAUUGAAAUAAUAGUCGAUGACCAAUUCAACUACCAAAUUUGCCUCGAAAUGUCAAGCACUUUGUAGGAUCUGAAUGAUGGGGGUAGACAAAUGGUUGGAAACAUCAAGAAAUUUGCAUCAAAGUUUAUUGAAUCACGACGCGCGGCUUAUGUUCUUGAUGCCGUUCUUCCUUGAUACCGAAAUUAAAACAUAAACUCCUUAAAGGAGAUGUUUGAAGUGCGUAUAAAAAGUAAAAACUUGGAAAGUAUGGUUGGAAAGCGUUUUCAAAACAAAGACGAGCAUUAUUGCUGGGAAACUUAUCUAAUCUAAUUCGAUUCAAGUUCAAACUUUAGAUAAAAUCUAAUCUAAAUUGAUAUAUUAUAAAUGAUCUUCCUAUCUAUAGAAUCUAAUGUCUUAUUUGCUUGUAAAUGAUGUUUGUGUGUCAUUUGUCUUGUGUAUUGUCUGUGCCUUUAGUCCUUGUUUUCUAUCGAACCAUUUAUUUUUUGUGAUUUGCAACUGUUUUGACUCCCUAAUUUCGGUUAUCCCUUGAUCAAUGGUUUUUCCAUAGUCAAUCUUUAACUUCUGUACAUACUUCAAAUCAAUCGCUUAAGUAGGUCAAAUAUUAAGGACAUCGUGAAGACAAUGUAGAGUCAGAUCUCUAUUUAAUGGCAGUCCAAGCUUAGGCGAAGAAUUUUCAUGCCGUAGCUUCACCUCCGCUCAGUGUUUAGAACAUGUCAAUGCUGUCUUCCCCGUCGACUCUCAUGCCGGCGACAUGCUUCAUCUCGCAAGGAAGAGAAGCCCCAAGGGCCUUAAUUACACAAGUCCUCGCUUCACCCAAGCCAUAUAUUUCUCUAAUCUUUUCAUAAUUUCGAUGAGGCGAAAUUGAAGGAGUUGGUCUUUUUGAAUCAUUGGAGGAAGCUCAUCGAGUAAGAAAUGAAGGUUUUAGCUUAGGCUGAUUUAACCGAUCAUGCUCCAGCAAUCUUCUGGAAAUCUGAGUUAGGAUUCUCUUUUCUCUUAUGCUGUUGAUUUAUUGUUUUUUUUUUCCAAUUUAAGAUAGUAUGAUGUGUCUCCGCUCUUUUUUUUUCCCCUUCUAAGUUAAUUGAGAAAGAGGUUUAAUUUAGAUUGCAGGCUAUUGAAGAAAUGUAUGACAUUCAUUUCUACUGCGUACUUACACGUAUAAUUAUUGUAGGAGGGUUGGUUUCCUAUGUUGAAGUUCUUCUUUAGGACAAGAUCAUUGAAAACUAAUUAUUGUUGUUGAUCGUCUGAAAAGAUCUUUUGGACGGUUCCCAACGAACCUUGUAAUGAUAAUUGAAGAACAAUAUAUCUGUCAUACAUCGUGUUAGGAUGUUCAUAUUAUGCUAAAGAAAGAGUAAGAAGAAUUGGAUGAAUCUCUAGACUAUGGACAAGAUUGAAAAUAAAAUGAAUGUGAGUGUGAAUGAAAUCAUAUUGAAAGCCAUAAAAGGCUAGAAGCAUAAAUAUAGAAAAGUAAAGUGGAACUCCUAGGGGAGUUCGCCGCAAGUCGUACAUGUGGUGCUUCUAAGGAGCAACGCAUGUUCCCCAUUUAAUUUCAUAAUUUUUAUUAAAUGGAGUUUCUCCUAUACACUAAUUAUGAAAAUAUAAUAUUAAAUUAAAAUCCGACAUUUUUGAAAGAAUGUUCUUCUUAUGACCUAUAUAAAGUGAUGCUUUUUAAUUUGGUCAUGACAAUAUAUAUAGACUGUUUCGCUUUUAAAUUUGGGCCUUCCAUUUUAUCUUCCUUCAUUUAUUCUUUUGAAUUGUAAAUGAUAUUAAGUUCACAGUCAUAUUAAGUUUUUGAGUUUUUCGAGUAAAAUAUGCUAAACCAAUAAAAUUACCUACUGCUAAAUUUUCUUGCAAGCUUUGACAUAUGUUUCAACACUCCUAGAUUUGCAUCCAAACUUUUUUGAAUUGUAUUAUAAAUUUAUAUGAACUUAUUGUCGUUGAUAUAUUUGGUAAAUUGUAUAUAUAGCAAGAAUAAGUAAAAGGCAAAAAAAAAAUAGCAAAAUGAAAAGAAAGGGCAAAGAAAAGAGAGAGAGAGAGAGAGAGAGCGAAAAGGGGUAGUUGAAAAGAAAAAGAAAAAGGAGGGGAGGGGACAGUUCUGGAGGACUAUUAUACAGUAAAGAUAAUCCUAAAGGAAGAGAAAAACCUGACUGACUGAGAAUCCCUAAUCUGUGCACAAGAAUGAUGAAAAGAGCGUGAAUGAGAAUGCAAACUCGAAUGAAAUCGAAUGGACAACCUCAAAGAAUAAAGCAAAUCACUAGAAAAUGUGAACGAUGAUGAGGGAAAAUCCGGGUAACAGGCCCAAAGGAGAACCCAACCCAUUUCUAGGAAAGCAGGCCCUUUCGAGUCCGAGAAUACACCCCCCCCCCCUCUCUUCUCGUCCCCUGCCUUUGUAACAAGCCUUGUUGUUGGUCCAAUCUCUACAGGCCUUAGCAGGAGCGGGCUCGCCAGAUGCGCAUGCGAACUCGAGCCAGAGUAAAAUCAAAUCGAAAGUUGCGAAAGACAAAUUGCUAGAAAGCUGAGGGAUGAUCGCUCGUUGAUUUGAUGUGCCGUGGGAACAUUUUCACCUUCGGUUAAUAAGAGGAUAGCAAAUCUGCAGUGUUGUGACCCGGAUGAAGAGAGCUGCCCUUCCCCUGAACCAUCAAAAUGCAGAGUAAAAGUAACGUUACCAAAGAAAUCGAAGCAUGUUCCCGCUUAUCAGGAAACGAGACAAAACCAAAUCCUCUGGAAAGCCUGGUCUUUUGAUCCCACAUGGCCCUUGCAUCGCUCUGCAAAAAGUCAAGUAACUUCAAUAUGCAUACAAUACGACAUUUUUUCGCUCAUAUAUGGCGUUAAGGGAUAUCUUCUAAUUCAAAUUCACCAAAAAAUUGUAUGAUGCAUCUAUAACCUUAGGGAUAAUGUGUAUGCAAUAUAGUUUAUAGGCUUUUGGUGCAUAUUCAACUUAAUCUUUGAACUAUUUGAAAAUGUUCAGUAUUGUCCUUCUAUUAAUUCAAGUUCAAUGAGCAUAUUUACAAAAUUUAAGGAUAAGUUAAAAAUGUAUCAAAAUUUCAAAAAUCAUAUUAAAUAAAUUAAAAAUUUAUGAACUACAUGUGGUACAUUGAGCAAAAGUUAAUGGGCUGUUUGUGUUAUUUUUUCAAUCAUCAUACGAAUAUAUUAAAGUGCCCCCAUUGAAACGGGAUAUUUCCUAUGUGCGUAAGUCCUUGUGAACGCAGGAAAUGACCUGACAAGAAUGACAUCAUCAAUGAUGAUGUCAUUCUGAGAAUGACCCUGCCUCUACAAGGACCCUCGUGUGCGCACGACAAGGGUCCUGUCAUUCUCUGCGUCUACAGGGACACAUGCUAUGGACAUACCUAGUGGACUUACAAAAGCCUUAGAUUGAGAGCCCCAGUGGCAAGGGCGGCAGAUCUUCUAUCAAAUUAGGGUACAAAACCAUAUUAUCACCUCAAAAGUACAGCAAUUAAACCAAAAAUAAUUAGGAGCCACUAACAACAUAUCGCACCGUGAAAAGCUCCGUGAAUGAAUAAAAACACAAGCUAAGCAUGGGCAAUGAGCUAUGCUACAUAUCCCAGACAAUUUUCCACCAAAUCAUCUAGUACAACCAGUAUAGGUGGAAAGCGCAUGUGUGGUGUGAGGACCUUAAAAUGGCUAUGACAAGAGCCGAAGAAAAAGCACACACCCUAGCAGCAAACGUAAGCAAAACUUUUAAUUUUUUAUUCUUAAAAAAAUCAAAUUUUUAAUUAAAAGUUUAAGGACGAUAUUGCAUAUUGAACAAAGAUUUAUGGAUCAUCUAUGUAAACAUCCAUUUUAAUUUCUGAAUUUCUCUUUUUUAUUUCCUCUCGCUUCUUUUUAAUUACUUUCUAUUUUUCUUUCUUUAUUUUCGAGCAUUGGUAGGACUACUUGUUCACCGAUAUAUAAAAUUAAUACUUAGUGCAUGCGUAGUUAGCAAGGUUUGAAAAAUGUGGCCACUCUAGAGAAGAUGGAUAAUUCCAAGGAUUUGACUUUUAUAUGCCCUCUCUCUUUAGAUUUUCCAAAAUUCCUUUAGUAGUGGAACUUGGGUUUUGCUUUUAAAACACGAAGCGUUUCAUGAGAUUGUGCAAGUGAUGCAUAACCUAAAAUCUUUGUUUCCGUGAAUAGAUCUUAUUAGGGGUGAGCAUCAGUCCAGGAUCAACCCUAGACCGACCCUGGAAUGACCCAAUUGACCCUGGACCGACCCAAUCCUGCCAAUCCUAAUCCGGUUCCCAGAGAGAUUGGGUUGGUUAUUGGUUCUAAAAUUCCUAGACCAGCAUUGUGCGGGUCAGUUCUCGAUCUUGAGAGUUCCGGGUUGGUCCGAGCCAGACCAACCCUGACUAUAUAUAUAAUAUAUUAUUUAUAAUUUUUUAUAUAGAAAAAACUUUAAAAUAAAUAGCGUCAACAACAUUAAAUAGCUCAUUAUUGAGGAGUUCAAGUAAUUUUACAUUAUUAUUAUUUAAUAACUUAGAUUUUUAAUGUCUUUUAUAGUGUCAAUAGUCAUAAUUUACAAAUGAGAAAAAUAUUUUUGUGAGGAGUCCUCAUAGCGUCCAAAAGGCAUAAAUAGCUCCUUAUAGCAUCCUCCUAUAGUAUUCGUUUUCUUCUGUCUUAUUUUUGUCAUCUUAGUCUUCAAUUUACCAAAAUCGAAAGAAACAACUUCUCCACUCACCACUCAACACUCGCCUUGCUUGUUUUGGGUCAUUCGUGCCUCUCGCCGCUCGAUGCUCGAUUGGCUUGUUGCUCCCCGCUUGACAUUCGAUGCUCAUUCUGUUCGACACUCACCCCACUUGACCCUCACCGCUUGCAUUUCUUAGCUGACCUCGCUCAUCAUCGAACCCUUGGGUCGGUAUGGUCCUUGGUUGCCCUUUCAAGGAGUACAAAAAAUGAAAUAAAAAAUAAUUGGUUGAUCCUGGGUUGACCUGAAAAUCGGACCAAACCCAUUGGGUCAAAUCGGUCCUCAAUCGCUUUUUUAAGGAGUACAAAAAAUGAAAUAAUAAUUAUCGUUUGAUCCCGGGUUGAUCCUGGAACCGGACCGAACCCAUUGGGUCAAUCCGGUCCUUGGUCCCAAGCUUAAUAGGGUCGGUCCUCGAUCCUAAAAAUUGAGGACCGGCACUGUGUGGGUUGGUCCUACGGUUAGGGGUGGACCGACCCAACCUGGAUUAUGCUCACCCCUAGAUCUACCAAAGAAAAAAAUCUAUACAUAUGAUGCGUUUGGUAGAGUAUUGAAUGAAUGAUUUUGCAUCUAGACCAAGUUCUUUGACUUGAUGUGCUUUCGAAAAAAGUAUACAAAAUUUGGAUAAUUGUCUUUUGGUAUAUUUUCGAAAAGCAGCUUUAUAAUGAAGUAAAAUUCAAAAAUAAAAAGGAGAACAAGAGAGAGUAAGGGUUACUAGAUCCAAUCGGCAUCGACCGGAGGCCGGCGAAUGACGUGACAUAAGGAUUGGCAUUUUGCGUGUGUCAACGGUGGCUGCCACAAAAUUAGGUGAGAAAAGGUAGGGAGAAUUACCAAAAAAGUCAUAAACCCAAUUAAGUCCUAAACCUUUUAUUUUGACCAAUUUAGUCCUAAAACUUUUAUAAUUGUGCCAAUUCAGUCCAUUCGAAAAAAAUUGGCCAGCCGGCGCUGACGUGGACGUCGGCAGGGGACAGUCGAUCGGUGAGGCAAUUUUUAAAUGUUUUUUUCAAAAUUUUUAAUAUUCUUUUAAUUUUUUAAUUCUUUUUUUCUUUUUUCACCUUCUUCUUCCUCUGGCCAGCCGACGCCGGCCAGAGGCGAGGGCCGGCGAGGUCAGCCUCGCCGGCCACUAGCGAGGCUCGCCCUCAUUGGUUGGAGGCGAGGGCCGGUGAGGGCGAGGCCUUGCCAGAUCUGGCGAGCUUGGCCCUCGCCAAGGCUGGGCGAGACUGCCGUCACCAAGGGUUGUGGCGGAGGCGGGGAGGGAGAGGAUGAGGAGGAGGAGGAGGAGGCGGCGGAGCGGCUGUGGAGAUGCAAAGAGGGGCGCUGUGGCUGUGGCGGCGGUGGCGGGGAGAACGAGGUGGGGGCUUUGCUCCAACGCUAGAGAAACCCGACAUCCCUGUCGUUGUCGUCGUCGUCGCCGUCGUUGCCGUCGUCCCUGCACUCGCACACAGAAGGUGGUGGACGCUGGCUUCUUCGCCAAAGCCAUCGGAGAAGUGGAUUUGAACAAAUCCCAGCCCUGGGAACUGCCUUGUAAGCAAUCACGAAAUCAACCCAUUUCGCCCAUCUCUGUUCGCCUCCGAUUUGUUCUGUAAUUAGAUUAACAUGCGUGAUUGCUUUCGUUUGAGCAUAGGGAAGGCCACAAUCGGGGAGAAGGAGUGGUAUUUCUGUUCUCUGUGUUGCAGAACGAGUGGGUCAUUCGCAGGGUCUUCCAGAAGAGCUCUGGUGGGAAGAAAACCCACAUCUCGGGCCUCGUGACGGCGGGGUCUCUCGAGAACGAAAUGAGCUCCGGCUUGCUGCCGUUGACGAAUCCUUCUCAGAAGGUGAAAAAAGAAAAAAGAAAAAAGAAAAAAGAAAAAAAGAAUUUAAAAAAUAUUAAAAAUUCGAAAAAAACAUUAAAAAAUAUUAAAAAAUUGCCUCACCGGCCGGCUGUCCCCCACUGGCGUCCACGUCAGCGCUGGCUAAUCUUGGUCGGAUGAACUGAAUCGGCACAAUUAUAAAAGGUUUAUGACUAAAUUGGCAAAAAAAAAGUUUAGAAUUGAAUUGACACAAUUAUAAUAGGUUUAUGAUUUUUUUGGUAAUUCUCUCGAAAAGGUAUAUCUAGAUGAAAGUUAAAGACCCACUUUUUUUUUUGGGGUGAAAAAAACCCACGGUUUAUGAGUAAAAAUGUCUUAUCGUUUCUCUAGAUAGCUUAUACGCGUCCAUGCCGCGUUGCUAUAUUUUCAACGUUAUGCGUGAGUUGGUAAACUGUGCUCUUAUCUCCUGCUUGUUAUUCAAUGAAUCGAUUCCGAUUGGUGCUAAUUAAUCACGUAUAAAGUCGGACCACGUGAAAUUGCCUCGGAGAUUCAAGAACCGGAGUCUCACCCGCUAACUAAAACCCCAGUUCACCGCGGCCCAUGUUUUUGCCAUCAGCUGCUCUUAGCACCUGAAUUAUUUUAAGUUUGAUUUAAUUUAAUCCAUAGUGGAUGAGCUUUUGGACACCCCGCCAGAAUUAGUAGAUUAGGACCUGUCGUGGCCGACAUCAUCAAAAGUGGGGUGCCGGCUUCGUGCAUGGAAAAUUAAUUCGCGUACAAAGAUUCCUAGGAGCAUGACAUCGUACAACCCCUCACUUCUGGGACAAAUAGCUAAACGCUACGCCCACACCAAUUAUAUCAUUCUUUCUGCAUCAAUCACAUUUUGGCACCGUACAAAAAAGCCUUGCUUUUAAGCCCACAUGAUCAAGGUAGAAACAGAUCGUGACCCAUCACCAUCGUCACUGUAUCCUGUUUCCCGAUUAUACAUUAUGGCAAGAUCAAACGAUCAAAUAAUAAAAUAAAUAGAAUAAGGAAAUAGAUUGGACACAUGAUUUACGUGCUUUAAUUGUAGUGAUUUACGUUAAUGGGGGAAAAUAACAACAAAUUUCACUAUAAAUUAAGUUACAUAACAUAUAUUAUAAUUACAUUCGGAUCACUUAAACACACUUGGUAUUUUUCUAGCUCUCCAUUAUCUCCAAUAACUAAAUGGUGCUUAACCACAUAAUUUCUCAAAAUAAUCUCUCAAUCUCCUAAAUGAAUACAUAAAAUCUCAAUACACAAUUUUAAUCGCUAGAACACUCUCCAAUUGGAUCGCGAUGUAAGAGAGGCGUCGCCACUAGUCAUGUCAACAACAGCCCACUCCCACGAAUCAAGAAUAUAUUAUAUGGUUACCCAAAAUCGAGUAACCGACUUCAAUGAGGGAAACGUGUACGUAUCAUGCGCAGAAGCAAAUUUGGUCAACCUCAGAAAAGUCCAAGUCUCCCUUUUGAAUUUUCCUUGGCAACUUUAAUGAGGACAUCGUUAUCUUUAAUUUCCUUUUAUAUUUUCUUCCACCACCAAAUCUAAUUUACCAAACGAAGUUAGCUUUGCUUGAUUUUGACGUCUGCCAAACAUCCAAAUUUCCAACUUUAAUAGACCGAACUUUCUUGCAAUUUACUUGGGGUGGGAUUUUGUUCAUUGGCUCAAACUCGAGAUAUAUAAGUACCGUCUAAUCUUUAAAUAAUCAUAAGCCAAAGUUGUUCACGACAAUAAUCUAAUCUUUCCUCAAAAAGCACCACUGCAGGAGAAACAUAUGGUAACUAACUAUCACAAGUUUGAGUUGAGCAAUUGACAAUUGAAUUUGCUGCUCCUGUUCAUUUUGAUAUAAUGUCAUUUCUUUAUAUUGAAUGUCACCUUAAAAAUAAGUUCUCAUAGCAUUUUCUUAGUGUUCCCUUCUUCCAUAUCUCAAACUACUCACAAGAACCAUAGAAUUACAUUAGGUGGUAUGGUCAAUUUGCACAAUGCACACACCAAACCGAAUUCACCUUUUUGAUUUGGUUGAAGCAUUGUCAAAUCGAGGUUUGGUUAGGACAUGCACAAGUAAUAACUAUUUCCUCUUAGGUAUGUCUCUGAUAGAUAUUUGCUGCAAACUUCGAAUCGGAUGGGAGGAAAAAGUUGAUAUUCUAAAUAUGACAUUUCGGGCUGAUAUAGAAGAUGUGAGAUUUCAAGUCAAAUAACUAGCGUCCACCCCCCUCCCCCUUCGCCCAACCCUUUCUCUUAUUGGAUAACAAUAGAGACUAGACAAGUGAAGAACAUCCCACGAAGGUCAUCGAGAGCCGGCAGAGUAAAGCCAAGAAAAAGGAGAAACCAUCCCUUCGAGUCAAAUAAAUGAGGAGAGCAACCACGAAAACAUCAGAUGCUCCUAAAGAAAUGACCACACUCCAAACACAAGACAAACCACAACUUAACGAAAAAUUGGGUUUUUUUAGGGAUUUCUUAAAAAAGUGUCUCGUGAUAUUUGUUAAAAAUAUCUGUGAAGAAGUUAUUUAAAGGUUUCUUGUUUUCUAAUACAUUAUUUUUUCUGCAAUAUGUGUAAAAACGAAAUAAUUCCUUCUAAAUAUGCUUAACAUAAGCCUUUUUAAUUGUACGCAUCAGAGGUGAUAUCAUAGACAAAGAAACGAGUGAUAAUUAACAAAUGAAAUUAUUUGAUUAGGAAAGUGAAAAGCGGUUUUCUGAUGGAAACACUGAAACUACAGGAAGGUGAAGGCGGUAACGGUGAGUUCAUAUUUUAUCUUUUAUGAAAUUNNNNNNNNNNNNNNNNNNNNNNNNNNNNNNNNNNNNNNNNNNNNNNNNNNNNNNNNNNNNNNNNNNNNNNNNNNNNNNNNNNNNNNNNNNNNNNNNNNNNACUUCAAAUCCAAUACCAGUGGUGGACCAUAUCAACUCAACAUGAGACUUCUGAUAUAAAAAAGGGAAAAAGUUAGAUAAUAAUCCCCCCCCCCAAAAAAGAAGAAGAGGAAGAGACAUAAAAUUGCUCCUCGAUCGCGAAUAGCGCCAGAAGCAAACCCACUACUCUAGGAUCUUUUCAGUGGCCUGAUACAGUUAUAGUCAUGCUAUGUGUUGCUUUUUCUUUUAUGGAGUUACUUUAUUGUCCUAUUACGAGUCAAAAGCAGCAAGAAAAAUAAAUCUGAAAAAGUUCGAUCGGUGACUAUUUUAGGUGCUUCUCAAUUUGAGUUAGGUAUGCAUUUCUAAAGAAAGAGUGGGAGAAUAUAAAAUUAUGAAACUUUGUUAACUCAUAUUCAUUUAGGUUAGAUGAUUUGUUUAUUUAAUUUUCUAUUGAAUUAAAAUUAACGUAGAAGGAAAAUUAAAAUUAUUAUAAAAAUUUGUUUAUGCAAUCCAUAAGCAUGAUCUUAAUGCCUAAAAAUGGAAUUAUCGACUAUACGCAUGGUUCAGAAUAGGAAAUUUCCUAACGCGGAGAUGCUUAAAAAUCUCAAACAAAUCAAAAUUAGUAUCGAAUAUAUUAAAUUAAAUAAUCAAUAAUUGCAAACUAGGCAACGAAUAAUCAAAUCGAAUUGGUUCGAGAGAUUACCUGGUUUGAAGUAUUCAAUUCCAGAAUCGGGGCCGGCGAUGGGGCGCUUUAUGGCGACCAGUGAGGAGGAACGUCAGGACCAAAGCAGCAACGACGGCGAUUCAGCAAGGACGCAGCAAAUUGCGGACGGGUUCGCUGGAACAAAAGACGCAACGGUGAAGGUUUGUUGGUCGGACUCUGCUUGGCGGCGACGGUGUGGGCUCGAUCAACGCUAGUCUGCUCUGGGCAAACUGCGAAAGGAAAUCAAAACAGCAAGCGGAGGUGGCGUCAAGUGGAGCCGGGAUGCCGCCUGGAAUCACCGGAAACCGCCAGGGACUGCUGCUGUGGCGUUCGAAUAAGUCGGCAAAUCUGCUGUCGUGGCCGCAGCAGGACGUGCUGAGCGCGACUAAGUGAGCCAGCAAGCGAGGUAGAGGCGCGACGAUGGGCAAGCCGGCGGCAAGCGCAGUGACUGAUGAGGGGCGGCGGCGGCGGCGUUCGUAGGAGGACAGAGCCGAAGAUCAACACCGGCGAACAAGGUCUCGAGAAUUUCGGCGAGAAAGCAAACCCUAGACCGCCGGACGAAAGCGGCAACGACACCGAGAAAAUAGACCCCACCGGUAAACAAGGACAAGCAAUCUCUUCUCAGUGUGUCCUUUUAUAGUGCUUUUUUUUUUUUUUUUGGUACUUUGUCUUUUUUUGGUGAACUAUUAAUCUCACCUUAUAAUGAUGUGGUUGGCUUGACUCGGGCAUGUCUGUUGGGGUUUGGAUCGAGUCCAGAGGAGAUGAAUCGAGUCUUGGGGGCUAGUUCUCGGAAAUUUACUGCAGAGAAAGGACGGAUGCGGGAAUGAGUGGAUAGGGAUGAUUAUAAUAACAUCUUGAUCUGAGGGGCAUUGGGAUUGAUUGGCCUACAGUUGCAGUGACCGAAUUGAGCGAUCGGGUCCACUCGGCCAAUUCCGAAGAAGUAUAGAAAAGAACAUUACAACAAGGAAGCGCCAGUGGACAGGAAAAAAAAAAUUAAGGAAGCACAAACUUAGAUCUGGAAAUUUGGGAAUUUUGAUUGCCGAUUGUGUAGUUAUGUGUUGGAAAAAAAUGGAGAAUCUUUUUAGACUUGAAUAAUUUCACAUUUUUGUCUGUCCUACUCAAACUCUCAAUUCAUUUUUAGACUUUUGCAUUAUUUCUUUGUGAGAGUCGAAUCACACUCGUAAAAUUAAAUGUCCUCACCUCCAAACCCUUAAGUAAAUGGGGAAUUGAACCACUAGGGGUGGCCCUAGUGGCUGCCCUAGUAGCCACCAUUCCAACUUAAAAAUGGGAGAUAGGGGGUUCAAAUCCCCACCUUCUCAGGGGGUUGGGGUGAGGGUUGGGGUGAGAGCGAUUUCAUUUUAGGAGUGGAUUUCGACUCCCACGCUCUGCAAGGAGGCAGAGUAAAAGUCUGAGAGUGAAUGUUAGAGUAAGAUUAGAGUAGGACCAACAAAAAACAAUGGGGAAUUGAACUUUCCAACUCCUUUUUAAGUGGGAAGGCUAGUCAAUGGGCAACCCUCGAUGUUUAACCACUCUUAAAAAGUGCUUUAUAUAUAUUUAAAGAGGAUUAUUUUAAAUAAAAUAUAAUUUCAUAAAUGGCCGAUUAUAUAUUCGAUUAGCAAAAAAUUGAUGUUUUGGAAAUUAACUUUUCAUUUGAUUUCUUCGUAGGUAUCAUGAAAUAUUCCUUAAUAAAUUCAUGUAAUGAAACCUAUAAAUUACGGAGGACGUAUACCUAUAAAGCGAAAAAUUGGAAAGAGCCAAUCCAUUGAUGGAGAAUAUUUGCUUUUGGCAUGAUUCUAUUUUGGGGGAUUGGAAAGUGCUUGCUUUUUGCCAAGUCAUGAAUCACGACUGCCCCUUGACAGAUGAAAAAGAAAUGGCAACAAUCUUGUGCCGUUCCCACGAAUAUAGGCUUUUCGAUUGGGAUGAGAAGGAUGUUAGUCAUUGAAAUAGAACCAAUCUUACCAUGAUAUGGUUGUGAAGACAUUCCAGCAAUGUCCUUUGAAUUUUUACUUUUCAUAAAGUUAUUGUAUUUAUCCCCCAAACAUACUCUAAUGAAUCAAUUUUUUCCACCCUGGCACCUCUUAAUUCUUCCAUCUAUAAAUUUUGGGCACUUAGUUUAUGCGAAAACAAGUUCACCACCAACUAUAGCUGUACCAUUCGCUAAAAUUUAUCCUAUUUUUAUGCAUACAAAUAUUUUUAUUAGAACAUAAGUAUUGGGAAUAGAAAAAGGAUCACUUGUAAGGUGGUCAUAUAAACUCUAAGUCCAAGGAAAGAUUAUAAACAGCUCCUUUUUUGUUUCAUCUUUUCUGCACCUACUAAAAUUCUGAAAACAAAUCACACUACCUUUUAUGGUGAUUUUACAAGACUGGGAUGACGGGAAACGUGGUAUGAUGCAUUUCGAAGAAGUUGCAAGAACUAAGUGUGGAACGGGGUCAACAACCAAUGAUCAGGUAGGAAAGUGAGUGAGUGGUGACAAAGACAUAAUUGAAGGAAAGAAUAAAAAAUGGCCCUAAGCCCAUAAGUUGACUGGGCGUGUGGGACGAGAAUCAAAUGAAACGUCCAACAAACGUAGACAUGUGAACUUACACUUCUAACCUUCCUCAAAAGCAAAAAUGAAAAGGGUAAUGCCUUUAAACUUUAAUUAUUAUUUUUCUAUCGUCUACAGGCUUCUAGUCGCAGUUACCAAAAAUACCUUAAUAUUACUUACUUUAUUAGAAUGACUGGACUACUUUUCUCUAUUUCAAUUAUGAAUUAGUGUUGAGUUACCAACUCUAAUUUGGAUUACUUUAUCAAAUUUCAUUCACAUAUCUUUAUCAUGCCUUAAAUUUACUAACUCUUAUAUGUCAACCUCUUCUUCGACUAAGCUUUUAACUGGUUACCAAUUCUCAUUCGAAUUAAUUAUCAAUGUUUUGCUGCGUCAUGAGCUCUAAAAAGAGAUGGCCCCACGACGACCCUACUGUCACGCUGUUUCGAGUUAAUGAGCCUCAUCUGCCCAUUGGCUUGUGGGGCGGGCAUCUCGUUUCUUAUCUAGAAACUGAGUCAACUUGGUUUCUUCAUUUAAGCCUUCUUGAAAUGGUAUUGCUGCGAGUCUCUCGAUGACUGGUCGAAAUUCGACGAGAGAAAGGCAUUUUGCUUUUGCAACGGGAUUUCAUUUUCUAAAUGCCCAUUUAUGGAUCAAUCAAAUGUCCAGCAUAAACUCUCUCUCUCUCUCUCUCUCUCUCUCUCUCUCUCUCUCUGCGCUUCCCAAGAGAAAAAAAAAAUCAUAUUCCCGCAUGCCACCUGCCUGGAUGGGAUGAAAAAAAAAAAAUUGCCCUUAAUUUUGGGUAGGAUAGGAUAGGCCUGGGUACUUUUGAUACCCCUCCUAAGAAGGAUGCUCGAAAGGUAAUCUCCACGGUCGGUGUACCAAGUGAAAGGGAAAAGUCUUUUAGCGAUCUUUCUCAACCAUUAACAAAAGGGAAAAUUUAAAGAUCGGUCAUGAAAGGAUUCACAGACGCGCUUUACUUUUUCUCUUUCAGUAUCGUGCUUCUACGACCUUUCUUGGUAGGUCGCGAUCAAUUUCUAUUGUCUUGCUUCAAGGCAGCCUCAAUCUCUUCAUGAUCUAAACCGAGAUUGAAUUCCCUAAACUCAGAAUAACUUGUCUUAACAAUGAUUUUAGCCUUCAACAAUUUUACGAUGGAUAGAAAUUUUUCUUAUGUUUUCCUUUCCACUAAAUGUUCAGAUUUGUAAGUUGCAAGAUGAUGUUUAUUAAUCAAAACAAUAAGGGUGAGUAUAGUUGUGAGCUGGUGUACUUUUUUGCAUACACUGAUUAUCUACUUCCUUUGUUUUUUUUUUUUUUGGUGACCCAGGAACCCUCCGCACGGCCGGCAGCCGGAGGAGUAAACCUGGGGGGCUGCGUAAGCGGGAGGACCCACCACCCCCGGCAACCCACUUAAGACGCCACGCAGCAAUCCACCAGCCUCCCUUCAACUUGCGUUGAAGGGGGCUUCGAACUCCAGACCUCCAACGUGGAAACCUGAAGCCUACCCAGCAGAGCCACCACGGCCGGUGAUACUUCCUUUGUUUUUUAUAAAAGGCAAAACAAGAAAAGAAGACACCCCAUUUAGCCAGCACCGGCACUAAAAACAUCUUUGAAGAUUGCCCUAGAGGAUAAUGGGAGAUUUUAUAGGAGAAUUAAUUAGAUCUCCUAAAUCAACCUCUCUUUCGCUUGGAUAGCACUUCAAUCAUCAUGCAUCUAUUUCAAUUUAUGAGAUUUUUUUGAACUAUAGAAACAUGAAAACUCUAAUGUAAUUGCUUGAUAGGUAGAACCAUCAACUCUUGCUUUAACUUAAGCUUCUACGCGUUGCAAGCAUCAUCUUAUUCUAUUCACGUAGCCCAAAAAAAAAAAAAUGAUUCAAAUAUCUUGUAUAUUUUGAAAUUUUAUCCAAAUAGUCAGCCCUGAUCAUUGGUCACUUACGUAGAUUUGAUGACCGUUGGAGUGCCCAAAUUGAAGACCUAGCUCAUAGCAUUACAGCAUGAUAUUCCAAGAUUAUCUUCGCCAAAAAUCAUGGACUAAUUCUCUCAACAGAUUGAUGAGAUGACGUGAUCAAAACCUGCUAAUAAUAGAAGAUUAAGAGAAGGGCUAAACACGUGUUUUUCAAAAAAAUAAAAUAGUUUUGGAUAAAUAUGCCAUGAGUGUAAAAGUUUAGUAUUUUUUGUAAGACAGGAUUUAAUUUUGGAUAAAUAUGUCAUGCAAGUAUGAUUUGAAAUUUCUAAUUAUUUUAAUUGAACUAUAGACAAAUAGAAGUUUGGAACUAAUUUCCUAGAGUCCACGAGGAAAUUUCCAAGAAGGAAGACAAAUAGAAGUUUGGAACAAAUUUCUUAGGGCCCGCAAGGAAAUUUCCAAGAACGACGCUCAAAAGGUUAUCCCCAAGGUUGGCAUACCAUGUGAAGUGAAAAAGACUUUGACACUAUUUGCCCAGCCAUCAACAAAAAGAAAAAGUUCAAAAUCAGUCCUGAAAAGGAAUCCCAAACGAUCUUGCUUUUUCUCAUCAAUUGUCGUAUAUCUUUGACAUUUCUUGGAAAUCCAGAAUUAACUGUUCUUUAAAAACCUUCGAGUACCUACACACAUACAGAAUAUAGCUAAACAGAGGAAUUAUAAACAAGAGGGCCAGGAAAAUCGAAGGAGAAAGAAAAUAGUAUUAGUUAGUUCGAUUAUCAAGAGGAAAAAUUGCAAGAUGGCUUGUCAUGUAAUAUGAAACUUCAUUAAGGUUAUUUUUGUAUAGUUGUGAGCUGAUGUACUUUUUGUCUUUUGCUUAUUAUCUGUUUCAUGUGUUUUUCAUAAAAGGGGAAAAGAAGAAAAGAAGAUAACGCAUUUAACCAACGCCAAUCUAUUAAAUUGCGAUGCAUCUUUGAAGAGUUCUCUAAAGGAUGAUGAGAGAUUGUAGAGGACAAUUAAUCCGAUCUCCUAAAUCAAUCUCUCUUUGACAUGGACAGCACUUCAAUCAGUACUCGUCUAUUCAAGUUCACAUGAUUUUUCUGAAUUGUAGAAACAUGAAAACGUUCUUGUAAUUGCUUUAUAUUAAGAGUUAUUAGCUCUAGCUCCUAAUGUUACGCCUAACUGUUGGAGCGAUGGAUCACAAUCAUCAGCUAAUCCUAGUCGCCUCAGCUAGUCCGCACAUGCCUUGGACUAUAGUUGGAUCAUCAAAGAUGGUCUGUAUUAUUGACUAAGCAACACCCAUUUUUCUCCGAAGACAGACCGGCAUGGCAAAGGUUGGGGGCUAUACAUAUUUGAUGAGAGAUUACUUCAAUUGGUUAUUUUCUCACUUUUUCGUUAUUAUUCCUCCAUGGUUGAGAACUGCAGUAAAUUGGUAUAUAACUUAUGAAGGUGUAAGUGCAAAGGUAAAGCAAAAUCUAAUUGAAACUUUACUCAUCAUUCGAUUUUUUCUCAAGCACAAAAAUGAAAUGUUACUAUUUGAAUCAAUAAAUUUGCAUCUACCUUUUAUUUUCUAUUAGGUUUUCCCACUGAUGAAAAUUUCUGAAUCUAUCCCUAGUUUUCUCCAUCGCAGCCAAGAUAAAUCCAAGGAAAUCUCAAUUCUAGAAGGUGAAAUUCACAAAACUAACCUCGAAUUCUGAGGGCAUAAUACAUUCAGAAUUGGGCAAAAUCGGAAAAGAAAUGGUCCAGAUAGGAUUCAACCAGGUCGGCAGUUCCUUGAACGCCUCAAGCUGGUUCCGUCCAAUGAUCAGAACGGCUCGCUGACGCCAUUAACCUUUGGACCGGUCGCUGGCAUGGCGCAACAGUGGAGCUAACGUAAGACGAAUGCGAAGCGACUUUAACUAUAGUAAAAUUAGAGACUGACGAGUGUCGACACGAAGGGACACAAAUUCAGGUGAGGCAGGUUGCUGUCAAGUGAAAUUAAAUCGAGACGGCCAGGUCGUCUAUCACAAACUCAUUUGUGAAAACACGAGAGAAGUCAUUUUACUAAGCAAAAACAUUUAUAUAGGUGAGAGAAACUGUGAGAGGGACACUUUGUAAAUAUUUAAAGGUGUGAUUUAUAGUUUGGGGGAGGAUCUAAUGUGUCGUAUGGACAACGACUAUUGAAGAGUCUCAUGGUUACAUGGUUUACAGUGAGAUACCGUAGAAGAAGUCGAGUCUUGUACGACGGCAAGUUCUACACUUGAAACAAGACGAUCAUUGUGCUCAAGUGAAAUUUGACCUAUCUGGGCUGUUAGAGCUUGAAAAGAGGAGCAGACACACCCACACUGGGCCUCUAUAAAUUUUUUAGCAGUUUCUCUUUCUCUUAACUCUUUACUUUCCACUAUUUAUAUUGCUAAUUCACUUUGCUUGUAGUAAUAGAAUUUUAUUGGGGUAAGUUUUACAUAAUUAGUUUGUGUUUUCUCUAAAAAUAAAUUGAUCCUAACUUUUGGUUGGUUUUUUGGGUCUAACAAUUUGUGUCAUAGUAGGCUCCUUGUUGUAAAGGUUUAAACUUUUGAGAUAAAAGAUGGAUGCCAAUAAUUGUUGGAACUAGCUCGAACAGAUUACUUGACCUGCUUCGUCUGAUGGUGCUAAUUAUUCUCAUUUGAAACAUAGGAUGGCCAUGCUCAUUCAGUCAAUGGACCACGAACUUCGCAGGUCAUGCAAUAUGAAACCCUUGUACUAAUGAAGAUAGGGGAAAUUCCUAGUGCUUCCAAAGAUAAAAUGAGUUCACGGCCAAUGACGAGAGAAAGAGUAUCAUUGGACCCAAAGGUAAAUCAUGUUCUCUAUCAUGCAGUUGCCCCUGCUGAAUUCAACCAAAUUAUGUCGUGUUAAAUGGCCAAAGAAAUUUGGAAUCGAUUAGUGGUCAUGUAUGAAGGAACUAAUCGCAUGAAAAAGACGAAGAUUGGCGUGCUGCAACAAAAUUAUGUAUUGUUCAUGAUGGUGGCCCAUGAGAGCUGCAAGGAUAUGUUCGCUUACUUCAUGGACAUCAUCAACGGCCUAGCCUCUCUUGAUAAGCCUAUUUCUAGUGAUAUAUAGAGGAAAGUGUUAUUUCAGCCCUUAAUCAAAUUAUACACCAAUUUGGUUUUAAAUUUUUUGAAUGAUAUAAUAUAAGUCCUCACCUUAGAAUGAAUCUCACCUUAGUCUCACACCAAUGUCCAUCUAAAAUUGCUGACGUGACCACUUAGCCCAUACUGAUCGUCUACAUGUAUAAUUGGCAAUUGGCAUUAAAUUUUAAGGAUUUUUGCUUUAUGUCUUUAUUGUACAUUCCUUGUUGCUGUCAUCUUCCCAAAUGAACUUAUAGCUUCUCUAAUUGUCUUGGGCGUGCAAAAUAGUUGCAUUUUUUGCUCGAUAGAGCAUCACUUUCAUUACUAAGGGGGAAAAGUGCCAUGAGAAUGCCCAAAAUCAUAACAUAACAAAGACCAAAAAGUGGGAAGGUGGACUGACGUGAUAGAGUAUCCUAAUCCGUUAAAUCCAAAAGUUCAAUCAUUAAAAUCCCUAAUAAGAAUCAUCACAUCAUAAUAUAAACUGUUCUUUGAGCAAGGCUUCGAUCGGACUGUGUGAGGUUGUUGCUCCCCUCAUCUUUGAACCUUGGGGAGAGGGGAUUAAGUUGGAGUUAUCGAGCAACAACCUCGCACUGCAUUGCCUCUUCAACGGAGCUCAGAAGUCGGUGGAAUAGGCCGUCCUCGCCGCCAUGGGACCCUCCGUGAUCCUGAUCCUCUUCCACCUUACACCUUGCGUGCCCUUCAUAGCCUAAACCCUAAUCCCUUCCCAUUGCACACCAAGCUCUCCGCAACUCUGCAUCACUUCAAGUUAAACAUCAUUUCACCGCAUAAAGCCAUUUUUCUUGAUCUCCAAAUCGGAAAACACUCCCUAUGAAAAAGUCGAUCACAAUUUCUAGGUGAUUGUGGAGUUGUGUGGGCUCGACGACCUCGUAUAUGAGGUUGUCGCAGCAGUCCUUCGCCCUGGCAACCGUCGUGAACAAGAAACAAAGAGAGACGGAGGUGGUGAAGACAACAAACAGUAGCUAGAAGGAAAGAAGAGAAAACAGAAAACAAUUAGGAAAAGCCAAAAAAACUAAGCAAAAGGGCAUCAUUUCGACUAUAGUUAACCACUGUCAGAUCAUCAUUUCAAUGUUGCAACAUUGAAUAUAUUCAUAUGGCCCAGAAACUAAAUUGAGUACGUUUCAGAAGUCCAAGGACCAUAUUGAACAAAUCAAAUAUUUAUAGAUGACCUUUAAUAUUGGACUAAAGUUCAUGAACCACAUUAAACAAAUUUAAAAUUUAGGAGCCACAUUACACAUGUGGUCAAAAUUCAAGAACUAUUUGUGUUAUUUAUCCAUAAUAAUUCUAUAUCAAUUUGAUAUACGCAACUCGUGCUGUGCGGAUUGCUGCACAAAUCAAUAAUGAAAAAUGAUAUACAAACAUUUGUGUGCAAAGAAACCUUCAUGUUAUCAUAUUUGCAGUUAGACUCUAGUGUUAACAUAACAUUAAUAAUUUUUUAGCAACUUAUUAAUGAAAUAGCUAACUUGAUUUUUUGAUCUCUUUCUUCACUAUGAUUCAACUGCACAUAAUUUAUAUAUCUUUAUUUUAGUAAACAUAUUUGCACACUAAUGUAAAUUGUUAUGGUAGUAAGGUGGGAAAUUUCUUUAAUUUAAAGGAGUACAAGUAGAAUAAAUAUGGAGAGAGGGGAGUGUUAUAGAUAAAGCCAAAUAUUUGUUUUUAGGGGCUUUUUUGUCUUUUCUAUUAGAUUUCCUUUUAGGUUAAAAGUGGUACCUAUAUAUUAGCGAUGGCAAAACCCUAGCCGUCAAGACGCUGAAAAAGGAAAUAGAGAGGCAAGAAAAAGAGAGAAGAAAAAAGUGAGUUUUUUCUUGAUGAGUGUUCUCAAUCUCUUUGUGCCCUGAUCUUGAGAAAAGAUCGUCGUUGUAUUCUAACUUUUUCCGAAGUUUAGUGGAUUUGCAGAGUGCCUCUGCGCGGAGACGUAGCCCAGGUUUGGGUGAACUUCGAUAACAAUUUUUUUGGCGUGUUCAUCUGAUUCUGCUCUUUUAUUAUUAUAUUCUGUCCGGUGAAUUGUUUGCGAACAUUAUUUUUCUGGAAUCGACGUGCGAUUUCGUAACAACUGGUAUCAGAGCCUGGGUUGGCUAAUCGAGAACAUCGAGGGUUUUCGGUGACGUUCGAUUGAAAGCAAACAGGAUGGCAGAAGAUAAAAUCAGAAUCGAUAAGUUCAAUUGAGAGGAUUUCGGAUGGUGGAAACUACAAAUAGAGGAUUAUCUUUAUCAAAAAGAUCUCUAUGCACCACUUGAGGGUUGGAAACCCGAGAUGGCAGAAGUGGAUCCAACAGCAGAAACCGGAUGAAAAAUUCUUGAUUGAAAGGCGUUAGGUGCGAUUCGUCUAGGGUUGACGAAAAAGACAGGGUACCACAUCGCGAAAGCAAAAACUGCAAAAGAAGCCAUGGAUAUUCUAAUGAAUAUUUUUGAGAAGCCAUCCACAUCAAAUCAGGUAUUUUUGCUGAAGAAACUGGUUAAUAUGAAGUUAUCUGAUAGAGGUUCUGUGACAGAGCAUAUUAAUAGUUUCACGCAGGUCACGGGUCAAUUGGAAUCCGCAGGCAUAAAUUUAGAUAUGAAGCUUCAAGCUUUAUUAUUUUUAUGUUCUCUUCCAGAAAGCUACAAUACCGCAGUGCAGGGAAUUUCGAGCACCAUGAAGGAUGAUUUAACUCUUGAUGAUGCUGUGAGUAGUAUCAUGGAUGAAGAGAUGCGAAGGAAAGUCUCAGGUGGAGAUAAUUUUUUCUGCAUCUACAUCUUUAACGGCACUUGCGGUGGAGAACCGUGGAAGAAGUAAAAGUAGAGGAAAUUUCAGUGGUCGUGGCAGAUCACAAUCAAGGGGUAAGAGACAAGUUGCAAAAGAUGAGUGUUGGAUUUGUCACAAAACCGGACACCGGAGGUUUCAGUGUGAAGCCUACAAAAAGAAGCAGCAAGAUGAGAAUCAAGGAGCUAAUGUAGUUAGCGAUAAAUCUUUGCUAGAUAACUUGUGUUUGUCUGCAGGGUUUGACUUGACAACAGAUAAAUGGUUUAUUGAUUCUGGCGCUUCUUUUCAUUGCACCUCGCAAAGAGACAUAUUUGAUGAUUAUGCCAGUGGAGAUUUUGGACAAGUGGUUGUGGGAAACGGCCACAUGUGUCCAAUUGUUGGGAAGGGAACCGUAACUGUGAACAUCUCAAGUGGAGGACGUCUAGUUUUGCGUGAAACUAGGCAUAUUCCAGAAUUAAAGAAAAAUCUUAUUUCAACCAGUAAACUUGACCAAGAAGGUUUGGUAAUAACCUUUGGUUGUGGAGAGUGGAAAAUAACCUCAGGGGUAAGAGUAGUAGCAAAGGGAAAGCGUACAGGUACACUUUACCUUAUCCAAAGAGACAAUAUCAGUGAUAUGGUUGCAACUACAAUGGCUACAAGUAAUUUAUCUACUCUUUGGCAUUAUCGUUUAGGACAUCUUGGUGAAAAAGGUGUAAAGCAGUUACACUCGAGAAAAUUACUUCUGGGUUUACAAAAAGUUGAGUUAGAUUUUUGUGAGAGUUGCAUUUAUGGAAAACAGAAGGCUCUUAGUUUUCAAUUAAAUGGGCGACAAAAUAAAGGCCAGGAGCUAGAGUUGGUUCAUACUGAUGUAUGGGGACCUGCUCAAGAACUCUCUUAUGGUGGUAAGAGAUAUUUUGUCACAUUCAUUGAUGAUGCAACAAGAAAGACUUGGGUCUAUGCUCUUAAAGAAAAAUCAGAAGUAUUCGGGAUGUUCAGAAUGUGGAAGACCAUGGUAGAAAAAGAAACAGGUUAUCAGAUUAAAGCUUUGAAAUAUGAUAAUGGUGGUAAAUACACAAGUAAAGAAUUUGCAAAUUAUUUGAGUCGAGAAGGCAUACAUGGGUUAAAGACUGUUCCUAAAACUCCUCAAGAGAACGGUGUAGCUGAAAGGAUGAAUAGGACUAUUCUAGAACGUGCGAGAUGCAUGAGACUACAAGCGGGUCUCCCGCUACACUUAUGGGCUGCCACAGUUGAUACAGCUGUUUAUCUUAUCAACAGAAGUCCAUCUAGUGCGUUGGAUGGAGAAAUACCACAAGAGCGGUGGUCAGGUAAGAAGAUUAAUUAUUCACAUCUAAAGGUGUUUGCUUGUAUUGCAUAUGCUUUGAUUGACAGGGAGGAUAGGAAAAAGCUUGAUGCUAAGUCCUAGAAGUGCAUCUUUAUCGGAUACGGUGGUGACGAGUAUGGCUAUAGACUUUGGUAUUAUGAGAAUAACAAAGUCAUCCGCAGUCGCAAUGUGGUAUUCCAUGAAGAAAAGAUGUACAAGAAUCGUCAGACAGAGACAGAGCAUGAGAAGGUAGUACAACCAAAGUAUGUUGAAUUAGACAUAAUGCCUGUGAAGAUGUUUCCAGUAGAUCAAAGUUCACCUGAAAGAGAGGUUCAAGAUGAGCCUAUUAUCAGUGAAGAGGUAGUUCAAGAAGAACGCAGUGAUUCGGAGCAAACGAAUGACCCUGAAGUACCUAUCUUGAGAAGGUCUACACGUGUGAGAAAGCCAAAGGUAAUUUUUGAUCCAUCAGCUAAUACUGUUCUGAGCCAUGUCUUAUAUACAGAUUCGGGGGAACCGGAGACUUAUGAUGAGGCAAAGGCAGACACGUCUCACUUGCAGUGGGAGUGUGCUAUGAAAGACGAGAUGAGCUCGUUACUUCAGAACAAAACUUGGGAGUUGACCAAGUUGCCCACAGGUAAAAAAGCUUUAUUAAACAAAUGGGUGUACAGGAUUAAGAAUGAAGCAGAUGGUAGUAUUAGAUACAAGGCGAGACUUGUAGUCAAGGGCUUUUCUCAAAAAGAAGGGAUAGACUACUCCGAGAUAUUUUCACCUGUAGUGAAAAUGACAUCAAUUAGAGUUUUGCUAAGUAUAGUUGCAGUGGAGGAUCUUCAUCUUGAGCAGUUAGACGUAAAAACAACGUUUUUACAUGGUGACUUAGAUGAAGAUUAUACAUGGCACAACCUAAGGGUUUUGAAGUCAAAGGUAAGGAGCACAUGGUAUGUCGCUUGAAGAAAAGCUUGUAUGGCUUGAAACAAGCUCCGCGACAAUGGUACUUAAAAUUUGAUGGUUUCAUGCAAGAAAAAGGAUUUGCACACUGUGAGUCUGAUCACUGUGUUUAUUUUCGCAAAUAUGAUGAUGGUGACAUUGUGUAUCUAUCUUUAUAUGUGGAUGACAUGCUGGUGGCUAGUUCCAAUAUGAAGAGAAUCGUAGUAGUGAAAAAGAUGUUAUCAUCACAGUUUGCUAUGAAAGACUUGGGAGAGGCCAAGAAUAUUUUAGGCAUGAAAAUUAUCAGGGACAGGAAAAAUAAGAAAUUAUGGUUGUCGCAAGAAGACUAUGUGAACAAGGUGUUAAAGAGAUUUAACAUGGACAAGGCAAAACCGGUUGCAACUCCUCUAGCGAAUCACUUCAAACUUUCCAAGGAUAUGUCCAAGCACUCAGGCUUUGAAAGAUGAGAUGGCGGUAGUUCCAUAUGCAUCAGCAGUGGGGAGUUUGAUGUAUGCCAUGGUGAGCACGAGACCAGACAUUGCACAAGCAGUGGGAGUUAUGAGUCGAUAUAUGCAGAACCCAGGUAGAGAGCAUUGGAAUGCAGUUAAAUGGAUAUUGAGAUAUCUAGCAAGUAAUUCCAAUUACUCACUUUGUUAUGGUGGUACAUCUCUAGAGUUGCAGGGUUAUGUAGAUGCAGAUCAUUCGGGUGAUCGAGAUAGUGGUAAGAGUACCACUGGAUAUGUCUUUAUAGUUGCAGGUACAACAGUGAGUUGGGUAUCUCAACUACAAAAAAUAGUGGCUUUAUCGACAACAGAGGCAGAAUAUGUAGCGAUUACAGAAGCCUCCAAGAAAAUCAUGUGGUUACAAGAUUAUAUGGAGGAGUUACAUCGAAAACAGCCAGUCAGUACACUGUGGAGUGAUAGUCAAAGUGCAGUGCACUUAGCAAAGAAUGCAGUUUAUCACUCAAGAACUAGACAUAUCAAGAAGCGUUAUCACUUUAUCAAGUCAGCAUUGAAAGAUAAUGAAUUAAAGCUACAAAAGAUUGAUGACUCGAAGAAUCCAGCUGACAUGAUGACUAAGGUAGUAGAUAGAGAGAAGCAUAUUUUCUGUACUACUACCAUUGGUAUUACUCCAUGUUGAUUGAUGAGGAGUAUCGUAGAGGCACAAGUUUUUCAACUACUAUUUUUUGAAGAAGAUGGAUGCAAAGUUGCUUGGUGCUUGGGUAUAUUUGUCUUCAAGUGGGACAUUGUUAUAGAUAAAGCCAAAUAUUUGUUUUUAGGGGCUUUUUUGUCUUUUCUAUUAGAUUUCCUUUUAGGUUAAAAGUGGUACCUAUAUAUUAGCGAUGGCAAAACCCUAGCUGUCAAGACGCUGAAAAAGGAAAUAGAGAGGCAAGAAAAAGAGAGAAGAAAAAAGUGAGUUUUUUCUUGAUGAGAGUUUUCAAUCUCUUUUUGCCAUGAUCUUGAGAGAAGAUCGUCGUUGUAUUCCAACUUUUUCGAAGUCUAGUGGAUUCGCAAGUGCCUCUGCGUGGAGACGUAGCCCAAGUUUGGGUGAACUUCGAUAACAAAUUUUCUAGCGUGUUCAUCUGAUUCUGCUAUUUUAUUACUAUAUUCUGUCUGGUGAAUUGUUUGCGAGCAUUAUUCUGGAAUCGACGUGCGAUUUCGUAACACAAGGGUCGAUAACACAAUUUAUUUUAAAUCAGAAAAAAAAAAUGACAUAAGUGGUUGCUAACUUUUAAUUUGUUAUGAACUUUUGCUUAUUGUGCAACGUCGUCUCUAAACUUUCAAUUUGUUCAAUAUAAUUUUCGAACUUUAACUCGAUAUGCAAUAUCAUCCACGAAUUCUUAAUUUUUUUUAUUGUGGCUUUCGAACUUUUGAUACAUGUUCAAUUUAGUCCAUGAAAAUAUUCAUUAUUGUCAUUUUUUAAAAUUCAAAUAAAUGGACUUUAUUGAUUUGGCUUUCAAUUUGGGAUGUUUGGAUGGUGAAAAAAAAUGUCAUACGUGGAUUAUCUAUGUAAAAUAUUCAAGUAAAACAACACGCGUUUAUGGCCCCAUAAAAUCACUAGAUGGCAUGAAUUAUUAUACUCUUACUUAAGUUGAAUUUUUUUUUAUGUGAAUAAUUUAGGUGUAAUGUUAUUUUUUUACUCAAUGUUCAGACUUUUUUUUUUUUUUGGGUCAGUCCUACUCUAAUCCUACUCUACACUCACUCGCAGACUUGUGCCCUGCCUCUUGCAGGGCGUGGGAGUCGCAACCCACUCUCGAAACUUACGCGUCCCUACCCCCAUCCCCCCUGAGGAGGUGGGGAUUUGAACCCCUCACCUCCCCCUUCCAUGUUGGAAGGGUGGCCACUGGAGCGAACCCCCAGUGGUUUAAUGUUCAGACUUAUCAAGUUGACAACCUAGUCACCGAACUCCGUUAACUUGAAUUAAUGAAAGGAUGGCAUUUGACAUUUUCAUAUAGUCUACGAAUGACUUCUUUCGUUCAAAGGUUCACUCCCACCUUCAAUCGCAUAUUAAAUUGAACAUACACUAAAAGGUCAUGAAUCAAAAUAAACAAAUUAAAUGUUCACGGAUGACAUCGCAUAUUGAAUCAAUGUUCAUGGAUCAUUCAUUUAAAUAUCUCUUCAUUUCCUAGAGUUCCUUUUAUUGUUUCCUCCCUUUUCUUUUUUUAAUUACUUUCUAUUUUUCCUUCUUUAUUUUCGUCCAUCAGCAGACCUCCUUAUUCAACAACGUUGACAAUUUAAUAUUUUGUUGCAUGUGUCUUUUUCACCGACAAUAAGAUUUAACCUUCGGUUACGUUGGACUUCAAAGGGAAAAAGCCACCAAAAAUCUUAAACUUUGCUCAAUGUGACAAAUUUAUCCCAAUUUUUUUUUUUGUAACAUAAAAAACCCCAAACUUUAUCAAUUGUGACGGAUUUAUUCUAAAAUUUUUUUCGUGACACAAAAAACUUUAAACGUGUAUCUGCAUGACACAUUUACCCAAAAUUAUAUGGCAUCUUCGUCUUUUACUUUUUUUAAAAAAAUUUUCCAUCUUUUUUUUUAUUUUUCUUCUCUCUUCCCUCCGCCAGUGGCGGAAGGAAGUCGCACUCAAGUGAGGGCUGCCCUCAUUAGAUCUAGCGAGGGCUGUCCUCGCUUGACCCAGGCGAGGGUUGCCCUCCCCUGGGCUGGCGAGGGCGGCCCUCACCCGACUCCAGUGAGGGCGGCCCUCGCUUGAGUUCGGCUUAUCUCCGCCAUGGUGGAGAGAAGAGAGAAGAAGAAAAAAGGAAAAAAAAGAGAGAAAAAAAAGAGGAAAAUGUCAUUGGUCAUAAAGUUUAAGGUAAAUGUAUCAUGAUUAAUAAAAUUUGAGAUUUUUUGUAUCACAAAAAAAAGUUUGAGUAAAUUUAUUACUUUUGAUAAAAUUUGGGGUUUCUGGUAACUUUUUCCCGACUUCCCCCUUUUAUUUUGGUUUCUAUUUUUAUAACUAUAAUCCCACCACGUCCCUCUCCUGCCAAAUCCGGAUGAAACGAAACAAGGGCAAUUCAGUCUAUCGGCUAUAAAAUACCGUGACAAAGCGCAACCAUAAUUUCGAAGUAUGGACACGCACUCACUCCAUUUUUUUCUAUUUUUCUAUUUUUUUAUUUUCACUCCAUUUAUUUCCCACGCCUCCACCGACAAAUCAGCAAACCUCCUCGGCCGCGGGUGAGAGAGACACUGAAACAGAGGUUCUUUACGGUUUCGCUUUCCAGAGAGAGAUAUUGAAACAGAGGAUCUUUACGGGUUGCGCUUUCCAAGAGUCUAAUCAUUCCCCAAUUAGCUCCCCUUUUGGAAGCGAGCGCAAGCUUUGAUCUGUCGUGGGCCGUGGCAGCGCAGAAACGACAAGACAAGCCACGCAAGAGAGACAGCGAUCCCUUCGAGUUAAAAAAAAGAAGAAAAAAAGACGAGAAGCAACCACGAAUCGCCGAUGAAAAAAUGAAAGAAAAAUCCUUAAAAAAAUGACCAAAAAAGGGCGACCCAGAAAAACCCAAGAAAACGCGCGACUUGUUAAUUUAUAUUAAAAAAAAAAAAGCACCAAUGGGGAAUUUUAGUGAUUAAAAAAAAGAGUCUGGUUUGUUAAGAACUUAUUUAAAGAAAGUUUCUUCGUUGUCACAUAACCUUUUUUUUUUUAAACCGCGACAUGUCUAAUCAAAAUUUAUAAAAUCUUAGUAUUUUGUCUUAAACGUACUAGAUAAGAGCCAUUUUUUUCUUCUUCGUUUUUUUUUCAGUUGUUACACGUGGAUAUUUUCUUUUUUGGGUUAGUGACGUGCGAUGCAACCGGACGAAAGGCGUCGACAGACAAAACUGAUGAUGGCCAAAGUCAAGCCACUGGAUACUUUCCAAGGGAUUCGAGGAUCGUAGCAUUGGCAUAAACUUCAAAAGUCUGCGACCGUUCCCAUGAACAUAGUCAUUCCGGUCCCUCCCUCGAUCUCGAGGAUGGAGGAUGACGAGAGAAGUAUAAAAACGACCUUUCCCCCUCCCCAUUUCCACCAUCCUCCCUUCGUUCCCUUCCCUUACCUUCGCUUUCCGCGCUUAAGGCCCUUCACGUUUUUGCGCUCCGUUUGUCUCGGCGUCUCUUGAAGAAGAAGAUCCUCCUCUUCAUUUCGGGGUUCCCCCGCUUCCAUUGCGUCGUUCGAAGGUGAAAAUCUCUACUAUUUGUCGCUAGUGUUAAAAUUUUACUGGUGGCUUAGCGAGUUCGAGAUGUCGUGCUCCGAGUGUUCUUUCUUGAGGUUAUCCAGAACCUAUCCUUUAUUAGCAGAAGUCGGGGUCUGCUUCUAAAGCACGGUGGGUUUCACUUUGGUGGUUCGUGCAGUUUUGUUACGAGAGAAGGAUUAAGCCAUGGCGGAUCGUGUGCUGAACCGAAGUCACAGCCCUCGCGAGCGUUUGGACGAGGCCCUCUUUGCUGACCGCAACGAUUGUCUGGUCUUCCUGUCAAGGUAAAAAGCAAGUACGAAAAGAAGAUUUAUUCAAAUGAUCUUGAAAUGGUUCUAGUCUAGCACAUAAACUUGACGGAAUUCAGCUUCAGAAAGUGUUUUGGUCCUUUUUGUUUUCUUGGUGAAGGCUUAAAGCCAAGGGCAAAGGCAUCUUGCAGCGCCACCAAAUACUUGCUGUGUUUGAGGCGAUCCCCGAGGAGAGCAGAGCAAGGCUUCUUGAUGGGGCUUUUGGUAAAGUCCUCAAAUCCACUCAGGUAUUAUGAGCUUCCUUCAUGGGUCACUGUUUCUGGGUUCUAGACGCUCUUGAAAUCUACUUUUCAAUAGUAACAGUGGGUUAAUUUUUUCUUUUCUUUGACCUUUUUGGGUUUGAACUCUUAAAAGAAUUUCUUUUGCUUUGAACUUUGGGGUUUAGGAAGCGAUUGUCUCGUCUCCAUGGGUUGCUCUUGCUGUUCGUGCAAGGCCGGGUGUGUGGGAACACAUCCGUGUGAACGUCCAUGCGCUUCUUCUUGAGCACUUCCAGGUUGAUGAGUAUCUGCACUUCAAAGAAGCGCUUGUUGAUGGAAGGUCAGAGCCUUUAUUGCCUAUUCUUUCUCUUCCUUUUUUUUUCCUCGUUUCUUGGUGAAUAUAAAGAACUCCGGGUCACGUUUCUUCACGCUAUUCUUGUUUUUAUUGUUUCGAGAAAACAUUAGUUGAAUUGAAUACAUUAAAUAGGAGGAUUCGUAUUGAACACUCCACAGGAGCUGAACCACUUUGUGAAAUUCCCAUUCCGUUCACCGGGCGGCACGUGUCGCCCGAGGGCCACCCUCCCUUACCUCACGUCACCCCUACCUCUCCCGACGACACCCUUCGGCCGCCGACGACACACCGCCGUCUCAGUCCACCUCUCGCCACCGUUUCACUCCUCCUUCUCCCCCCUGAAGAUCUGUUCGCUCUCAGUCAUUUCGUUUCACCUGAAUCCUCCUCUUCGCGAUUAAGUGAACCGGAGCUUGUUGUUUAUGGUGGGUCGAAGUGGAUCUCCGAUGCGGAAGUGAUUUCGGCGUCGAUUCCGGCGAAGAAAUCCAAGAAGGUAUGGAGAAAGGAAGAGAGGAAAGUUCGGGGUGAAUGUUGCGCUGUGGGUCGUCAACUUGGAGAGAGAGAGAGAGAUAGAUAGUUCUCCAUAGUGGGGAACAGAAAUUUUGAUUGUUCAACUGGUAGGUGGGCCCACAUUUGCCACGUUUCGAUAUGUGCCUUUGUUAUGUAUUAAAUGCACCUAAUAAUUUCUUAAUGCGAGUUUAUUUGUCUUGUGUUGCAGCUUGAAUCCUGAUUCUGAGCCACUUACUGCCACUUUUGGGCGGCCGACCGUUUCCACGUCUAUCGGGAAUGGCGUCGAGUGUAUCCGUCGCAGUCUCUCUGAUAAGCUCUUCCCUGACAAGGAAAGCUUGCACCCUCUGCUUGAAUUCCUCCAAGUCCACAGCUACAAGGGGAAGGUACAUCUAACAUCCGAUUGAACACAUUCAUUCGAAGUCUUGAAAAUGAGUCAUGAGUUACAAAUUCAGAUUUCUUUCACCCCAUGUCACAAUAUGGUGAACCCUGAGAACUCAAUGCCAAUUAAGAUUACAGAAUGUACUGCACAUUGACAAAUACAUUUGUGAUCUGUUUUAUGGCUUAUGUGAAUAUUGGGCAAUUCUGCAGAACAUGAUGGUGAAUGCCAGAGUCCAGAAUGUGUCCUCCCUCCAACCUGUCCUGAGGCAGGCGGAAGAGUAUCUGAACACGCUCAAACCUGAGACUCCGUUUCCCAAGUUCGAGCACAAGUUGCAGGAGAUCGGGCUGGAGCAGGGGUGGGGCGACACGGCUGAGUGGGUCCUUGACAUGAUUCAGGACCUGUUGGAUCUCCUUAUGGUCCCCAACCCAGGCGCUCUUGAGAAGUUCUUGGGAAGGAUUCCAAUGGUCUUCGAUGUUGUCAUUGUGUCUCCCCAUGGAUACUUUGCUCAGGACAAUGUCCUAGGUUAUCCAGAUACCGGUGGCCAGGUACUCAUUUUAUUUUAAGUUAGCAUCUCUUGAGCAGGAUAAUAUACGUGUCGUGUGGUCUUGCAUUUAGCGUAAUCAUUUUACGAUAAUUCUGUCUAUUUCUAGGUUAUUUACAUCCUGGAUCAAGUUCGUGCCCUAGAGACUGAAAUGCUUCACCGCAUUAAGCAGCAAGGCCUAGAUAUUACUCCUCGGAUCCUCAUUGUAAGUUUCACAAGUUUAUCAAUGAGACUUUAUGCAGUGAUCAGAUGAAUUAUCCUACUUUAAAUGCUUAUUGUGUGGUUUUCUUUCCUAGAUCACUAGGCUUCUCCCAGAUGCGGUUGGAACCACCUGUGGCCAGCGCCUUGAGAAAGUUUUCAGGACGAAGCACUCCCGCAUUCUUCGCAUCCCCUUCAGGGACAAGAAGGGAAUCGUCUCUGAGUGGAUUUCCCGGUUCAGGGUGUGGCCAUAUUUGGAAAGAUUCGCUGAGGUAUUCACAGACUCGAUUGCAUACUUCGGGUCAUUUUGCCCGAUGAAUUCAUUUAGUUUCUAGUUGAGACUAAUGGUUUUUGUUUGGCAACUCUGAUCAGGAUGUCGCAAAAGAACUCAGGGGAGAGUUGCAGCGCAAUCCCGAUCUGAUCAUUGGUAACUACAGUGAUGGAAACAUUGUUGCUUACUCGUUAGCCAAAAAAUUAGGUGUUACACAGGUUUGUUCUCUUUUACAUAAUCUCGUCACUCAUAGCACUGAUGCCGAAAUACUUGAAGCCUGAUAUAAUCUGAUCUUUUGCUUAUAUGUACAGUGCACAAUAGCACAUGCCCUUGAGAAGGGAAAGUACCCAGGGUCUGACAUAUACUGGAAGAAAUUUGACAACGAAUACCACUUAUCUUGCCAGUUCACCGCGGAUCUCUUGACCAUGAAUUACACCGACUUCAUCAUUGCCAGCACCUCCGAAGAAAUUGCUGGAAGGUGAUUCAACUCAAUUGUUCAUCUUGGAAUUCGAUUGUCUUGAUGCAUUCUAUCACGUGAAAAUUCCUCAAGAGUCCUAAUAUUUCCUUAUUUCUCAAUUCUUUCUUUCAGCAAGGAUACCGUGGGGCAGUAUGAGAGUUACACGAACUUCACUCUUCCUGGACUCUACCGAGUUGUCCACGGUAUCAACGUCUUUGACCCGAAAUUCAACAUUGUUUCACCAGGAGCUGACAUGAGCAUCUACUUCCCCUACACCGAACAGAAGCGGCGGUUGAAAUCUUUCCACCCUGAGAUCAAAGAGCUCCUCUUCAGCGAUGUCGAGAACAAGGAACACUUGUGAGUGUUUUGGUCCUUCCUUCGUGCCCAACUUGAAUCCUGUCCUGGCAUUUGUUGUGGCAUUCUUGGGAGUCGAAGUUUGUCUUUUGCUAAUUAACAUUGUUGAACAGGUGUGUGUUGAAAGAUAAGAACAAGCCGAUUAUUUUCACCAUGGCGAGGCUUGACCGUGUCAAGAACUUGACAGGGCUUGUCGAGUGGUAUGGCAAGAACCCCAAGUUGAGGGAAGUGGCCAACUUGGUCGUGGUCGGAGGUGACGGGAGGAAGGAUUCGAAGGACUUGGAAGAGCAGUCUGAGAUGAAGACAAUGUACGACCUCAUCGAGAAGUACAAGCUGAAUGGCCAGUUCAGGUGGAUUUCCUCCCAGACGAACCAGGUGAGGAACGGAGAGCUCUACCGCUACAUCUGUGACACGAAGGGAGUCUUCGUUCAACCGGCUAUCUAUGAAGCUUUCGGGUUGACUGUGGUCGAGGCCAUGACUUGUGGAUUGCCAACCUUUGCCACUUGCAAUGGUGGACCGGCUGAGAUCAUUGUGCAUGGUAAAUCAGGCUACCAUAUUGAUCCUUACCAUGGUGACCAGGCGGCCGAGCUUCUUGUAGAGUUCUUCGAGAAGUGCAAGGUUGACAAGAGCCACUGGGACAAGAUCUCAAAGGGUGCCAUGCAGAGAAUUGAAGAGAAGUAAGCAUAUAAAACCUGGUUUUCAGAUUAAAAUGAUGUUCGCAGUUUUUGGGGAUACAAUUUUUCUAAUGUAAUUUACUUUUUUUGGGGAUACAAUUUUUCUAAUGUAAUUUACUUUUUUUUCUUUUGACAAGGUAUACAUGGAAAAUAUACUCUGAGAGGCUGUUGAACCUGACUGCCGUGUAUGGCUUCUGGAAGCAUGUGACUAGCCUUGAUCGGUGCGAGAGCCGCCGCUACCUCGAAAUGUUCCAUGCCCUCGUGUAUCGCCCACUGGUAAGUUCCUGCUUGAACCUGAUCCGAUCCUGCAUUCUUCAUUCAAAUUAGUGCCUUGUUCCUUAGCAUACGUAGUAUGUUUCUCGCAAUCCACUCAUGCUAUGUUCUUGCUCUUUCUUGCAGGCUCAGUCUGUUCCCCCCGCUGUCGAGUAAAGAAAGAGACAGAUUGUUACCAGAAGAUGGAAGCAAUGGAUUUUUGAAGUUUUCAAGGAAUAAACAUUGGAAAUUGUUUGAAGGUGAUGCCAGAGCGAUCUCUUCAUUCCUUUUUGGUCUUUUCUCUCUUUGUUUCAUCCGAGAAUGUUUGCAUUUUGGGUUUUGUACCCAUCAAUUCAGUAAAUGGUUCAUUUUCUUUUCAACUUGUCAAUCCCACUCCGUAUUUCGUACUUCAUUGUUGUUCACCUGUGGCGGUCUAUGUCUAGCUUGUCUGGUGAUCUGUCAAUUGAAGAUAAUCACAUAUACCUAACAAACCAACUUGAUAUGAACACUAGCGACAUGCAAGCUGAUACCGAUCAGUUUAAUAACUUCAAACCAUCAAGCAACAAAAUAUGAGACAGCUUGAUUGUUUGAUAAAAAUGGCCCACAUUCUUGUCCUACCUCCAUGUGAUUUGAUCUCUAUUUCUUUACGAAAUGAGGUAGAAGACAGGCACAAAUAUCGGCAACUGAGCAAUCAAAAUGUGAGAUUAAGACAGCCUUGUGCUUUACCUGCUUUCUCAUGGCCCAGGACAGCAUAUGCUGAUGCUGAUACCUGCAUUAAAAGGCACAUCAGAACGAUCAUGGUUACUCUCCAAAGCUCCUCACCAUCUUUUUGCGAAACUCAGCAAUCCUCAUGUGCAAAAAAUGCUCAGAGACACAAUUCAAGCGAAUGGAUCAGGUCUUAAGUCUUUUGGCACACAACGGUCGCUAGUUCAAAACUCGCACAGUUGAGACAGAUCAAGUAUGCAGGUUUGGUUUAUGCAGUUUGAAUUCUGCCUGGAAACCAGCUGAGGAGUUUAAAAUCAAGAUCAUAGUUGGUACAGGCAUUUUUAACGUUUCAGACCAUUGACCUUACUCUGCCUGUCCUAAUCCAAACCUAGUCACUUGAUGGACAGGGACAAGCGGGGUUUCUUUUUAACCGAUUGUUUCCCCUGAUUCCAAUAGCGUUCUCAUGUAUAGAUGAAGACAGAAAAGGGGCCAAAUUGGCACCUAUAGAAGUGGGAAUGAACGGUGGUUGGAGCUUUGGGUAGAGCUCAUGGGAUGUAGGAAGAAGAAAAUUGUUGGUUGUGGAAAGAAAGAUGUCAAUAGACCUGAGCAUGCCCUUAAACUGUUUCUGUUAUCGGAGUCAACCCCAACAGUAAAAUGGGGUAAUGAUAACCGCGGGGGUCCGGACCACCCUUAAUUCAAGUCCCCCGGCCUUGAUUCCCGUGAAGCCAUUCUCCUAGCAUACUAGGCUGGGUUCAGGAAAAUGAUAGGCAGUUGGUCCGGUCCGAUCAACAGUAAUUCUGAUGUACUGUGUACCUUUCUCUACUGCUGCUUCAUGUCCUCUAUCCCCUUCUCAUCAUUCAUUUAAUUUGUGAGCCCACUUCAUGACAUUAUUUAAUUUUUCCAAGGUGUCUCCAGCCAUGUAAUCCUUCAUUUUUCCGACAUCUUCAGAAAAGUUGGACCUACCUUAUUGUCACGGGCCAAAAGUUUCCUUGACCUCGGAAUGACUCGCGAGCACCUGGCGAGCGGAAUUCACCGGGCUAGCCCUUUCUUUAACUGUUCCACGAACAAUACGGUGAAUGAUUCUUCGUACGAGAUCCUACCACACCCAGUUUCGCUCGAGCGUCUAGUCCAUCGAGUAAGACAGCAAUUCUCUUUAGGCACAACAAUUGGUUUCGGCCUGCCAUGACCUCGUCAAGAGAGCGGCAUCAGCUCCUGACCAGUUUGUGCACGGGAGGCCUACCCCGUCUUCAGAGCUUCUAAGUGAUAUAAUCCUUCUAUUCUAGAACUCCUAGCACCAAUCGUUCUGACGCCACUCCCACGGACCAGUUGUGUUUUAUCCUUCUGCCUCACACUCUUCACCAGGUAACCCCAAGCCUCACUCACAAUUGUUACGAGUACGGGAGGAUUCACGGACCGUGACAUUCUCCCCCACUUAAUUUGCAACGCCCUCGUUGCAAUCUGUCAUGUUGCUUCCUUACAUCCAUUAACCAUUGAUGUGCCACUUUUCACAUCGAACGGCCACGCUUGCCCAACAAAACAGGUUUUGCUCCAUCAGUAGCCUCUUUUGAUCUCAGCCGCUUGGCCAUUUGGUCACUUGCGCUUUCUGGCAAGUGUGGCAUUUUUCGUCAACCGCAUCUUUUGGCAGCACCAUUUUAGCCUAACCAGCAUCUUUACCCCAUCAAACUAAUUGAGGUUUUUUUCCUUGUUGAAAACAUAAUAGUAGACCUCUUCUUCGAAUUCAUCGAUCGAUCCAGGAACGUUAUCCCCAUUCAGUAAGGGUUCGGUUCUUCUCGAACUCCCUAUUGGCUUGGCGGUAAACUGACUCGUCCCAGUACCCAUUGUCAUCCUAGGAGCUGAGAGCCCUUACGUUUAGGCAUCUUUUGGCCCCGGUAGAUUCCUCUUCGCCCACUAGGACCCGUCCCACUAGGACUUAUCUGUUCAACCCGCACUAGAGCGAGAAGCUCGAUUCUCCGACUCGCUCACUCGCUUACCGAAGGGAUUCCUAUUUUGAUACCACUUGUCACGGGCCGAGAGUUUCCUUGGCCUCGGAACGACCCGCGAGCGCCUGAUGAGCGGAAUUCGCCAGGCCAACUCUUUCUUUAGCUGUUCCACGAACAAUACGGUGAAUGAUUCUCCAUACGAGAUCCUACCACGCCCAGCUUCGCUCGGGCGUCUAGUCCAUCAAGUAAGACAGUAGUUCUCUUUAGGCACAACAACUGGUUUCGGCCUGCCAUGGUCUCGUCAGAAGAGUGGCAUCAGCUCCCGACCAAUUUGUGCACGGGAGGCCUACCCCGUCUUCAGAGCUUCUAAGUGAUAUAAUCCUUCUAUCCUAGAACUCCUAGCACCAACUGUCCUGACGCCACUCCCAUGGACCAGUUGUGUUCUACCCUUCUACCUCACACUCUUCACCAGAUAACCCCAAGCCCCACUCACAAGUGUCACGAGUACGGGAGGAUUCACGGACUGUAACAUUAUGCUGUUACUAUAGCAGUGAGUUAUUAGAUUGAUUUGGACAUAUGAAAUUUCCAAUCUUUCAUGUGUUUCAUAUGCCACAGCCAUGCAUAUGCAACUGCAAUAUCUGAUGAUUGCCCUAGAUGCCAUUCAGUUUGAUUAAAUAUAAAAAAAAAAAAAAAGCAUAGCUUUCUUGAUAGUUUUUGCGAUGUAGCCAAUGCGAAUUUAUAGGGUCGUUAACUCCAUUGACAUAGCAUAUUCUCUUGUCAUGCCAUUGCUUUCUUAUGCCAAACACGGCAUAAGGGAAGCUAAAGAUAAUUGUCAAAGUGUAGUCUCUGUAACAAGGUUGUUUCAUAUAGCAUGGAAAGAGAUGGUAUGGCUUAGACAAGGCGUUUGCCUAUUCUGCAAAUAUCUGACAAUACAAAUGGUUUUGAAAUGUUUAUAAUGACUGUUCGGAAAAUAUUCCACCCCGGUUCAAAGUGCCAUAAGUUCAGAGCAAAUAUUAAUAAAACUCGCAAAUGCAACAAUUCCUUAUAGAACUGCAACGAGGCGCAAUUGCAGCACAACAAUAGCUAUACCGGCCGGCUGAAAAAAAGUGACCUUUCAAGUUCAGCCAUAACUACAUGGCCCUUAGGUAAGGAUCCAUGGACCACUCUUCAUAAAUGAAUUAUUUUGGGUGGGGGCCUAAAAUUAAAAAGAAAAGAAAAGAAAAGAAAAAAAGACAGCUUGAUCUCGAGAGGAAACCAAUUUGCGGUUUAAAUCUGCUUAUUACAUUCAGUGCGGUAAACUGUCAUCUAUCAUUAAUGUCUCAUCCGGUGGAUUAGACAAUGCCCAUCUUUUCUUUAUGAAAGACGGGAAGAAAGUUCAGCCAUUGAUGUUAUUGGAUGAAGAAACGACAGGGUUUUGGAAUUUUGAGUGCAGAGUGGAGUCACUUCUUAUUCUAAAAUGACAUUCCAAAUGACCCGUGAGAUUACCAUCUCCUAGCCAAAAGAGUAGCAGCCACCGCCGGCUAGAACUAAAACAAACUCAAAAGACAAGGUUCGGGUAGUAAAAACCGAAGUUCUAACGUGAUGUCUACCUCCAUCACCGUAAGGUCCCCCAAUUCCUUAUCUAUCUUUAUCUUUCUGAUAGAGAAAAAAUAUGGAGGUAACAUUACGGGAUCUCCACUCCAAAGCGAUUCUUUAGCCUAUUUCUUCCCUUUAAGCCUUUUAAGGACUUGCCCAGAUUUAAAGGCCUUUCCUUGGUAAAAUUGAAAAGGUGAGGACUCUUUGUGAAAAUCGUUUGAAAGUCUCAAAUCUUUUCAGGAGAUCAACCCCAUUUUGGUUAUGGAGGACGUUUGCCCAUUUAAAAAAUUGUUUCCUUUUCCAACAGUUUCAAUCUUUUGAAAACUUUCGCUUUGAAAAUGCUUAAGAACUGAUGAAACAUUGAAAAUCGCUAGAUUAUCAUAUUGGUUUCAUUUGUCUCGCUAAAAAUAGAUACCUCAAAAAAUAUAUUUUUUAAAAAAUUGAUGGCUUAUGUCGCUUAUAAAAAUGAACGAAUAAAAAGUAUUUUAAUUUUUCUGAAAAUAUUUUGACAUAAAUUGUUAUCGAUAAUAAAAAUAUUUUCUAUUGACUAACUUUUUCAAGUAAUAAAAAUGAUCAUUUUUAGGAAAAUAUUUUCUAAAUCAUUUUUUUUUUUUGCGAAAUAAAGGGAGCCAUGAUAUAGUUUUCAACUCCGUCAAUAUGAUAAAAAAAAAAAGUUAUGGCAUAUUUGUAUAUCUACUCACGUGAUACUUCGUGUGUAUAUAAUCCAUCCGUAUAAAAUAUCAUCAUUUACAUUUAGAAAGCUAUAUUCUUUGGAAGAAACUUGUAUAGUUUGGGAAGGAGUUUUGAUUGAUCAAAAAGAAGAAGCUACUUUAACCGAUAUAUCCUUAGCAAGGCCAUACAUAACAUUGAAAUCACAUUUGAAAUUAUUUGCCCUAUGGAUAUAAAUUACUGUAAUUCAUAAUAAUAAUUGAAAUAUUUUUCUGCAUUUUCAUGAAAAUCUUACUUAAUAUUCAAUAUCAACAAAAUGGAUUAGUGUGUUAUAUCAUUUUAUAUAUAAAAAGCAACUUGAUCAUAUUCGUAUCAAUUGACUUGCGGUGUAAAUGGGAUUUGAUACCCUAUUAGUUCUAGCCCGAUGGAUACUAGCACUAUGUGUAAUGAUUUGUGUAGUGCUGUAGCUAAAGCGUUAAGUAUUCCGCUUGAAGAGUACGUUUCGGAAUACCAAUAGGCAUAAAAUGAAAGAAUAAAAAAUUAAGUAUUAUAUUUCAUAUUGACGUGGAAGUGUAACAAUGCAUUUAUUUUCUUAAUAAUAGUAGUUUAUCAUAUUUUAUCCAUAGAUUGGGAAAAAAAUUCUUACGAAUAGGUCCUUUGAUUGAUUAGAAUAUAUGUAUGCAUUCGUUCAUUAAAAAUGGGAUCAAUCCCCAUUGCCGUAUUGGUACUUAUUGGAUAUAGAUAUGCACAAAACUUUGAUUGUUGGUUGGGCUGGUUCAAUGGCUAUAUUCAAUGGCUUUAUGUGAAUUACCAAUUUUUUUUUCCCUCUUAUCCCGUUCUUGAUCCAAGAGACAAGGUAAAUUGGUUACAUCCUUCAUAACUUGUUUAGGAAUAGCUAAUUCAUGGGACGACUAGAGUAUUACAAAAAGGUUUGUAAUGAAUCUGGUAUUUGGAGUUACGAAGGUGUGGCCAAUGCACAUAUUAUGUCUUUUGGCUUGUGCUUCUUAGUAGCUAUCUAGCAUUGGGUGUAUUAGGAUUUAGAUAUACAUUGUGAUGAGCGUAUAGGAAAACCUUAUUUGGAUUCGCCAAUUUUUUUUGAAAUUUAUGUAUUUCUUUUAAGGGUGGUGUGAAUUACUUUGGCAUAAAAUAAGUGAACAAUUAAUAAAUAAUAUUUAAAAAUUAUAGUGUUUCAUGAUACAUUGGUAAAUCUACUUUGAUACUCGAUUAAUUAAUGAUGUGGGACACCUAUGAAAAGCGCAAAAGGAGGAAAACGAAUGAUUGAGCUUGAUUUGAGGCCUAAUCACAAUACAUUCUCGAUAGCAACUAGGGCCCACAUAUUUCUGGCCCAGAGCUCUCUCUCUCUAUUGAAAACCUUUGGAAAAUCAUCUACUCGGAACACAUUUUCAUAAUUUAACGUUCUUAUAACUUAGGAAAUUCGGCGAACGAAAAAUUUUUCGUCAUUAAUAACAUUUUAAUUCUAAACAUUUUAUUUGUAGAAUUUCCCUUACCUUGUUUUCCCUAAAUGAUAUAAACGACUAGCAUUCAUAAUUUCUCAAAUUAUUGAUUUUUUCACAAAAACGAAGGGAGAAGUUUACAAAAUUGUAUGAUUGGUAGGCCAAUCCCGAGAUUCAUCUACUCAAUCACAUAAGUCCGUCCCAUCAAUCUUGGAUAAGUAUAAUUUACAUGGGUGCCCUGACUAAUGGACAGUGUACAUGCAUUUGCAGCCACAAAUUAAUUUGAUGAAUAUAAAACUAUAAAGUUGAUCUACUGAAUGUUAAGCUGCGGCGCGACACUUGGCGAGUACCUAAUGAGUCGGCAGGGCCCAAAAACAAAGUUAAUGUAUGUCCCUUAAUCACAUGGGUUUGUUCCCUCGAAUCGGCGUGAUUUCGCUGACAGACAAAACAUCAAUUAAUCAAUUAAUUAAUUAAUAUCAUAUUUUAAAAUAAACUUUGCUCUGACAUAUAUUGGGCACUAGCCAUAUGAUGUCUAGACAAAAGCUAUGAUGUUUGUUUUCCUUUUGGGAACAGUUAACAUCGUACCCCUUUCUUGAUUUCUUUUCUUUAAAUGAAUUUGCUAAGCAGAUAGAGUCAAUGCUCUGCAUUAAAGAGGGGGAUGUAGGUAGCGCAACAUGGGAUGCUGUGGUCUCGCACAUGUGCAUCGCUUUUGUGUCUUUAUUGAGCCGCUGCUUAUUGUCAUCUUUUGAGAUUGGCUUGGUCCACAUGAUUCACGCUUAUUAAUUUGAGCGAUGUAUCGACUGUUUUGAGCCCACAAAAGCACGGUUGAACCUAUUAAUUUUGUUUGGACGGUUUUACAAGAAAUAAGUGUUUCAAAGCACCGUUUUUUACGCAAUAAAUAAUUGGAAUACGUGCGUGCAUUAUGCACAUGCUGGCGAUGAUUACGCUUAUUUUUGUUAUGACGAUCGAACUCAUGGUUUCUUGAAAAUACUAAAAGAUCGAAAUCCUCAAAGUUUACCGUGCAACACGAACAAAAGAAAAAUUGAAGGGAUAGUGACAUAAAUGGUAUCUAAAUUUUGACCAAACGUGCAAUGUUAUUCCUAUAUUUUUAAUUUGUUUAAUGUUGUUUUUGGACUUUUGAUAUAUGUUGAAUGUUGUCCUUGAACUAUAUGAAAAUAUUUAAUGUUAACAUUCUAUUAAUUAAAAAUCAAUGAUGAUAUUGAAAAUUUACACAAAGUUGGGGGAUUAAAUUCAAUAAGUACUAAAAGUUCAGGAUUCACACUAAAUAUAUUAAAAAUUCAUAAAUUAUAUUACACAUUGAGCUAAAAUUAAAGAACCAAAUUGAAUAAAGUAAAAGUUCAAGCACAACAUUACAUAUUGUGUUAAAGUUCAUAAAUCAUUUACAUAUUUUUUUCCAAAAUUGAAUGAUAAGUCAGAUAAGUCGAAGGACGCAUAUACGUAUGGUCAAGUUCAAACAAUUUCAUGGAUUAUAUUCUCUUUUGCGUAUAAUUCUAAUGUAUGCAUCAUUCAUGUUUUUGUGGUCCCACUGCCUCUCCCACUAAAUUGUAUAACCUCCAGCAAUCAUCGUCUUCAACAUCAUCCUCGACUCCCUCCUAUAAAAGAGGAACCUUCUCUCCACUUUCUCAGCCCUCAAUCUCUCUCUCUCUAAAACAGCCAUGGGAAGAGGUGGCAACAAGCUUACCAAACUCAAGUCUGUCCUCAAGAAGCUCAACUCCUUUGGCCAACAUAACAAGCACCAGGCCAUCAACUCAACUCCCUCAUUCGCUUCGUCCACUUCAAACAAUUCCGACACCGACGACUCUUCCUCCUCCUCCUCCUCCGCCGACCUCCGCCCCGUCUACGUUGGCCAGUCCCGGCGGCGGUACCUCGUGAACUCUGCCGUCGUCCACCAUCCUCUGUUCCGUGAGCUCGCCGCACGUUCUGGUAACAGUGCGCCCUCGUCCGACGCCGACGACUCCUCGUCCCUCAACAUCGCGUGCGAGGUGGUCUUGUUCGAGCACUUGCUGUGGAUGCUCGAGAACGCGGAGUCGCGGCCCGAGCCCCUGGAUGAGUUGGUCGAGUUCUAUGCUUACUGAGGGAGAUGAAGAUGCAUGGUGAUGAAAAAGGAUCAUAUUGUAAUUAUGUUCUCUUUUCUAAUGUUCAUCGCGAUGAUAAACGCCUCCCAUUUAUGUGUUUUCCGCUUCUUUCUAUCUCUAUCUUUUGUUAAUAGAAAAUGUGCUUCAAUGCCGUCUUUUUAUUAUAAUUUAUAUAAAUACUAGUGUCGAGGCAUAUGCGAUGUAUAUACGUGAUUACAUAUGAAUUACGUAUGAAGAAAAGAUUCAAUUUUCAAAGAAAUUGAGUGAUUAUUUGAUGGAGUAAAUUUGCAGCAGACGAUUGAUGAAAAUAUUCUAGUGUUUAAUUUAACACUCUUUUUGGCGUGUAAGAUUGCGUGAUCGUGGACCAAAACAAGGUCUCCAGAAAUUGACAUGAUACUUAAGUUUUAACUUGACCAAAUUCCGCUAAUGCUAUUUCUUAUCUAGUCCACGACAUUAGAAGGAUAUUUCAUUAACCGAAGAUUUACGGACUUAAGGAGGGCUUCCUCCGUAAGAGAAAAACAUGCUAAGCAGAGGAAAGAGACAUACCUGUAAUUAUAUCCAUUAAGUUUUGUUUUUCAAUAGUUGAUUAAACUAUGAUCUUGAAAUUGAACUUAUGCCAUGAAAUUGAUCUGCACUAUUGUUUCAUCAAUCGGACUUACCUUUGACAAAUACAAAUUAGAUUUAAAUGUGUGUGAAUUGAACAAAAAAUCAAUUAGUUAAGUUUACAAGAUCAAACCAAUCGCAUUUCGAGAAUUUAUAAAUGUAUAUAUCGAAUCGAAGUCAAAACUUCUAUAUGAUUUAUGACCCGUGAUUUGUUUUGUUGGCCGCGUUACUCAUAAACCAUGUCCAUGCAACAUUUCAGUCCUGCAACUUAACCCUAACCCGAUGGGGAACACAAGGAGCUUGUUCGAACCUUGGCCGUCGACGGAGCCGAUGCGACCAAGAACGAGCGGACAGCCGCCUUCCGCGGCAGUUCUUCAUUUGAGGACAGCCGGCCACUGAUCGUCCGCCACGUCAGCAUUGUCUUUUUCUGGGACCACCGGCUGCUCCAAAAGAAAAAGCAGCCCACGUCAGCUCGGCUCAGGGAGACCGAGACCGGCCAGCGUGGCACCAGAUCACGAGAUCGGAUCCUUUCCGCCUACGGUGGCCCCACCACUUUCGCCAGGCCCAUGUUACUCUGCGGAAAUUAGUCAUUGUAUAAUCCGAAUUUUUGGAUUUUCUUGCCAAUAAAUCAGACAUGCCCCCUCGUGGGAGAGCAGUGUCAUGUACUAUGUUCCCUCAGGUGAUGAACACUUAACGUUCAUGAAUCCUAAAUUUCAUAAUUUGCAAGUUAAUCAAUCAUGUGAUGGUUGUUGAAUAAGGCUACAAAGAAUUUUUGGCUUGUUGCUAUGUGUAUUUUUGCAAAGUUGCGAUCGUCAGAAUCUCAAUGAUUUUAAGAAGUGAUUAAAAUAAUAAUCGAUGGCCAAUUCAACUACCAAAUUUGCCUUGAAAUGUCAAGCACUUUGUACGAUCUGAAAAAUGGGGGUAGACAAAUGGCUGAAAACAUCAAUAAAUUUGCAUGAGAAUUUAUUGAAUCAUGACGCGUGGAUUACAUUCUCGAUGCUGUGCUUCCUUGAUACCGAAAUUAAAACAUAAACUCCUUAAUGGAGAUGUUUGAAGUGCGUAUAAAAAGUAAAAACUUGGAAAGUAUGGCUGGAAAGCGUUUUAAAAACAAAGACGAGCAUUAUUGUUGGGAAACUUAUCUAAUCUCAUUCAAUUCAAGUUCAAACUUUAGAUCAAAUCUAAUCUAAAUCAAUAUAUUAUAAAUGAUAUUCCUAUCUAUAGAAUAUGAUGUCUUAUUUUCUUGUAAAUGAUGUUUGUGUGUUGUCUUGUGUAUUGUCUGUGCCUUUAGUCCUUGUUUUCUUAUGAACCAUUUCUUUUUUAUGAUUUGCAACUGUUUUGAUUCUUUAAUCUCGGUUAUCCCUCGAUUAAUGGUUUUUCCAUUUCAAUCUUUAACUUCUGCACAUACUUCAAGUCAAUCGCUUAAGUAGGUAAAAUAUUAAGGACAUCGUGAAGCCAAUGUAGAGUCGGAUCUCUCUUUAAUGGCAGUCCAAGCUUAGGCGAAGAAUUUUCAUGCCGUAGCUUCACCUACGCUCAGUGUUUCGAACAUGUCAACUGUGUCUUCCCGGCGCUUCAUCUCGCAAGGAAGAGAAGCCCCAAGCGCCUAAAUUACACAAGUCCUCGCUUCACCCAAGCCAUAUAUUUCUCUAAUCUUUUCAUAAUUUUGAUAAGGCGAAAUUGAAGGAGUUGGUCUUUUCGAAUCAUUGGAGGAAGCUCAUCCAGUGAGAAAAGGUUUUAGCUUAGGCUGAUUGAACCGAUCAUGAUCUAGCAAUCUUAUGGAAAUCUUAAGUAGGAUUCUCUUUUCUCUUACGCUGUUGAUUUAUUGUUAUUUUUUUUUUCCAAUUUAAGAUACUGUGGUGGGUCUUCGCUCUUUUUCUUUUGUUUUUUUUUUUCUCUUCUAAGUUAAUUGAGAAAGAGGUUGAGUUUAGAUUGGAGGCUAUUGGAGAAAUGUAUGGCAUCCAUUUCUACUGCGUACUUACACAUAUCGAGUGUCGUCUAAUUAUUGUAGAAGGGUUGGUUUUCCUAUGUUGAAGUUCUUCUUUAGGACGAGAUCAUUGAAAAUUAAUUACUGUUGUUGAUCUUCUGAAAAGAUCUUUUGGAUAUUUCCCAACAAACCUUGUAAUGAUAAUUGAAGAACAAUAUAUCUGUAAUUCAUCAUGUUACAAUGUUCAUAUUAUGCUAAAGAAAGAGCAAGAAGAAUUGGACGAAUCUCUAAACUAUGGACAAGAUUGAAAAUAAAAAGAAUGUGAAUGUGAAUGAAAUCAUAUUGAAAGCCAUAAAAAGCUAGAAGCAUAAACAUAUAAAAGUAAAGUGGAGCUCUUAGGGGAGUUCACCGCAAGUCGGACACAUGGUGCUUCUAAGGAGCAACACAUGUUCCCCAUUUAAUUUCGUAAUUUUUAGUAAAUGGAGUUUCUCCUAUACACUAAUUAUGAAAAUAAAAUAUUAAAGUAAAAUCCAACAUUUUUGAAAGAAUGUUCUUCCCAUGACCUAUAUAAAGUGAUGCUUUUUAAUUUGGUCAUGACGAUAUAUAUAGACUCUUUCACUUUAAAAUUUGGACCUUUCAUUUUAACUUUCCUUCAUUUAUUCUUUCAAAUUGUAAAUGAUAUUAAGUCCACAAUCAUAUUCACUUUUUGAGUUUUUUGAGUAAAAUAUGCUAAACCAAUAAAAUUACAUACUACUAAAUUUUCUUGCGAGCUUUGACAUAUGUUUCAACACUCCUAGAUAUGCAUCAAAACUUUUUUUUUUAAUUGUACUAUAAAUUUAUGUAAGCUUAUUGUCGUUGACGUAUAUGAUAAAUUGUAUAUAUAGUAAGAAUCUGUAAAAGACAAAAAAAAUAGCAAAAUGAAAAGAAAGGGCAAAGAAAAUCAAAUGAAAGUGAAGAAAAAGAGAGAGAGCUAAAAGGGGUCGUUGAAAAGAAAAGAAAAGGAGGGGAGGGGAUAGUUCUCGGAGGACUUUUAUACAAGAACUUUACUUUCAUUACAGCAAAGAUAAUCCUAAAGGAAAAGAAAAACCCGACUGACUGAAAAUCCCUAAUCUGUGCACAACAAUGAUGAGAAGAGCGUGAAUGAGAAUGCAAACUCGAAUGAAAUCGAAUGAAAAACCUCAAAGAAUAGAGCAAAUCACAAGAAGAUGUGAACGAUGUUGAGGGAAAAUCCAGGCAACGGGCCCAAAAGAGAACCCAACCCAUUUCUAGGAAAGCAGGCCCUUUUAGAGUCCGAAAAUCUCAGGCCCAAGGAGCUUAGCAAGGGCGCAGACCAAGGAGCAAAGAGAUGGACUUUCCCUUUAAGGAUGGGCAAUGCCAGCUGAGGAAAAUCCCCCCCUCUUCUCGUCCCCUGCCUUUGUAAUAAGCCCUGUUGUUGGUCCAAUCUCUACAGGCCUUAGCAGGAGCGGGCUCGCCAGAUGCGCAUGCGAACUCGAGCCAGAGUAAAAUCGAAUCGGAAGUCACGAAGGAGAGAUCGCUAGAAAGCAAGGGAUGAUCACACGUGGAUUUGACGGUGCCGCGUGAACAUUUUCACCUUUGGUUAAUAAGAGGAUAGCAAAUCUGCAGUGUCAUGACGCGGAUGAAGAGAGCUGCCCUUCCCCUGAACCAUCAAAAUUCAGAGCAAAAGUAACAUUACCAAAGAAAUCGAAGCAUGUUCCUGCUGAUCAUGAAACGAGACAACCAAAUCCUCUGGAAAGCCCGGGCUUUUGAUCCCACGUGGCCCUCGCAUCGCUCUGCAAAAAGUCAAGUAACUUCAAUAUGCAUACAAUACAACAUUGUUUCACUCAUGUAUCACGUUAGGGGAUAUCUUCUAAUUCCAAAUCACCCAAAAAUUGCAACAUAUAAGACCAUAUCAAGGAGCAAAGCAAGGAGCCUAUGAACAGCUUGAACAGUCAGGGAUAAUGACUCAAAUAAUAUAUAAACUUUAGCUAAAUAUAUAAUAUAGUAUGUAAAAUUUUAAUAUAUAUUCAAUUUAGUCUCCGAACUAUUUGAAAAUGUUUAAUUUUGUCUUUCAAUGUUGUCCUUCCACUAAUUUAAGUUGAGGGACAACAUUGAACAUUUUUCAUAAAAUUUAUAGACUAAAUUAAAUAUGUAUCAAAAUUUUAAGAAUCAUAUUGAGUAAAUAAAAAAAUUUAGGGGUUAUACAUGAUAUAUUGAAUAAAAGUUGAUGGGCUAUUUGUGUUAUUUUUCAAUCAUCAUACAAAUAUAUGAACCCUCCAUCCAAACGGGUCGCUUUUCAGAAUGACAUCAUCAAUGACAUUUCAGCGUGCGUCUACGGGAACCCUCGUGCGCAUGAUGGGGGUCCUGUCAUUCUCUGCAUCCGCAGGGAACGUGUCCUCUCUCUGACCACUAGCAUACGCCCAGUCGACUUUGAUUGCCCGUCUAAACCCGCAAACGAAUCGUCAACGUACAAAGGUAAAAAGAAAGGAAAUAGAAAAAGGCUUUUGUCAUUUUGUACUUAUAAAAGCCUUUGAUCGAGAGCCACAAUGGUAAGGGCAACAGAUCUUCUAUCAAAGUAGCCCACAAAACCAUACGGUGACCUCAAAAGUACAGCAACUAAACCAAAAAUUGAUAGAGUGGAGCCACUGCCAACAAGAAAUUAAACAGUGAAUGCUCCAUCAAGGAAUAAAAACCACAAACUAAGCACGGGCAAUGAGCAUACUACGUAUCCUAGACAAUUUUCCUCCAAAUCAUUUAGGUACAACCAGUGGAGUCAAAGGCCAAAAGUGCAUGUAUGUUGCAAGGACCCUAAAAUAGCUGUAACAAGAGCCGAAGAAAAACCACACCGCUGGUGAAGCGAGGUGCUAUAUGCAACACUUUUUAGCAUUCUUAAUCUUAAAUGCGAGUAAACUGUACAUCUCACAUUUAAACUAUAUCAAAGGUGUGUAUGGUGUGCAAGAAAAGUGUGCCACGGAGACGGAGUGGAUGUUUCCAACAUGCCCGCAUUGGAUCAUCAGGUAGAAAGAGAGAAAAUGAGAAAACCAGAUAAGUACUAACAAAAAGGUGCGCAGUUAAAGAAGACUGAACAAUUCAUCACAGCAAGAAAACGGGAGAGAUCGGAAUGUCUGGGAUCACUUGGACUCAAAAAUCAAUCAAGUCCUGAUUUGAGAAUGCUUUUUCUCCUGCAUCACCAUUUAAUUUCAGUGCACUGCCAUUCCUCUGGGGGACAAAUGGUGCAGAAGCCACCCAAAAGAGGCUAAAAGAUGUUCGUGGGAAAACAACAGCUGAACAGCAGAUAAGAAGAGGUCAGAAGCUAUUCAAGGAAAAUAAUAUACAGAUAAUCACUGCGGCAUGUAGUCGAAUCAAACACAGGUGGCAGAUUUCCGCUCAAGAUAGGCUUUAUCUGCUAAAAAGAGGGAGAAAAAAAAAUGAACACAACCAUAGACAUGAGGUAGUCCUAGUGCAAAUUGGUGUUCCCGCUCUAAUUCACAGCAAACAUGCUUGAAUGAAGAAUCAAUUAAGACGCCACCUUGAAGGCUUAACUUCGAUAUGACUUUUAUAUCCCACAUAGCCGGUGUACUAUACCCAUCUGGGUGGUCAUUCCCUUCACUGGAUGCUAAACUAUGGGACAAACAUCACAAGCAUUUCAAUCCACUCUAAAGCUUUGUAAUUUACGAAAACAAAAAAAGAAAGAAGCACCCAACAUAUAGAAUCUUCCCGGUCACCCCUAUAAAGAUACGAUAAUCUUAACCAAAACCAUUCUGUCAAUACAGAAGCUUUUUCACACAGCAAAAGCUUGGAUUGAUCAACCUGUAAUCAGACAAAACUUCACGAGAGAGAAAUAAAAGACUACCAAGUGCUCCCACCACACAUCACGUUGACAGACUCAUCGUACGAAACUUCUCAACCUUUAAAUGUCCGUCAUCAUUGUCGCAACCUAGUUUGGUCCAGCUCCGUCAAAAACACCAAAGUCAAAGAGAAAUGAGUUACGGAAACAAUUAAUUAUCAAAGUUAGGAAAAAACAAAAAAAACAAAAUUAAUCAAAAUAAAAACCUGGAAGCAGCCAGAUGACCAGUAUGGUAGAGCGGAUAUGCUCAUCAGUUAUCUUCUUCGGUCAACUGAGCUGAACAAGGAUUGAAUAGCCAAAUGCCAUUUUAAGCGUACUUUUGAAGUUUUGAUCCACUUGCUAUGACAUUAAAUUUAUAAUCAAAAUUAAUUAUUUUCUCCAUGGUAGAGAUAGUACAUCAAGAAGUCUCUUUUUUCUCGUUUGUGCCUUAUUUUUUGUUUCGAUGUGUUCUAAGUAUACACAUAUUCAAUGUUUGAUCAUGCUUCUAACAAAGUAACAUAUUCAUAUUUUGAUCAAUUUUUUUUUUCAUUUUUUAUUGAUAUCGACUAGAUAAUUAGAUUGAAAUUUAAUAUUCAGCUUCAAAAUAUAGUUUUGCUCAAUUUAUCUAAUUAAAAAUGGGCAAUCAAUUGUGUGUUUAUAAGCCAUCAUCAAUAGAAAUUUCUAAUCUUCUAUGUUGCAUUGAUAAAAAAAUCUUAUACGGCAGUUUGAAAUUAACAACAUUCUCUAAGUAAAGUGAUAACAUGAUACAAUUAUGAAAUUGAUGUGAGAAAUGAUAGAAAUAAAAUCAGUUUUGUUGGUUAGUUUGAUGAAAAAGGAAAUAAUACUUUUGAGAGAGAGAGAGAGAGGUAUUUCGGUCAAUUGACUAAAAAAAAAGAGUGUUUUAAUCAAAGUAAGGGUAGAAAUAGCGUCGCUCGAAUAAUAUACUUGAUUUUUUUUUCUCCCUUUAGAAGUGGGAAAAGUCGGGUAGAUGGCAUUCAACUUUGCAGAGGCCCGCCGGUAAAAUAUCGAUACAUUAUAAAUGUGACUAACACCAGAAGAUAUCUAUGUCGCCACAUUUGAACCUACGGAUGCCAAAAGCGUGGGAUUCACAAAUGAUGAAAUGGUCAAAACACCGUGAAAGGGAGUGUAUUAGUGAAAGAGGUAGUGGAAAAAGCACGGCCCCAAUUUAAUUUUACUAAGAAGGCACAAAAAUAUGUUAGCUCAUGUCUAGUUUUUUUUCAGAUAACUAUGAAAUAUUCAAAAUUAUCUCUGAAAAUUGUUAUAAUAUCUUGUUACUUUCAUGUGGUGAAAAAUAUCGUCAUUCUCAAUUAUGACUUAAGCCACAAAGGAAAAUUCAAAUCCGACAAUGUAAUAAUAAGUAGAUGCCUAGGUAUAAGGGUUGACAAAUGAUUUGUUUUAAAUCAUAGAAGAAAAUGACACCGAAUUUGAUCCCAAACCAACCAAUGUGGCGGUGGAAUUGCUAAAAAAACGGGUGGCUCCGUGACUCAUGGGAGAGGCUAAAGUAGAAAAGGCGCCUAGAAAGGAUAAAAAAAGUCAAAAGACAUGAGGUAAGAAUCUCCAGGAUUAUGUGAUUUGAUAUGCAAAAGAGGAAUGAAAUCGGAAGCAUUCGAGCCUCAAGGCUGUUCCCCCACUUGACCCACUGAGCUUGUUAAAUCCUUUUGAACAUGCUUUGCCAAAAUCUCAAGCACUUGAUGUAAAAGAGAAGGAUGUAAUCACAUGAGCAAAGGCUUUCAAGUUUCAACUUUGGUAAUGUCCGGAAAGAGCAGGCAUAUUCCUCUCACUUUGCCAAAUUUGCAGUGGCUUAGUCUAGCUGACAUGGGGUCCAUGCCACAUCUACAGUCCAACCCUAAUUAAUGAAUCGGUUUAAUUGGAGCUCUAAUCCGCCAUUUUCGCCCCGACCCACGAGACAGUUUGGUAAGGAUGAAAAGAGCAAAGGUUGGUUCAUCUUACUUACAACCAUUUUGUGUACACUUUUUGUGAAUACAUAAUGAAGUAGUGAAUUGUAAUUGGUGGCUAUUAGACUAAGCAGAUCGUAUCGAAGAAGCUUGAUAUGUUGCUUGUUAAAUUUGUGGUCGAAUGUUGAUCGGACAAGGCUGGGCUCGUAAAGAAAAUGUUUUAUGUUUCCGAUUGGAAGAACAACAUUGGAAUUUCGCUCAAAUGUUUAGAAUUAAAUUGAUAAGUUUCUGUAUAAUAAGUUUAGGAUUGAUCGGGUAAUUUUUCUUUAAUAAGAAGUACCCAAGUUUAUGCAUAUAUAUCAAACUUCAUUUUGCUCAAAGUAAAUCUGACUCAGGACAGGUACACGUAGGGUUACCCAUUGAUUUCACAGUCCUCUAAUUGUUCGGAGAAGGACCGGCAAAAGAUACCAAUAAGCUCGUGCACAAUCAACAAUUUCCUCAACAUUAUCAUAAUAUUGAGAUUAGCGAUUGCGAUUACUUUCGGAGAAAUAUAAGUAUUUACUUCAAUAGCGAUCUAGAUAUUUGGAUGUUUCCGACUAAGCUCAGAGUUCGAAGGAGAUUUUUGUGGUUAAAAGGAGCAUCAUUGUUCAUGGAUGAGAAAAAGUCGUGGUUGUAGUAGAUAUUUUUUGGCAUGUCGAAUUUAUAUUAGCCUAAUGCAUCCUCGGACUUUAAUUCAUGUGGAUGUUAUGAUUUAUAGAAACCGUACAAGGAAGAAUUCAUAUAGACAAUUAAAUAAAAAAUUUGUACUUUUUACUUACCAGAAUUGUGUGUCACCCAGACAUCUGCUGAUGACUGGUGACGCGUCUUUCUUGCUUUAAAUUUUACUAGACGCCAGCUUGCUUCCAGGAAGCAGCAUUUAGAAAUCUCGGAUCUUAUCUUGUCCUUGGUUUGUCUAAAUUGGCUGGUUACUAUUCUUUUUUACGGGUGCACGUUACUUAUUAAGACAACGGAUAUUUUUUCCGCUCUUUAUUUUGUUUUUGUUUUUUCUGUUUUUAUUUUAGGUAAUAUCGAUGAUCCAUCUCGUAUAUUUGUAAUGGUAGUCUCGUUGAUUAUUUGUGUACUUAGCAGAAUAAUAUCGACUUGGUUCCAGGUGGUGAUAAUUUAAUUUUACUAAGAAAGCACUAGAUUAUGUUAGCUCAUGUCUAGUUUUUCUGAGAUAACCAUGUUGUAUUCAAAAAUAUCUCCAGAAAUUGUUAUGAUCUCUUGUUGUACUUCCAUGUGGUGAAAAAUAUCGAGGAAAGAUUAAAUCCAACAAUGUAAUAAUAAGUAGAUGCCUAGGCACAAGGGUUGAUAAACAAUUUGUUUAAAAUCAUAAAUAAAUAAAAAAAAACAUAAAUGAUUCAUGAACUUUGGUCUAGUGUACAAUGCCAUCCCUUAACUUUUGAUUUGUUCAAUGUGGUUCUCGAACUUUAGCCCAAUGUACGAUGUCAUACCUAAACGUGGAUUACCCAAAUAAGAUAUUCGAGUCAAGAGACGCGUAUUUAUAGCCUCAUAAAGUCAUUGGAUGAAGUGAAUUGUUAUAUCCUUACUUGUGUGGAAUACAAGUAAUGUUAUUUUUUGCCUCAGCGUUCAAACUUAUCGAGUUGACACCAAAUUAGGGAAAUGAUAAUAUUGGAUAUUUUUUUUUAUAUAGUUUAGGGAUUAAAUUAAACAUAUACAAAAAAAUUCACGGAUCACAUCAAGCAAAUUAAAAGUAUAGGGCUGACAUUACAUAUUAAGUCAAAGUUCAUGAAUCAUUUGUGUAAAUAUCUAUUUUAUUUCAUGAAGUUCUGACUAAUAAUGUUAUUCAAUUUUACUUGAAUAAUUAUUAUCAUUUACUAAGUUUCUAUGAAUUUUUCCAUAUUGCACCUUAGCAUUAAAGUUUACAAUAUAUUUUGUCUCUUUCUUUGGAAUAUGAUCUUUCAUUUGCCAUUGUGAAGUGCAUCGUUACUAUAUAUUUUGUCUCACUCUAGUCUGUCACAUAGCUAGCAAUAUUAUUAUAUAACUCUUAGUUCUCGAAUUUAAUUAAAAUUUCUAUUUCUAUUUUGGAAAUUACACAUGAGAUUUUACUAAUAAAUACUGCUACAAAGCAUGAAACUUAAAAUAAAUAUGAAAUGCAUACUUUUACGUUAGCUUUUGUUCCCUAUAGGUAUUUAAUGAUAAGGUUCUGAUUUUUUAAUUCUUUUAGAGGGUGCUUCUGUGAUUUUGCGGCAUAAGGGCCAAUUUUUUCAUAAUUAAUUUUGGAAAUUUGUGCUCUCGUUGCCCGAAUGAGUCCAAAGGAAGAUUUGUGGCUAUAAAAGCGUUACCUGGCUGGAUCAUUUUUUUUUGCAAGGCCCGCACCAUCAUUAUUAAUUAAAGUUCUACAGUCGGAUGCGACGGGUCCUUCUUUCAUUUUUUUUCCCUUACAUCGAACAAAGAUUCCCACUGGAAGACACGCUCCUCCGAAGUGGACUUGCUCGUCUUGUCCUCCGGCGAGGCAUGAUGGCGGCCCCACACGAGUGAGAACUAUGUUCAAAAGCAGGGUGUUCGUUUGUCGUCUCGGUUAGUUUCCGCUCCCGGAUCAGGAGGCACGUUACACCGGCUUGCCUCUGGAGUCCGAAAGGCGACUCGCCCUCCAAGCUACGUACGGCCGAAUCAAUCGCUUCAUGACAAUAACAAACCCUGACCGAUCGUGGAGGUCAUGAUCAGUGCGGUACCACCAUCUUCGUGCAUGGAUCACCGGCUUGCCUUUCGAGAUUCCGAUGAACAUGGUGGUAUUCUACAACUCCAAACUCCCAAGGGAAAAUAGCUUCACGCCACUCUCGCAUGCCAAUUACAUCGUCGAUUCCGCAUCUAUUACAUUUCGCCACCGUACAACAAAGCCACGCUUUUUAGGCAUCAGAUCGUGACCCGUCACUACCAUCACUCAAUCCCCUCUCUUGAUUACACAAAAAUCAUCGAACAAAUCGAUAACAAUCGUGAGACAAAGUAGUGCAUGACAAUCAUCUAGCAUUUCCACUGAAAAGAACGACCGUGGGGAGAAACAUAAGCUAGCUAACCAUCACGGGGUUGAGUUGAGCAACAGACGAUUGAGUUCGUUGCUCCUUCUCACUUUGAUGUAAUGUCGUUCCUUUAUGCCGGAUGUAGCCUUAAAAUAGAAAAUUCUCAUGGCAUUUUCUCGGUGUUCCCUUUCUUCCCCGCGUCUCAAACUACUCACAAGAAGGGGAGAAUUGCACCGGGGCGGUAAGGCCGACUUUGCGCGGACCAAGCUGAAUUCACCUUUUCUAUUUCCGAUUUUUCGUUUUCUAUCCAUUUAUUCCCCAAACCGAUACCAAUCAUGCGAUCGGGAAUGAUCUGGAGAGCCAUCCGUUCCCUCGCCAGGUGGACGAAUAGGGUGGCCUUGCUUGUUACUCCCGCAUUGUGAACCACUGAAUAUUUUCUCUCCGACGAGACAUGGCGGCCCCACACGAGUGAGGAACAUGUUCAAAAGGAGGAUCUUUCUUUGUCAUCUCCCGAUGACGACGCGUCCGAGGACACGAGCUCGAGGUGGGACAAGCGACUCGCCUUCCACGCACGCACGACUUUCGGUUUCGGAGUCUCAGUCACUCCGCGACAAGCGACUCGCCCUCCGAAAAGGACAGUAACAACUACUACUAGUAAAAGCCAAUGACUAACUCUAGCAAAAACCAAGGACCGUAACAACUAGCUUCUGUCUAUCAUCUUUCUACCAAGCCCUGACCCCUCGUGGAGGUCAUCAUCAGUGCGGUACGACCAUCUUCGUGCAUGGGACACCGGCUUGCGUUUCAAGAUUCUGAUAAACACAGUGGUAUUCUACAACUCCAAACUCCUAAGGGAAAAUAGUUUCACGCCACUCCCGCACCCCAAUUACACUGUUGUUUCCGCAUCUAUUACAUUUCGCCACCGUACGUUAAAGCCUCGCUUUUUAGGCAUUACCAUUGCUCUAUCCCCUCUCCCGAUCACACAGAAAUCAUCGAAUAGCUUGAUAACAAUCGCGAGCCAAAGUCGUGCACAAUAACCAUCUAGCGUUUCCUAAAAAAAAAGCACAACCGUGGGGAGAAACAUAAACUAGCUAAUCAUCACAGGGUUGAGUUGAGCAACUGACGGUUGAGUUCGUUGCUCCUGCUCAUUUUGAUAUAACGUUGUUCCUUUUAUGCCGAAUGUAGCCUUAAAAUAGAAAAUUCUCAUGGCAUUUUCUCGGUGUUCCCUUUCUUCCCCACAUCUCAAACCACUCACAAGAACUGGAGAAUUGCACCGGGGCGGUAAGGCCGACUUUGCGCGCACCAAGCUGAAUUCACCUUUUCGGUGAGAAUGGGACAAAGACAGGACGAUAAUUUAGUCAUGAUACUACCGAAUUUAGAAAACAGCCGGUUUUCUGGUGGGGACACGGAAAGCUACGCAGCACAUGAUGGAAAUUUGUUUAUUUUUUUUAUCAUUUCAUCGCAUUCACACGUCAUUCUCUUUUUCUCAAAGCACGUCGCGCUUUUUCCCAUGUCUUUCGGAAGAUCUCUUUCUUUUUGGCUAUAAAAGGAAGCCCCGAGUUCUCCUGGCCAACGUGUUCGUGCCCCUUUGAAGACCUCCUUUGCAUUUCAGGAGUCCCCCGCUUCAGUCGCGCCGUUCGAAGGUAAGAAUCUCUACCUCCGAGCUCAUCGACCACUGAAUGUUUCGAUGCGAAUGCAUAGAGAUGUUGCGGAGUUUUUUAUUUUAUUUUCCCAAGUGAGAGUUAAUGGUGACACGGCGAGUUUGAGAUUUUUUUUUUUUUUUAAAUCAUUCUAUCGCAUUCACACGUCAGUCUUCCGAGCUCCGAGUGAUCUUUCUCGGGGUUAGUCAAAACCCCUCCUUUACUAGCGGAAGUUGGGUUCUGCUUCUGACCAACGGCGUGUUUUGCCUCGGUGGUUCGUGCAGUUCCUCUGAGAGAAGAAUUAAGUCAUGGCUGGUCGUGGGUUGCCCCGAAGUCAAAGCAUUUGCGAGCCUUUUGUUAUGACCCGCUCUACUCACCCUGACGAUCUUCGCGCCUUCCUCUUAAGGUAUAAGCAAGGAAGGCCCCAAGUCAACAUCUUGAUGGUGGUUCCUAGCAUGUAAACUUGGAGGAAGUCAGCUUAAAAAAUGUUUUAAUCCUUUUGUUUUCAUGUCGAAGGGUUGAAGCCAAGGGUAAAGGCGUCUUACAACGCCGCCAAAUCCAUGCUGAGUUUGAGGCGAUCCCUGAGGAGAGCAGAGAGAAGCUUCGUGAUGUGGCUUUUGGUGAAGUCCUCAAAUCCACUCAGGUAUUAUGAGCUGCUUCACGUCAAUGUUUUUCUGUUGUGUAUGCUCUUGAAAUCUGCUCCCGUGUAGUUAUAAAGGCUUUUCUUAAAACCCUUUUUUCAGUUUUUAACUUCUCAAGGAUCCUCUUUUUUUUUUUUUUUCUUUUCUUUUUCUAAAUAUUUUUUGGGUUUAGGAAGCAAUAGUGUCGCCUCCAUGGGUUGCUCUUGCUGUUCGUCUAAAGCCAGGUGUGGUGGAAUACAUCCGUGUGAAUGUCCGUGCGCUUGCUCUUGAGCAAUUGGAGGUUGCUGAGUAUCUGUACUUCAAAGAAGAGCUUGCUGAUGGAAGGUCAGAAUCUUCAUUGUCUAUUCUUUCUCUUCCUUUUUUUCCCCUUGAGUUUCUCGGUGAUCUUUAGAACUCUGGGUCAUGUCUCUUUGUACUGUUCUUCCAUUUGAUUGUUUUGGGCGUGUUAAUGCGAGUUUAUAUGUCUUGUUUUGCAGCUUGACCCCCGAUUUUGGGCCUUUCCCUGACGAUUUUGGGCGCCCGACUCUUUCCAGGUCCAUCGGGAAUGGUGUUGAGCAUAUCUAUCGCAGUCUUUCCGAUAAGCUCUUCCGUGACAAGGAAAGUUGGUACCCUCUGCUUGAAUUCCUCCAAGGCCACAGCUACAAGGGGAAGGUACAUCUCACUUCCAAUGAUUCACAUUCAUUCGAAGUCUUGAAAAUGAGACAUGACUUACAAAUUCAGAUUUCUUUCACCUCAUGUCACAAUAUUGUGAACACUGAGAACUCAAUGCCAAUUAAGAUUACAGAAUGUGCUGCACAUUGAAAAAAAAACAUUUGUGAUCUGUUUAUGGCUUAUGUGAAUAUUGGGCGAUUCUGCAGAAGAUGAUGAUGAAUGCCAGAAUCCAGAAUGUGUUCUCCCUUCGACAAGACCUGAAGAAGGCAGUGGAGUAUCUGGUCCAGCUCGCACCCGAGACUCCACAUUCCGAGUUCGAGUACAAGUUGCAGGAGUUUGGGCUGGAGCGGGGGUGGGGCGACACGGCUGUGCAGGUCUUCGACAUGAUUGAUGACCUGUUGAAUCUUCUUGAGGCUCCCAACCCGGGCUCUCUUGAGAGGUUCUUGGGAAGGAUUCCUAUGGUCUUCGAUGUUGUAGUCGUGUCUCCCCAUGGAUACUUUGCUCAGGACAAUGUCCUAGGUUCUCCAGAUACUGGUGGCCAGGUACUUGUUUUAUUUUGAGUUAGCAUCUCUUAAUCAGGAGAAUAUACGUAUUGCGUGGUUUUGCAUUUAACUUACUCGUUUUACUAUAAUUCUGUAUAUUUCUAGGUUGUUUACAUCCUGGAUCAAGUUCGUGCCUUAGAGACUGAAAUGCUUCGUCGCAUCACGCAACAAGGACUGGAUAUUACUCCUCGGAUCCUCAUUGUAAGUUUCACAAGUUUAUUGUUGGGACUAUAUGCGGUGAUCAGAUGAAUUAACCUACUUUAAGUGCUUUUUGUGUGCUGUGUUUUCCUAGAUCACUCGGCUUCUCCCAGAUGCGGUUGGAACCACCUGUGGCCAGAGUCGCGAGAAAGUUCUUGGGACUAAGCACUCCUACAUUAUUCGUAUCCCCUUCAUGGAUGAGAAAAGAAUCGUACGCGAGUGGAUUUCCCGGUUCAAGGUGUGGCCCUAUUUGGAAAGAUUCGCCAAGGUAUUGACAGAUUCAAUUAUGUACUUCAGGUCAUUUUGCCUGUUGAAUUCAUUUAGUUUUUGGUUGGGACUAAUAGUUUUUGUUGGUAAAUCUUACAGGAUGUUGAGAAAGAAGUCAUUGCAACGUUGCAGCGCAAACCUGAUCUGAUCAUUGGAAACAACAGCGAUGGAAACAUUGUUGCUUCCUUGUUAGCCCGAACAUUAGGUGUCACACAGGUUUGUUCUCUUUUACAUUAUCUUGUCACUUGUAGCCACUGAUGCCGAAAUACUCAAAGCCUGAUAUAAUCUGAUCCUUUGCUUCUUUGUACAGUUUGCAAUAGCACAUGACCUUGAGAAGACGAAGUACCCAGAGUCUGACCUAUACUGGAAGAAAUUUGAGGAGAAGUACCACUUCUCCUGCCAGUUCGCCGCAGAUCUUGUCUCCAUGAACCACGCCGAUGUCAUCAUCGCCAGCACCUUCCAAGAAAUUGCUGGGAGGUGAUUCAACUCAAUUGUCUUGAAAUCCAAUUAUCCUAAUACUCGUGAAAUUUGCUCGACGGUCCUAAUACUCCUUAUUUAUCAAUAUUUUCAGUGAGGAUACUGUGGGGCACUAUGAGAGUCACAUGAACUUCACUCUUCCAGGACUCUACCGAGUUAUCCAUGGGAUCAACGUGUUUGACCCGAGGUUCAACGUUGUUUCACCAGGUGCUGACAAGGGCAUCUAUUUCCCCUACACCGACCAGGAGCGGCGAUUGAAAUCCUUCCACCAUGAGAUCGAAGAACUCCUCUUCAGCAAUGUCGAGAACAAGGAACACUUGUGAGUGUACUGGUCCUUCCUUCUUGCCCAACUUAAACCCUGUCCUGGCAUUUGUUAUGGUGUUCUUGGGAAUCGAAGUUGUCUAUUGCUAAUUCACAUUGUCUUUAACGUUAAACAGAUAUGUGUUGAUAGAUAAGAACAAGCCGAUUAUUUUCACCAUGGCGAGGCUGGACCGUGUCAAGAACUUGACAGGGCUUGUCGAGUGGUAUGGUAAGAACGCCAGGUUGAGGGAACUGGCCAACUUGGUGGUGGUUGGGGGCGACAGGAGGAGGGAUUCAAAGGACUUGGAAGAGCAGGCCGAGAUGAAGAAAAUGUACGAACUCAUCGGGAAGUACAAACUGAAUGGCAAGUUCAGGUGGAUAUCCUUUCAGAUGGACCGGGUGAGGAACGGAGAGCUCUACCGCUACAUCUGCGACAUGAAGGGAGUCUUCGUUCAACCGGCUAUCUAUGAAGCUUUUGGGUUGACCGUGGUCGAGGCCAUGGCUUGUGGAUUGCCGACAUUUGCCACUUGCAAUGGUGGGCCGGCUGAGAUCAUUGUACAUGGUAAAUCGGGC